AACUUCUUCAUUUUGUCUCAAGCAUUAGUUUACCUUUGUUGCAUUCGUCUGCCAUCUACUUGGGUGCAUGAAACGUGGAACUUGGAUGUUUUGCAGUGGUUUUAAUUUCGUUUUGCAAAUUGGCUGUGCUUAACUUGAUUGAUGUGGAAGCACUCGAACUGGAAAUAUGUUGGAUUGGAUUUCAUUGUAAUUUGAUAGAAAAAUUCUACCUUUUAUUUCUGCUUAUCUUACGUUCGAUAAAAUGCCUUAACUACAUGAAAAAGUGUUGCUGGCUGACUAUUAUAGAGGCUUGGAGAUCACUCCGUGUGAUAUGUAUGUGUUACAAGCAGCGCACCGACUAUUAUGGCUAGUUCUGGCCGAAGUCGAGAGUCAGCCGGAGAAGAGGAAGAAUCAGAAACACAGCCGCAGCAUCCUGUUUAGUUGAAGAAGAUGACAUUUUAAAAUUGCAGUUUUAGUCCUCUAGCUUAUCCUUGUUUUCUGUUUUGACCUCUCCCCUUGUUUUUGUAGCCUAUUGAUUUGACCCUAGUUGUUUGCUCGAAAAGUUUUCAAUUAUGUCACUAGGUUUGUUAACUCAAUUAUUUAGUUUAGGUAGGUUUUCGAUUGGUCAAAUUAAGUCAGAACUGGCUUUAAUUCGUUUGCUUACCCUUUUAGAACUCGUGUGAACCCCAUGUGGUACAUAGGCUUAGUGCAAUUUUGUUAUUUCUUUAGUUUAUUUGCUUUCUACUAUAUUGUUGUAGCAUGUGAUUAGGUAUGUGCUAUUCAAUAAGUUUUCUGACAGAAAAGAAACUUCAAAGUAGAUGUUUUACUUUUACUUGUUGCUAUAUGUGCUAUGCACAUUUAAGUCUUAAGUCAGUUUUGUUAAUUAUAUGCUUAUCUUAAAUCGACUCAAAUCUUGGCCUUAAAUUCCUAAGAAUGCAUAGUAAUCUAGGAACCAGUUUUUAAUCCAGUGAAGGAAGGUGUUCAGGGCUAACUAGAAUGGUCUGUUUUCCCUAUUUUAUGUUAUUCAAUUCGAAAAUCAGCAACUACUUACUGUUUUCCUUCGUCAAAUUGGAAAAAGGUUUACAACACACCUACAGUUUUUCCAAUGGCGAGGGACUACAAACAAGAAGAAAAUGGUGUGGUAGCAUUGCGAAAAGAAAGACAAGAAGACGACAUAGACUUGGACCAAGACGAAGAAGAAGAUGAAGAAGACCAGCAGAACUGGGAAGACUGGAAUGAAGAAGAUGGUGAUGACGAAAAUGUUUAUGACACAGAGAUGCUGUGUUUGUUCUGCGACUCUUUGUACACUUGUUCCAAUUUGCUCUUUCAACACUGUGCUUCAGCUCACCAUUUUGAUUUCAACGCCGUAAAGAAAAUCCUCAGUUUGGAUUUCUACGGAUGUUUUAAGCUCAUUAAUUACAUCAGGUUCCAGGUACUCUUCUUGUGGCAACUUUUACAUGUUUGAUCAUUUUUUGUAGUCGUGAGGAGACAAAAGGGUUUUUAUAGUUUAAUGUGUGGGCUACUGGAUGGAUGUUGGUCAGUUUAUUAUUCUGUUCAUAGUGCUAUUUAUUUGCGGUAGUGGUUAUAGGAAAAUUUGUGGGAAAUUUUGUGGGGUGACUACGUGAUUGGUAGGUCUGCUUUAGUGGAAUUAUUGCUAGUUAUCCUUCUUGUCUUUGUUGUUGCUUCAAAACAUGAGGAAAGCAUGACAUAUGUAGACUUUAUACCAGAUUUUCUUUUGUUUCUAUCUCAGAACUUGAGUUAACAAUGAGCCAUUGACACAACUAAUUACUAUGGAAUACAAAAAGUAGUUUUUUUUUUUUUUUUAAAUCAGGUUUUCAACUCUCUCUCUUUCUCUCUCCCUGGACUUUUGCCAACCGGGAGCCAAAUUGUUACUUUGUUUGGACAGUACAUUAUUGUCUUCAUUCUGCUAUUCAGUUUGAUUUAACAAACAUUUAAGGGUCAUGAGUUUCCUUAAGGGUAAUGUUGCAUUCAUUAUGUUAUAGAGAUCCCUGCUGAUUUUCAUAAUUACUCCACUAGAAGUUGACAACUUGACUAAACAUGCCUUCUUAUUUUAGGUGUCUGAAAAGACAUGUUGGGGCUGUAGAAUCACCUGUGAAUCGAAGCAAGAGCUGCAACACCAUUUACACGAAGUGGCCAGCUUUGAAAAUAAUAAGCUUCCUUGGGAUGAUGAUAAAUAUCUAACCCCUUUUAUGGAAGAGGAUCCACUAUUGUACAGCUUUGGUGAUGAUGAGGAAGGUGAAGAUGAUGGUUACAUGCCUGAAAAAAUACUACGAGAUGUGGGUAGUUCUGAGAAAGUUUCCAAUGAUGAUAAUUGUGCAAUAGAACAAUUUUCAUCAAAAAUAAAAUCUCCUUUAGAAAAUGGAGAAUGGUCUUCUUCGCCCGAAAGUGAUAUAAAGACUGCAAAUCUUUUGGAGAAGUCUACAUGUAAUGGUUUUGUUGGUGUGGGAGAAGGUGCUUCGUCUCAUCAAAAGGUGAAGGAUAAACAGUUGAUUAUUUCUUCAGCAGAGGUUGCCGCAAAUGAAAUCAAGGAUAUAAAUAAAAAUUAUUUUGGUUCAUAUAGUUCAUUUGGCAUCCACAGAGAAAUGAUCAGUGAUAAGGUAUUAGACAUGAAUUAGCUACAACCUUGAAUAUGAUCUGAGAAAAGAAGAAGAUUUCACUGUUUAUUUGGUUGAUAUUUUCAUAGACUUGCCUAUUUAAUUAAUGCAGGUAAGAACUGAUGCAUACAGGCGAGCAAUCCUGGAAAAUCCUUCUCUACUGAAAGGUGCUGUUGUAAUGGAUGUUGGUUGUGGAACAGGCAUACUAAGGUAAAUAGGAACUUUUUAUUCUAGGCAUUUUUCAAAUAUCUAAAUUUCAUAUUGUUGGUUAUUUUUGGCUUACUGCUGCCUUCUGUCUUUAUUGGAUUAAAAUGUUCAGCCGAUAACAAACUGUAGUGCUCAUGGUAAGCUCAUUUUGAACUAAUUAUCAUGCAACUAUUAUUGCUUGCUUUUAUUUCCAAUUUCAAGGUAAAAGGGAUGGAACUGCAAAGGCUAUGGUGUUUCUGUGUUAUCUUUUGGUCUGCUGUUCUAUGAUACAUCGGCAGUUUCUUGUGUAUUGAGGACUUUAGAGCUUCAGAAAAUUACGCCGUGAUGAGCUAAUCUUUUAACUGAAAUGCCAUUUGUUUUUGAAGAGUUUGGUGGUUGAGUGGAGGAGUUUGGAUGGUUCUUGGUUGCUAAUUAUGCUUUUGGAUAAGGCAGAUUUUAUCAUAUAGGAAGAUUGCAGAACUUAAGAAGAAGAUGAUGAUAAGAAAAUGGGCCUCACAGCUAAGUGAUGCAGAGAGAGUCACACUCGAUUAACUUUUACAUUUCAUCUCGCUUUUAACUCUGUGUUACAACUGAUAUGUGUAAAUUACUAAUAGACUAAGAGUUCUUGAUUACUAAGUAAAUCUCGUAGUGAAACCCACCUGGAAGGAAAGAAAUUUUCCCUGGAACACUAUUUGAGGUUCAAAAGCUUCUAAAAGAGAAGUUCACUACUUGGGAUAUGAUUCUUCCAGUCAAAAUUUUGAGUAAAAGAAACAGGAUUUAUAUUAGCUGUUAUUUUAUGUCAAGGGGGCAAGACUGGAUACCGAUCACCUCUUGUUACAUUCGAAAAUGACUCAAGAAUGUUGGGGACUGGCUUUAGGCAUGUUUGAUUGCCAACACCAUGAUUUGAUAUCAAACAAAGCCUAUGUUCAGUAGAAAUGCUGAGAGAAAUGGUGGAGAAUGAAAAGUCGGAUGGGAGGGUUUGGUACGUUCGUAUUCACUCACAUUUUCAUCUGAAAUAUGGGAGUACUGUUUUCUUACCCUAAAGAAAUAAAAUGUUAGUAAUUACAGUGUUAUUUCUCUUGCUAGAAGAAGCAACUAAUUGAUACUCUUGAUUAUGUAUCUUUAAGUCUCUUUGCAGCCCAAGCAGGAGCAUCAAGGGUAAUUGCAGUUGAAGCUAGCAAAAAAAUGGCUUCUGUGGCAGCUCAGGUUAAGAUUUCUUUUUGCUUUUUUUUUUUUUUGAAAAUUUGAAGUUUUUCAUUGUCAUUUUUGUCUCAGAUUGAAUUUGCACUUUUUGCUUCUCUUUAUCAGUUUCUUGUUCUUUAUAGCUAUUGAAUUUGAAUAUGGGCGCAGGUUGCUAAGGAUAAUGGUCUUCUGUCAAGUGAAAGCUCCGGUGAAGCUAAACAUCACUGCACUGGGAAAAUAGAGGUGGUUCAGGCUAUGGUUGAAGAGCUAGAAAAUGCCAAACAUAUUAAACCUCAGAGUGUGGAUGUAUUACUGAGUGAAUGGAUGGGUUAUUGCCUGCUCUAUGAGUCAAUGCUCAGCUCUGUGCUGUAUGCACGGGAUAAAUGGUUGAAGCCUGGUGGGGCCAUUCUCCCGGAUACAGCUACCAUUGUGAGUCUUUCAAACUUCUGUUCUUUGUUUUUCUCCUUUGUAGAACUUGUGCAAUAACUAUUUGUAUAUGGUCAAUUCUAGUUUGUUGCUGGAUUUGGAAGGGGGGGAACCAGUCUUCCAUUUUGGGAAAAUGUGUAUGGUUUCAAUAUGUCUUGUAUUGGCAAGGAAGUUGUUGAAGAUGCUGCUCAGCUUCCUCUUGUUGACACAAUUGAUGGCUGUGACAUUGUAACCGAGACACAAGUUCUUCAGGUUUGUGUUUGAAAUUUAAGUUAGAUCACACUAUAUGGAUAUGUCUGAUGAUGAGGGAUUUUAUCUGUGGUCUUGUACAAUCUGUAUUCUUAACUUUGUUUUUGGUUUUGACUGCAUCAGAGCUUUGAUCUGAUGACAAUGAAGCAUCAAGAGAUGGAUUUUACGGCGAAAGUGGAACUGGCACCAAAGUUUGAUGCACUCGUCGACGCCCCGGCAGAGUUAAGCUCUAAAAUGGGAAAAUGUCAUGGACUUGUGCUGUGGUUUGAGACUGGGUUUACAAAAAGGUUCUGUAGGGAAAUGCCAACCAUUUUAUCAACGUCUCCAAACACCCCCAAAACCCACUGGUCACAGACGAUACUGACAUUUAAAGAACCUAUCACCAUGGGAAAGGGAAAGCAGGUUGGUUCUGAUGGAUCAGGCGCAGUUGGUUCUGAUGCUUGCCCUGCUGCGAGAAUACAAUCUCGUAUCAGCAUUGUUCGUGCUGCUCAACAUCGCAGUAUUGAUAUUUCCAUGGAGAUUUCUGCCAUAGGACCCGAUGGCCGGAGAAGACGUAGCUGGCCUGUUCAAAUGUUUAAAAUGGAGUAGCAUAUUGGGAUGACUGUCGUUAAUUAUCUCUGAAAGUAAGAGACGCAAAUUAAUUAGCCAUUCUGUGAUUUAAUACUCUCACAGGCUCUCUCGCAAAUCAUUCAUUCAUGGUUUGCAAAUUUGAUAGCUCGUGUCAUUAUCUCUUAAUUUGUUCCGUAAAUUUUGGGGGUCCAAGCAAAUUACCUAAUCAUCAUUACAAAUCUAUUUAAAAAUGAUAUAAUCUUGACGCGGACACUGUAAUUGACUCAAAAUUUCAAUAUUCCAUGAAUCUAAAGCUUUUUAUAUACAGUAAAAUUAUAUGGCUAGAUUAAGAUUUUAAGACCUGGAAGUUUUGGAUACACAAUAAUAUAAGCCGUUAUGGUAGCUCACCAAGUAAUUGACAUAUUCCAGUUCAUCUGGAUGCAAUAAAAAGAUUUAUAAUUACCAGUUACAUGAUCAGUUAUUUAUAAGAGAAAACCAUCCAACUCACAUUCAACUAAUGAUUUCUGGGACACACACCGUAAGAAACUCGGAUGAAUCCUGCAUGCACUCCAGAGAUUUCAAUGCGUGGAAUUAUGUGGCUGACGAAUUCUUGUUUUUGGGUGGUGUUGUUGCAAACUCCCAGCUGUAUUUAUACAUGUAAGGCAGUUGUCUUUCACCAACGACUGAAUCGACUGGCACUGCUUCAGAGAUUGAUUUCGAAUCCUCUUUAUUAAGCUUCACAACCAAAGAUCUGAUGUUGUUGUCAAGAUUCAUAAGCUUUGUUGUACCUGCACAAGAUUAUGGUGACAAUAAAAAACUCCACACACCAUCAGAGCCAGUAGUGUUGGUCAGGGGCUUGUCGACAAACUGAUUCUUAUUUAGCCAAACAAAAUUGAUUUUACUGCAUAUUGUAGUUAAAUAAGAGCUCCCUAAAUCCAAUUUUAUUCAUCAAUUUUGUCAAACCAACAUUGAAAAUAAACUUAAGAUUGAAAUGUAGUGCGUCAUAAUGCAAAAGACUUUAAUUAGCUUGUUCAAUGGGGAAAAAAAAUGCAAGAUGCCAUAUGGGAAUAACUUACCAGGAAUUGGUACAACAUCAUCUCCCUGAUGGAAGAGCCAUGCCAAAGCUAGUUGCGAGGGCGUGCAGCCAUGUUUUAUUGCUAAUUCUGCUAUGCGGGCAUAAUGAACUUUGUUCCUUUCUAAAUUCUCUCCAGCAAACAUUGGAAUUGAACCCUAUGAAUGAAUGAUUCAAAAUGAGCUUAGAAACCUAAAAUAAGCAAUAAAGGAAAUCAUUCAAUGCCAUCAUAGGUGACGAAAAUUAUCUGAUAUAGACAAUAAUGUUAUUGCAGAUAAAUGUCAUUACACGAUAAUCCUCUCAAAGUGGGCUAAAGAUUCCCUCUGUGACCAUCAAUGUAGGUUAAAGAAAAGACAGGUUCAUCCUUAGAGUCUUGCUCUUGCAUUUUCAUGAUGAGACCUGACACAGAACAUAUCAGAAAAUAAAGACAUACCAAUAUGCUUUCUGAAUUGAUACUCUCCGCUGCUGCCUUCCCUCCAAAAAACCCGUGACCAAGAGGGGAAUAUGCCACAAUUCCAAUACCAAGUUCUCUGCACAAAAAGAAACAAGACUUAGGUUUCGCCAGUCUAUAAAAUGUGCCAUCACUUCCGACUAAUUAUAAAUAAGACUAGGACUUUGAAAACGUGUAUUUUUCACUGAAAUAAAACUCGGAGCAAGUCUGCAGAUGGUAAAAAACUUGCAUGUAAUCGUUACCAACCGGCAAAGUGGAAUAACUUCUUUUUCAAUUCCACGAUACAGUAAAGAAUAUUCCAUUUGUAAGGCUGUAAUAGGAUGUACAGCAUGCGCUCUCCUUAUUGUGUCCGGACUAGCUUCAGAUAGUCCGAUGUACUUUACUUUCCCCUCCUCCACAAGCUUUUUGAGCUCCUCCAUCUACCUCGGCAAAGAAUUCAAGAUUAUCAUUCAAGUUUAGCAGUUCAAAGCCGUGAGAACAAUAAACAAAUAACUCAAGAAUGCUUACAGUCUCUUCUAUUGGCACUGAAACAUCUACACGGUGCUGAUAGUACAGAUCAAUAUAGUCCACAUCGAGCCUCUUAAGACUAGCUUCACAACAUUUGCGAACAUAUUCAGGGGUACCGGUGAUACGAAUUUGAUCAACCAACCCCAUUGCUUUUGUACUUUCAGGAAGUACAGAAAUGCCAAAUUUUGUUGCUAGUUGAACCUUUUCUCGAGGAAGCUGCUUUAAAGCCUGAAAACACAAGAAAUACAACUUGAGACAUCACUUUGAAAAGUGACUUUCAAAAGACUGAGAAUAUUCCUUGAGAACAGGAUGAAUAAGCAUUAUGACUUGCUAUUUUUUGAUUCUACAUCAACACAUCCCGGACAAAAUGUGGAUUCAGAAAUCUACCAAUUCAUAGCAGUUAAUUAUAUUUCAAUCUUUCUGAAGUUUCUGGUUGUUUGCUUCAUUACAACAAUAAAUAUUGUCACAAGAAAUUAGAGCUCAAUUUUGGAAGCCAACGACUUACCUUUCCGACCAAGAUCUCGUUAUCAUUAUUUCGUCCAUAGGCAUCUGAUGUGUCAAAGAAAGUUAUACCUCUAUCAAAUGCUUCCUUGAUUACUGAAAAUCCCUCUUCAUGGGAUAGAGGAGCAUUAUAAUAGCCAGAAAGCCCCCCACAUCCAAAUCCCAGUUUUGACACCUGUUAGAUCAAAGAAGCAACACCAGUUAUGAAAUUAGUAACUAGCUUCUGCACUCUGCGCACUGCCAUCGAUUCAACAUGAAAAUGUACCUGUCUUGAUUAAACUCUUCACACUCUGGUUUCUGUAUUGACAUGUUACCACUUUCUACACAAUACAUGUUACCACUUUCUACACUGAGCAUCCUAGAACACUUUUCCUCCUUGAUUAUCAAACGGAGGCUCUAGCAGCUUGCAAUGAAAACAUUUAGCAUAUGAUAGGGUACAAUAGGAUGUAGUAUGAUGAAGUAUUUGUUCUUAUUACUCGUAGUACCCAUUUCACUUUUCCCUAGUAACAAAGUUCUAAGAACGGAUAAUAUUCCUCACUUGAGAUUUCUCUUAGUUAACACUGUUGUUAAAUCUUGUCAAGGGAUUACUAAGGGACCAGAUACAUGUUAUCUUGGUCUCUUAAUUAAAAGUUAAAAAUAGUGCUACAAGAUUACCUUUUGGUCCUUGAAUGGAUUUACCAUUGGACUGGAAAUAGCAGGGAAAACUUGCUUCUUUGUUAUCAUGGAUAAAGAAUAAACCUCUAGCCAAGGCAUCAAAAAGACGAUAUACACCGCUUAAUUUCCUCUCUCUACUGGGCAUGCAGAAACAAAAGUUGGAAACAUUUAAAGGUAUGAAGAAUUUCACGAGCAAUCCAAGCUUCUUCUCCACGUAUGACUAUCCAAUUUCACCUUAAAUCGGGUCUAAGAACCAAAGUUUUGGUAAGCGUGCCAGAGUAUGAUGGCCGAACCAAUGAUCCAUCGAGCCCGGCAAAAGACCCAAAUGACAAGCACUUCAAAAUCCCUCGACAGGAAACAGAUGAAUGCAGAACAAACAACACUUCCAUCUAUUUAUUUACCCCAAGAAACACUGCACAAGUUCUUGAUAGUGUUAAAAUCAGAGAUGUACUGAUCACACUGAAUGUUAGCUAACCUUUGGUAUCUUCUAACAUUAGUGACUAAUGGAUAUAAAUUCUCAUUAUCAAACCAAAGUUGGCUGUGAAAAUUGAAGCAAUUCUUUACCUCUAGCCCCUGAGAACUUAGCUUCACUCUUGGAAUUUGGAUUUGAUUCUUUUCUUCCAUCUAGGAUUGCAGUUCUUUGAGGGACAAAUAGCUGAGGCAGUAGCAAGAUGUUAACCUCUGCUUGAUAGUUUGAUACUGUAAGAAAGUCAAUAAUUUCUCCAAAACUCAAGAUCUAGUAUUGGCUGAAAAACCUCCUCUAUCACCCAAAGUUCGGCAACCAGGAGAAGUAAAAUAUCAACCAUUCAAUGCAAUGACUUUCAAUGAAACGUGCAAGUGAAAAUCUGUAAUAUGUAGUGCAAAUUUAGAGCUGUUAAAUGGAACGAGCAGCUCAAUUCGAUAUGGCUCGAGCUCAAUUCGUUAAUUGUAGUAAACAAGUGGAGCUCGAGCUUGAGAUAUACUCGUUUAAUUAACAAGCCGAGUAAGCUCGACUCGUUUGUUAUCAGAGCGGUUCAAUUAGGCUCAAUAAGGAAGGGUAUAUAUGUUAUUUUACAAUUCAAAAAUAUAAAAAUUGAAAAUUAUAGACUUUUAUUGGGAUCAAUUUACACGAGCUCGAGCUGUAAGCUCGGCUCGUUUGUGAUAAACGAGUCGAGCUCGAGCCACAUGUCCCAUUUGAUGAGCCGAAUCCGAAUGCAUUUCAAAGCUCGUCUGCCUAGUCGAGAAAGCUCGAAUUGGGCUCGAGUUAAACUCAAGUCGAGCUCGACAGCUAAAUACUCGACUCGAUUCGGCUCGAUUAACAACACUAUGCAAUGAUUUUCGCAAAAAAAUCUGUAAUCUGAAAUAUGUAAUAUGUAGUGGCCACGUGUGUUUGAGUUAGGAUUGUCAAUGGUCCGGUCUGAACUCAACUCGGAAAAAAGUCCAUUUAGCCUCAACUUUGAUCGGGCAGACACCAAAAACUGGCAACGAUAAGAUGCGAACAAUUGCACAAGUAAUUUUUCUUUUUUUCUUUUUUUAAAGCAAUAAAUUUAUUUUAUUUUAUGAAUACGAAAGGGAAGUGAAAAUUAGGAGGUCAAACCGAACUUGAUCUUUAGUAUGUGACCAUAAAAAGUAAAUGACAAGAAAAUAGACGUUAGGGUGGGCUAACGAUCUAUUGAGCAUUAGGAACCCUGCCCGCCCUACCAAAAAAAAAAAAAAAACUACUCUACUGGAAAUAGAUGAAUGAAGAAUAAGGCCCUCAGCUUCUUUGCUCUAACGUGAUCGGCUGAACAUUCAUUCUCCAUUAUACUUUAAUAUAAGAGGCAGGCAUGCUAGUAACACUGGAAGCUUCAAGCAUAAGGCUCCUUUUAUUCAGAAUCUUGAGAAAACAAAAAAAAAAAACCAGAAAGAAUCCAGCAAAGAAAACUAUCAUAAAUUGCUGCAUACACUAAGAAGAUGUAUCUUAAAAGAUAGAACGGUUUUUCUGAUAAUCCUAAUAACCACUUGUAUGUAAAACACCAACUUGUAGGUUCUGAAACAAAUUAAGCCACAAAAUAUCAGCACUCCUCUGUAGAUUUAAACGGUCCCUAGGUCGACUUGUUUUUUCUUGGGGAGGUGUGAUAGCUGUUUUAAUUCCAGGUGUAUUUGGAGAUGAUCUCCGGCUCCUUUGCACCAGCCACUUCAUCCAUUGGCACUGCUGCAGAAAUCUCCUUUAAAUCCUCUUGUGUUAAGCUUCACGGCUAAUGUAUUCUCAAGGUUGCUAAUCCGAGUUGUCCCUAAAGAAGAAGAAGGUAAACAAUAAUAUAAGAUCAGAAUGUCUCAUAAUAGCCAGCUAACUUCAAGAAACCUUUGCCUUCAUACGUUUAUAUUGAAAAUUGUUUUACUCGAACAAAAGCUGAACAAUUUUAACUGAUUUAGCUUAGUCAAUGUCGGACAACGAUAGGUGACAUUGUAGUAAGAAGAAAAGUUACCAAGAUUUGGUCAAUAUCAGCUCCCUGAUGGAGCAGCCAGGCCAAAACUAGUUGAGGAGUUGUGCAGCCAUGCUUUGAGGCCAACUCAGCUGUACAGCAAUGCAUGCAUUUUCAAGAUAUUCAAACCUUUCUUUUUGUACUUCGCUCCUUGAAUCACAGCUCUUUCUUGUCCAGAAAAGAAAAGAAAAGAAAAGAAAAGAUUGUGUAGAAAAGUAUAAUUCUUCAAUUAAAACAUCAUGUGAGGAAGAAAAACAAAUACUAAAAAUAUUAGUGGUACAAAGUGUAAUUAGUCAUUUUUCUUGCCUGCCUUCAUUUAUAGCUCAAAGCCACAUAACUACAUCCAAUUACUAGACGCCAUGUCAUGAAAAGAAGCCAAGCAGGAUACGACAGCGUUUUCAAGACAUCUCAUCCUCACGCUCUCUAGGAGUAGUAUGUUUUAACUCACUAUUCCCUCCUCAAGAGAUGAGAUCAUGAGAGUUGGAGGAUUUUAAAAAAAAAAAAAAAAACAAAAAAAAAAACAAAACCCAAAAAAAAAAAAAAAACAGGAAAAUCACUUUUCUUCGUCGAAGAAUCGGAAAGCAGAGGGAGAAAAGAGAUCGAUUCAUCGAAGAUGGAAAGGAGGAGAGAUGGAAUCCAGUGCACGAAGGUGUAUGGGCUUUUGGUGCUCCUGCUGUUCAGCUUCCUCGGAAAUCUCUCUGUCUCGGCGCUGUCCGUGACAGUAAACGACGUCGAAUGCGUCUACGAAUACGUCCUCUACGAAGGCGACACCGUUUCGGGCAACUUUGUAGUCGUCGAUCAUGACAUCUUCUGGAGCUCCGAUCACCCCGGCAUCGACUUAACUGUAAACCCUCUUCUUCUCUUUUUCAUUUUUCUAAUAUUGUUGUUAUUUGACGUGGGAUUGUGUUUAAUUCAUUUUUACAUUAGGAAAAAAAACUGGAUUUUUAUGCAAUUUUGGUACCUUUUUUUAUUUUAAAUAUCAGUUGAAACCUUUCAUGCUGAUAUUUAAAUGGUUUUCUUUUUCUUUUCUUUUUUUCCCAUACAUUUUUAUUGGCUUGCUAUUUAGUACUACUUGUUUCUAGUUGAAUGAAGGGUACAGUAUUGUCUUGCAAAAAGAUUGAAUUUUUUGGCUGCCCCCUUAAGAUAUUUAAUUUCAAAAUUAAGGGAGAAGAAAAACAAAAACAACGAAAAAGAUUAAUUUUUUUUUGGGUAAGUAUGAACUAUGCUGGAAUUUACACCUGGUGAAAGAAAUUUGUCAGUAUGGUUAAGUUAAAUGAUUACUUUAAGUUUAGAUUGGACAAAAGGGGAGUCUUGAUUUAACAUUUUAGCCUGAGUCUAUACUUUAAUGGUUUUUGGAGCUACCGUGUGUUUAUCAUUGUUGUAGUUUAAUGAAAAAAAAAGAAGUAAAGCUUGAUGUUGAUGAUACGUGACUAUGAGCAGAACUAUAGUUUGAUUUAUGAGGACCCUGACUUUCUUAUUGAGUGCUGCUGACUGUUCUUCUACAAAUUCGAAAGAUGCAAAUAGAUUUAGUUGUUAUGCAACUCGUAGAUGAAAUAGAGGGUAAAGGAAAAGUUACUUGUACUGUUUGCAAUUGGUGUGAUGAAAUUUAUGAUGAAAAUUGCAUGUAAAUGCUCGUAAAAGACCAAGGUAGAUUGAGAUGUUUAGUCUUUAUCAUUUUGUCAUUCCUGAGAUAAGGAAAGUGGCUCCAUUUUCUUUCUUGGUCUCCUGAUUUCAUCACGUAUUCACUGCCUAUCUUUUCUUGUUUCCUCCUUUAAAAUGACAUUUCUUAUAUCUUUCUGUUUGAGGAACUAAAGUAGCAGUCAGACAACAUUGUGUUGUGUACUUUCUUUUAUGUUUGACAAACGUUUAGUUCCCCUUUUGGUUCCCAAGGAUGUCUUGUGACACCUUUUCAAUUCCAGAAAACCUUUCUGGUAUCACUCUUGCUUCAUGUGGUACCAUCUUUGAUCAGCAACAGUGUGUCUUUCCCCUAUAUCUGUUGGCAUUUAUGACAUCUGAAAUCAAACCAUUCCAAUUUUUUGUUAUCAGCAAUGGUGCUUAAUGUCAAUUCAUUCAUUGUCUAUUCUCAACAUACUGGAACCUAUCCGUAAUAUUGAAACAUGGACUAGAAAACGUUUAUAUGUUGCAGCACUAUCCUAAUAGUUGAAAUAGCAUUUGUCAUAAAAAAGGAUCCCUUCAGAAAACCUAAGCUUUUGAGGUUUGAAAUUUUUCAAUUGGUUGGAGAAUGUAAAAUUUGGAACCAUGUCUGGUUUUGGAAUGAAAUGUAAAUGUGUCCACAUGAACUGGGAAUGUUUGCACUACUUGUCUGGGACAAGGUCAUAACAGAUGCACAAAUACCUACUUGUUAAUUAAGAAAUGGAGAAUGGGGAAACAACUAAGUAUUAAAUCCUCUAGUCUCUUUCCAAUUGCAGGUGACAGCUCCUGGGGGUAAUCAAGUGCACAGUGUAAGGGGAACUUCUGGGGAUAAGUUUGAUUUCAAGGCCCCAAGAAGCGGGAUGUACAAGUUUUGUUUUCAUAAUCCUUACUCAACACCAGAAACAGUCUCUUUCUACAUACAUGUUGGCCACAUUCCAACGGAACAUGACCUGGCCAAAGAUGGUUUGUCUGCUUCUUUUACAAUUUAUCUUUGGAUUUUAACGUAAUCAAGUUUUAUUGAUUCCAUUUUGAACUUUUGGUGUUAAGGUGUUGAUUCCUUGUAGGUAUUUUAGGCGGCAUUUGGUAGUGUCAGCAAGCAUACAUUGAACAUUCUCACGGAGGUUAUUGUCAAUUUCUAAACAUUGGUUUUUCUUUCAUAUCCUGCAGAGCAUUUGGAUCCUAUAAAUGUUAAAAUUGCUGAACUGAGGGAGGCAUUGGAAUCGGUUACAGCAGAGCAGAAGUACUUGAAAGCACGUGAUGCUCGACAUCGCCAUAGUAAGCUCCUUCUCUCUAUAUCCUGAAUUGAAGUCUUUUCCCCAUAGUUUGUCCCUGUGCUUUGGCCUCUGCCAGAGUUUCUGCGUCACUUUGAUGUGUCAAACAACUGAAAUAGAAUUUAACAGAACUAGGUGGUUUUAAGGAGCGUGGAAUUUUUAGUUUUUCAUCGGUUGCUUUGUGGUGGACGUGAUUUUUUUAUUGGUUGUAACUUAUAUGUUGGGUACCAUUUUUUUUUUGCUGCAGCCAAUGAGAGCACACGCAAGCGUGUUAUAUUUUACACCGCCACAGAAUACUUAUUGCUGGCUCUUGCAAGUUCCCUUCAAGUCCUAUACAUAAGACGUUUGUUUAGCAAGUCAGUUGCUUACAAUCGUGUCUGAUGAAUUCCAGGAGGAUUCCAAGCUAGGUCAAUUUGUUUGUUGUUUUGUUUUUCUUUUUUCUCAAAGGAACUGUAGCAAUGUAAGUUGGAAAGAGGUAGCGGACACAUUUUUCUUAAGUGUACCAAACAACUGACUGGAGAAUACUUGUUGUCCAUCCAACAUCUGAGCAAAUGCUGAUGGAUAGUGGAUUUACUUUACCCGAAAUGAUUUCCGUGAUUUGCAAUACAAUAUUAGUCGCAUAAGUUUAAUUAAAAUGUCGCAGGAAUCAGCUCAUCCAAGUGACAUUACUGUCUACCCCUGCUAGUAUUCAUGUUGGCUUUGGUCCACGGAGUUUUUUUUUUUUUUGGUAUUUGCUACUCAUUGUCAUUGACCCCAUGAAUGAUUUUACCCGAGAGAUCUUAUCCUUCUUAGCUACCAUGAAGUUUAGGUUGGAACUUGGCGUAACUCCCUCGAGCCUGGUUCAUAUAUUCUAUUCUGAAAUACUACUAAGCAGCUGAAGGUCUAUUUGCCUCAUUCAGACUUUUGGAUAAUGCAGUGUGUAAGUUGUUGGAUCGACAAAUCUGGUUGUCAUGUUUCUGGAUGAAGGUCGGAUGAAUGACUCAAGAGUUGCACUAGUUUAAAUCAGACCCCCAAUCUGUAGCCGAUGACCCAGAGAAUCUUGUGUCUCUCUUUGUGGCCUCCAGUCCAAAAAUAAAAGAGACUGGCAUUUCGUAGUUGGGCCAUGGACCUCUCUUGUAAGAGUAUGGGAUUUUUGUUUUUUAAGUAUAAGUGGAAGGUUUUGAAUACAGAAUUUUUUCGCUUACACUGCCUUCUCCGUAUUGUUCAAUCAAUCUCUCUUGUCCUAAGAAUAUGAGAUUUGGAUAAUAGAGGCUUUUUUCGUAUCACUUAACUCAUUUCUUUAAUAGAGGCUCUACUAGUUUUUUUUUAUUUUUAAUUUUUUGAUAGAAUCCCACUAAAAUUUUUUUCCCUUUAAGUUUUUAGGCUUAACAUGCCGCGUUGGCAUGUGUGAGUGUCAACCAUUAUAGAGGGACAAGGGGCAGGAACGUGUGAGUGCAACCCUUCCUGACGGUUUUGGUGAUUUUCAAUCGUGCGUAACUUUGGUUGCACAUUAUAUAAUUUUGUUUGCACAAUGUGUAACUUUAGUACAAAAUUUUGUGGAUCCCAUAUACGUUGUGAAAAUCGAUAUACAACUAGUGAUCUAAAUCGCAUAUUUUUUUUUGAUCAAAAUCUGAUCGUGAAUAGUUCAAGAGUGGUCGUUCAUUCUGAUGAUCGCUCCUGUCCCUUAUCUAUUAUAGAGGGCAAGAGUUGCAGAGAAUCUUGGAGGCGUGAUGAGAGAUUGAUUUUUGAAACAAGAAAUUGACACGUUAGUGUCCAAAUUCCAUUGACUAAUCAAUAUCUAAUAAUCAAUCUUCUUAGUAGUAGUUUUGGUAAUAUUAUUUUAUCGGCCACUUACAGGAAGAGCAACUUACGGGAUCUAAUGUUAAGACCGUGCUUUUGUCGUUAUUGGCCGCGAAUUUGCGGAUAAGAUUUUUAUCGUCGACUGAUCUACUACUAAAAACGUAAAGGCAACCGAAAUUACAUAGAUGCCCUGUAGUUGCUUCAUAGCCUUUGGUUGCCACCGACUUUUUCCGAGCUAUUGACUGGGAUUCAUUCAACAAUUUACAAAUGUUGCAUGUGGAUUGGAUAUAUAUAUAUAGACACAUGCAUACACGCACGCUUUUGAAGUUGCAAAUUUUGAUAGUCUUAAGGCAUGUGAUGCUUCAUUUUAAGGCCAACUUUAGUUGUAUAAUGUUGACAAGUAGCAGUAGUUGUGAUAAAUAUUAAAAGUCUGGUUAGCUCAAAAGUAUACAUAUACAAGUUCCAUAAUUACAACUUUGUAUAUAUUUUCAAGAUUUUAUGUUAAAAAAGAAAUGUAAAUUACAAUAAUUAAAACUCCAUUAAAAAAAAUUGAAAUGCACACAUAAAUCAUUUAUGUUAAAAAUUUUGAAUCUAAUAUCAUAUAGUUAUCUGCUGGUUUUGAAAGGAAUAAUAAUUUUGGACUAAUUGCAUUUACACCGUUGGAUGCAACAAAAAUGCUAACAUGAAAACUCUUGCACUCUUUUCACCCGGAGAAAAUAGAUUUUUUGAAAACGCAAAUCUUCACAAUAAAAAAGUUUAUAGAAAUUGCUAGACUACCAAUUCUGGGCAAAAGAUAUAUUGCAUAAUAUCCAAUAGGAUUUACGAAGGGUAAAUUCGUCAAUUAAUCCACCUCGCUGAAAGUAUAAUUAACCACCUUGAUCGCCCUUGAUGCCUGUGCCCCGUUAUUCUUUUCUCUAAAAAUCUUUCCAACCUCCCAAAGGCGUCCGUUUAUCAGAAAAAAGAAAGACAAUAACAAGAAGAAGAAGAAGAUGUUGGCAGUGUUUGAAAAAUCAGUAGCGAAGAGCCCAGAUGCUUUGCAGACACCAAAUUCUGAGUCAGUUUCUGCACUAAAAGAUGGGUUCUUGGCGCAGCAUUUUUCAUCUUUACAACCUGGCUCUGUUACAAUUAAUCUUGGUUCUUCUGGAUUCAUGGCCUACUCCAGCGACAAGCAAAACCCUUUGCUCCCCAGGUGCAUUACUCUUUUCUUCUUUCUGGGUUUUUCUUAAAAAAUUUUGUUUUUUUCUUGAUCUGAUACUUUUGGUGAUUUUCUGGAUCUUAAUCGCACAGUGUCUUUGUCAUGUUUGGUUUUAUUGGUAAUACUAUUAUUCGUUGUUUAGUAGAGUAAGUUUAAGAUGAUCCAGGGACAUAGAUCUCUUUUCGGGUUUUCUUCCUUAAUUUUCCUUUUCAAUUUUUUGUUGUUUUUUUCCCCCAUAAUGUUAUAGAAUAUUCUAUGAUUUUCGUUUCCAUUAGAAGAAGCUGAUAGUCUUCUUGUUUUUCUUUCAAUUAGGGGUUGAUAGACAGCUGUAGUAUUUUUUCGGUCUCUUUGCUGGUCAUUGGUCAAUCCCUUUGACUCUGUAGUCUUCUUCUGAUUCAGUUUUCCCCUCUUGUACUUCAAGAUUUUCAGGUUUCUUUACUAAUAAGUAUGCUAAUCUAAUUGUUAAUCUAUCAUUUUAAUGAUGAUCAGCUUUUGAGAUAAUAUCUGGAAGUAAUCUUAGUUGUUAUAUUUGUGAUGUUUGAGGUCAACUUUGUAAUGUAAAUUAGUGUUCUCAUUAGCCCUGUCAUGAUCAGGCGAUGAAUGAUAAAAGGAGAUCUAACUUAAGUCUACCAACCUACAUUCCUUCUGUUCUUUUGCGUAUGAUGAAGUUUAGACUCCAGAAUGUGUAUGACUUAAGGUCAAGAGUGAAUUAGUUCCCUACCUUUAAAUGCAAUCCAUGGCCAAUUUUUCGAAUCAAAUCACAGCAAUUAAUGGUUUUCUUUGGGGCAGAAGUAGUUUUUAGUUUCUCUUUCAUUCCUGUAUUUGCUUAUGCUAAAGUUGCAUGGUUGGAUACUCAAAUCUUUGGAGGUAAAUAUUUUGGUUGGUGCAAUUGGACUGAUCAUUCUUAUUCUACCAUUCUGGCAGAUUGUUUGCAGUUGUUGAUGACAUUUUCUGCCUGUUCCAAGGCCAUAUUGAGAAUGUUGCGCAUCUUAAGCAGCAAUAUGGGUUAAAUAAGAUUGCAAAUGAGGUGAUAAUUGUUAUUGAGGCUUACCGGAGCUUGAGGGACCGAGGUCCUUAUCCUCCAGAUCAAGUUGUUAGAGAUAUCCAUGGGAAAUUUGCAUUCAUCCUAUAUGACAGCACUGCAAAAACUACUUUUAUGGCUGCUGUAUGUUAUCUAACUUUUCCUUGCUCCUUUUUUUUGUCAUUCCAUAAAGUUUGCCUACUUGGGUUAUGUCAUUCCUGUUUCUGUAGAUUGUGCUCAUUACUACUUUGGGCUCUGAUUGAAUCUAGCUGAUUUUUAGUGUUCUCUGGAUAUAGGAUGUUGAUGGGAGUGUACCCUUCUUUUGGGGAACUGAUUCUGAAGGCCAUCUUGUCGUAUCAACUGAUUUGGAUGUUGUGAAAAAAGGCUGUGGCAAGUCCUUUGCACCAUUUCCCAAAGGUAGCAUUUGCAUAAUCCCAGUGCCAAGUUGUGUUUGAUUUUUAAGCUGUUCUCUUUUAGCUUGAAUAAUUAAGGGCAUGUGGAAUAUAGGUUGAUGACUAACAAAUUGACGGGAAUAUAUUUAUUUAUGUUUUAUAUGUGCGAUGAAGAAUUUUCCUGCCAUUUGUAGUGUCUAUUGAUUGUUGAUUUGUUUUAGUUUGCUCCAUCUGCUGUGGUUGAGUUUCCUUCUGGAAAACAUCCUAAUUGUCUAUCUAAAAGCUUUCUAUAAGCCUAAUAUGGUGGCUUCAUUCUCCUAGCAUUCUCUAUUAUUUUAGCCUUCUGUUAUUGUUUCUAACAUGGCUCACUAUCUUCCCUGCUCUAUAUUGGUGAGGCAAAAAGCGAAGCACUGACUCAUCUUCUUGUAUUCUAUACUUCAGGAUGCUUCUUCACAAGUUCGGGAGGGUUGAGGAGCUAUGAGCACCCCCACAAUGAGUUGAAGCCAGUGCCAAGGGUGGAUAGUUCUGGGGAAGUUUGUGGUGCAAACUUUAAGGUGGAUGCAGAAGCUAAGAAGGGGGGUACUGGAAUGCCCAGAGUUGGAAGUGCUGCCAACUGGUCCCAAAACUACUAGGCUCGGUCACCAUUUUUUGUUGUGGCUAGCCUAUUGUUAGUUGUUGGCCUUCCAUUUAUCUUCUGUCCAUUUGUGAACGUGGUCAAUCCUUGAUCGCUUGUCUAUGUUGCUACUUAAUUUUAUGGUUAGAAACACUGCACCUAAGAGUGAAGCUAUCUAUUUGAUGUGGCCAUUGGAGCUUUAUUAACUCUUUAGGUUUCACUUUACUACGCCAAGGGAGGUCACUUUAAGGCCUCAAAGAAACUCGAUAUAUGAAAUAAUAGAUACUUUGCUCUAAAGGAAACUGUCCAUUACCGUAUACGUAUGUUGUUCCUGUGCUUCAUUUUUGUUCUAUGAUGGAUGGUAGAUGAAUCUGUUAGUGUAAAUAACGGCAUGGCCUGAAUCUGGCCUGUGACAGUGUGUACUCGGUUGGUUUGCCUCUAUUGCUCUCCACUGUCUCUUACUGCUGCACUGGUUAAGGCCUUUCAUUGUAGCAUUAUUUUUGUCAUGUGCUCGACUAAAAGUUCUGAACAUGGUAGAGUGCAACGACUAAGUUGUGUUAGGCAUAAUACCACAACAUAAUUGCAAUGGGUAACGGAUGUACACUUGUCCCAGUCACAUUGUGCCACUUUGUACAGGAUGAAGAUCAAACUUAAACAAUAAAACAUAACGUGAUGAACAUUUCCACUUCCAAGCUGCAGAAAAGAAAUUGGAUAUCUUCUAGUCCUUUGCAUCUGCAAUGCCUCCUGGAGUUAUCUGAAAGACGUGCUUCAUGUUAAGGAAAUCUUGGGUGCAAUCUGGAAGUACUUUUGCUUAGACUCGGGCAAUUAGUAAUUACAGCCAUAUUUACCAUUUACAUAGAUUUUGGUGUGAUAACUGGUAUCAUUGGUCUACGUCAUAAUGAUUACUGAAUAAGUUAAAUUAAGUGGGAAGGAUAUAGCUUCAGCUUCAGGAAGAUUUGGUGCAUCAAAGACUUUGCAGACACGCUGUUCGCCUUUACCCUUCCUGAACAUUAACCGUAUUGUGGACGCAUGAGCAAGCACAUGUCCUCCUGCUGGUUUCUUUGGAUCAGAUAUGAAGACACCUCCUCCAGGAUCUGCUAUAACUGCAAAAUCCAGUUUAUUUUUGUACAUUAGAACCAAAUGUUAUAGAAAAUGUAUGAAAUGAUUUAUGCAAGACUGAACCCGAAUGCUUUAAUUGCAUAAAGAACUAGUUUGAUGAAACUGAAAAGCACAGCUUAAACAGUUAAAUUAAAGCUCAUAUAAUGGAUAACUUCUGUAGGGACUAAAAUCCUGGUUGUCUUUUCUAUUUCUCUCUUCUGUUAUUUGAGUACCUUGGUUGGUCAUGUAUACUGCAACAUUAAACUCCUCAGCAAUCUUUGUUAACCUAGAGAGCAUCUGAGCCAACUUUUGCUGCACAUACAGAAGUCUAGUGGAGGUUAGGAGACAGAAAAUCUUAGUAACUAUAUUAAGCAUUGUAAAGUAAUAUGUAGUAAACCUGUCGGUCUGCCAAUUCUCCUCUUCCAGUAAAAUCAACUCGAAAUAGAGCAAUCACCGAAUCAACAAUCUGAUGAUGCAGUUGAUAGAAUUAAACUAACAAGCUUCAGGUCUGUGCCUUAAUCUCUAUAAGCUAACAGCAGAGGCUUACCAGAAGCCUGAAAGGCUCUUCAGCCAUUUUGGCAGCAAGACCCAGAAGCAGAUUGUACUGAUGCUCAUACGUGUAUGCACGAGCAUAAAUGAUCUUCACAAUCCAAAGGACCAAAAGCAAUCAUUAAACAUAAUUAACAGAGCUUGAUGAUGAUAAAAGAGCCAAGUCUCUAAAAAACAUAAGGAUGCAUAAGUUGUUUGAGUAACAAGCUUUACGUUGUCUAGUACAGCUCCUGGAUCCAUGCCAAACCUUUCAGCAAUUGGCACAAUGCGAUCAGGUCGACUUCACGUGAGUUCAGUCAAGGGAAAUAAACAUCGAAGAGAAAAGCUUCAUCAGCAGUUCUCCUUCCAGUCACUGCUGGUAAAGAGGCUGAUAAUGUGAUUUUAGAGAACUUAAGAACUACAAAUAGCAAGGAUACAAAGUCCCCUCAGUAUCAAUGUAAGCAACCUUUCCAUUGCCACCUCUCAUGUUAACAGGAAGCUGCAAAAUUACAAAGAUGCAUAAAACCAAACUUCAAUUGUGGAUAUUAUUAAUUCAAACCAGGAAGUAUAGGGAAAUCAGUCAAUGGAAAGAAAGCUAUUGCGUCUCUAAAAGUCCAACCUACGUUACCACGAAGAAUUUUAAGAGCCUAGCAAAUAAUAUUGAACAGCUAGUUUUAGAAUCCAGCAAAAUAUUAAAUUCAUAUCAAGUGCAUAUUUGUUACACAGGUUAUGAGCAAGGAUGACAAACACACCUGUGUGGAGACGCAGAGUGUGUGAGCAAGCUGUGUCUUUCCUGAUCUGAAUCGAAGUGUCAAAGGAAGAAGCACUUAAGAUCGGAGUUUACGAGCAUAAACGAACAACAAAACCAAAAUGACAACAGUAAGGAUUUGAUUCAAGUAAUUGCGUCAUGGUAAACAUCACAUAUUUUACCUGAAUUCACCAAAAGCUUCAGUAAUUGCUGAUGUUUCAACUCCACCUAGACAAAUUAGGGCAGAAAAGCACAUUUAAAAUGAAAGCAGCUUAUAUUAAUUCAGUAAAACAACAUUAGAUUUCAUUGUUUACCCCCUAACAGUUCAUCUAGAGCCUGACUUCCAGUUGUAAUACGAACCACAGCUUUCCUCUGAACCCCAAAAAAAAAAAGAUUGGAGAUAACCAUGAAUCUUCAGGAUAAGUUCAGCAUUGCUUAAAAGAGAUACUUGGAUCUUUAUCUUAGCCAGUCAAAAAAAUAGGCCAGAUAGGAUUAUGCAGUGCUCAGGAAGAAAAGAAUCUAAAAAGAGUGCUUACUUUAAGAAGAGCAUCACUUCCAGUUAUGUAACCAAAGUUCUGAGAAAACAACGGAGAAUCAGAUUAGAUAAAAUCAAACUUAAAGUUGCAGCAAGACAGGCCUCAGUUUAAUUGAAUGCUUAAAUCUCUAACCACUAUCUUUUCAGCAGCUUCACAAAUCUUGUCAACUUUCGCCUCAGAUAAUCCCUUUAUUCCAGUCAAGCUCUGCACAACAAAUGCAACUGCUAUUGACAAAGCUACCCAAGCAUUGAAUUCUAAUUACGAAAUUUGACGUAAUAUUUUCACCUUCUUUGUUUGCAUCAUCAAUCCAUUGCAGGUAUAGAUCCCGGCAUCCUGAAGCUUCUUGACAUCACCAGCAUUUAUUCCAUGAGCUGUCACUGCCAGAACAAUUGUAACAAUUUAUGUUCGUGAACUGGAAAAACUGCAGUAGUUCCAAUAAACAUUCCACCGUGCUGAAUUUCGGCAAUACACAGUGAAACCAGAAUUUUUAGCUUGUAAUCACAAGCAACAAUUGAGCAUAGUUUUGAGUUUGAGUGAAUAGAUGUUAAAUAUAGAACUCAGAAGCAACAAAAGUAUUAAACUCCAAAAUUCAACAAUGAUGAAUAUUUAGGGAUAGGGUUCCUGUGUACCAAUGAUUGGCUUUGAACAAAAUGAAACAGAGAUCUUAUGAUAUACACAGCACAUUCGACCAAACAUCAAAUGUUAGAACAUGAUUUUUGAACCAAGAUAAUGAGGUCACACAUUAAGAAAUUGUCUUGUCAUAUGUUGGAUUUUUUUAACCAAUACAAACUCCUGUUAGAUCAUUAAGAAAAUAUCCAGGAAAAGAAAAUAAAAUGAAAGAUCAUUCAGCAUAUUGAAUCAGUAAUGUGGUAAAAACUCAGCUGAGAAUCUAAGGCAGGCAGAAAAUCAAAAGGAAAUUUGAUAAUCCUCAAGCUGACGAUCAAUACAAAAACACUAAAUUCAUUACAACAUUGUUUUCAGUAUGCAGAACAAUUAAGUAUGGUUUUGGUCACUAGAACAGAUAUUAACAGGAUGCUCGAAGCCACAUUUACCAGGAGUUGACUUAGAUAUCCAAGCAACAGGAUCCUGUAUUUAUCUAUUAACAGUAUAUUAUCAGCUAAAAAUUUGAGAGAAAACCACAAGCUGCCAAUUUAUGUAGAAACUAGACGAAAAUAGACUCGGAAAAGGGAAAAGCAAGUCAGCUCGUGACACAGAAUCAACUGUAAUUGAAAACAGAGUGAUUAUUCAGGGAAAUUCGAGCUUAAAGAACACUGCAGAACAAUGGCCAGAUUAAACAAGAAACUACUUAGACUUGUUUACCUAGUUCACCAAAAUUUGACAAAAUCGUCGGAAAAGAUGAAACGUUUUCCCGUUCCGAGACCGAUUCAAAUUUGAUAUACUCGAAAAUUUUGCUAAACGCAUGUUAACGAAACGAUCAAAGAAAAGCUUCCACAGUUAAGUAAAUAAAAAUAUAAUAAAAUAUAAUGAAUUUUGUGAAUAUGAUUAUCUCAAAUCGGAAGCUACAUCGUUUAACCUAUUAAUCAAAAGUUAAGAACAGAGUCGCAAAUGAAACUUGAAGAGACAUUUUACCGCACCGAAACAGUAAAAAAAGAUGAAUUCUAUGAAGGUUUUAAGCUAAAUAACGGAACAUUUGAGAGAUUACGUUUGUCAAUGGCUUCGAACAAGUCUUCUUCAUCGUCGAUCUCUUCUCUUUCAACAAGCUGCAACUGGCUCUGUUCUUCGGACCUGAGAUCACAAGUUAAAUACAGAAAAGAAUAAGAAAAACGAAAACAUUGAACUUAAAACCGAAUGUAAUAAUGAAUAACUGAAAAUUUUGAUGGAUUAGUAGAAACAUUUGAAGAUUACUUGAAAGCCUGCAUCGCCAUUAUUCAAAUUCGUCGAGAGAGAAGAAAAUGUGCGUGUUUCGUGUUGCCCGAAGAGAGAGAAAGAGCGCGGUUUUAAGAUUUGGAAUGGAAAGGGUGGAUUUAAAUUGUGAAGAGCAGGGAGUUUUUAUAGAGUGGAACUGAGGGGAUUUAUCAAUUCUGAUUUUAUUGUGUUUGGAUUACGACCCGGCCCGAUCUGCCGUUUCAAUUGGUAAUGUGGAGUAAUGCAUUCUUCAACCUUUUUUUUUUUUUUUUUUUUGAAAAAAUGUACUUUUCAUUCCUAAUGUUUGAACUGUUAAACAAUUUCAUCCUUAAAAUUUUAGUGAAAACAUAUUUCAUCCUCAUAAUUUUAUAAUUUGGAUCAAUUUCAUCUUUAAAGUUUCAUACAAACACAUUUCGUCCUCAUAACUUCAUAACUUUAAAUAAUUGAAUGAUUAUUAACUAAUUUGAAUGGAAUAUCAUUCCAUCACCAGCAGGUCCCAUUAAUAUUUAUAUUACUAAUAAUUAAUUUGGUCAUUGAUUUAAUUACAAAAAUAAUAAUGAGUGUGUUUAAAUGGGAGAUUUUUUUAAAAAUUUAUGAUAUGAUGUAUGUGAAAUAAAAAAAAAUAGAUUGGAUGAUAGAUACAUGAUUUGAAAAACACAUAUAUGAUGUCAAAAAAUAAAAUUUUGCAAAUAAAUGACAAUCCAAACAAUUCUUUCUUUCACAUUAAUUUUUUCUCCAAUUGGUUGCAAUGAGUUGUUUGAAAUUUUUCUCCAAUUGGCUAUAAUGGGUUGUUUCUUCUUCACGACUUCAUUUCCUCUUGAUUUUUUUGUUCAAUUUGUGAUUAAGAAGUGAGCAAUAGUGGUUGAAAAUUUUUUUUUUUUAAAGAAAAGGAGAAAGUAAAUUAAACGAUUUUUGAGAUUUUUGUUAAUCCAUUUUUUUUAACUAAUAAGAAUGAUGCGGUCAAGUGAUGGUAUUUCAUCCAAAUUGCUUAACAGCCCAAUCAAUUGUCCUCAAUUAGUCAAAUUUAUGAAAAUAUGAGGAUGAAAUAUAUUUACAUGAAAUUUCAGGGAUGAAAUUGGUUGAAAUUAUAAAAUUAAAAGAUGAAAUGUAUUUUGACUGAAAUUUUAGGGACGAAAUUGUUCGACGCCCUAAACAAUGAGGAUGAAAAGUGCAUUUUUCCCCUUUUUUUUGGUGCUUUCUUGAAAAUGUGUUCCUCACUUCUUCAUAGUUCAUACCAUAAAUCAAAAGUUUUGUUAGCACAUAAAAAAAAAAAAAAAAAGUCAAAAGCUUUGUCCAAAAUGUAACAAAAAAAAAAAACCAAUCAAGAGUUGGGUAUUCCUUUGUGGUUGUUUCGGAAGAUAACAAGGAUAAUAAUACUACUGUUUGUUUACCAAUUAUUAUACACUUUGUUGAACAUAAUUUACCUUUUAUUUUUCUUUUUCAUAUUAUAUCUUUGUUAAAAAAAAAAUCUAUGUAUACCUUGGGAAAUUAAGAAUUCCUUUUUAGUAGCUGAAAGUUUUCCUUUUCAAAUGCUAAGACUAGGGGUGAUCCUCGCGCAAUGCGCGGGCGCCGAGGGAUUUUUUUUUCUAUAUUGCUGUGCUGAGGAGCUGAGUGAUAAGUAUAUUUUGCAAAAAGCUACUGCAUUGUAUUUGCUAUAUAGACAAUUUUUCAGAUGUUUUCAAAAGGGCAGGUUCAUCUGGAUUAUUGUCUAUAUUUAGUUUAUAGAAUCAUUCAAACAUAUUUAUAGCUAAAGCUUCUUAGAACUUUUUACAGUUUCAAAAGCAUUAAAGCUUUUUAAGCUUAUAUUUUAUAGGUGUCGGUGCAUUGUUUUUUGAUGGGGCUCUUUGUGAGUUUGAGUGCCGUGAGGAAAUUGCUGUCUACAUUUGCUGAAGAUUCAGGUGUAUGUGCAACUUCGGUUGUCGCUGGCUAUGGUGGAGAGUCGAUGAGCAUUUUUGUUGUAUUUUUUUCUCCACUAAUUGCACUGGAGCUAUUUUCUGAAGUAUUGGUGAUGUUAGGAAGUUUGUGUACUAUGAUGGCCGAGUAUUUUGUGUUGGUUACUAAGGCAUGGUUUGAAGCAGUCUUCUUGAUGAAGCAGACUAUUAUGUUGCUGCUGACACUGUCUUCUAUUGCUUGAUAAUCGAGUUUGUUCUGCAACGUAAAAAGAAUCACAAGUUUUAUUAAUGUAAGGUAUAUAUAGGUAUCUGUGUAGUAAUAGCAGGUUAGAAUGUAUUUAGUUUAUAUAUGCUAACUUGUUGCUCUUGUUGUUGAAUUUCUUCUAUUGUAAAAGGAAGCAAUUGAGAAGCAUCAUUUCCAUAGAGAUCCAGGGUCAGAUUUCCAGUGUAAUCCUCCAGUUGUACAGUCAAUCGACAUCUAUUUUCAAGUGAAGAUUGUUGUGAAAUAAUUUUUUUUGGAGAUAAAAAUUUGUAAGUAUUUUUUAGAAUGGAGUUUUCAACCAUGCCUUGGGCUGACUAUAAUGUGUAUGUUGCAAGAUGCACAGACAAUUGGCCAUUGUGGAAUAGAACGCAUAGAUUUGAAGCAUCGAAGGCAUGCAUUAUACCAGAAUUUUUGACUUCUAUCAAGCAAUUUAGGAGUUUCUUGUAUCCAAUAAGCUUUUUGAUGUCAUAUAUAUAUAUGGUUUUUCAUUUUUUUGUAUAUAGUGGUUGAUUUGUGUGUUUUGUGCAAAGAAGUUGUGUAAGUGAAAUUUACCAAAGAAAACUGAAGAUAAUCUCUUAUUGUGGUCAUUUCUUUUGCAUCUGGUAAUGAUAGCAAUUUUGAUCGAUUGUUGUAUGUUUUGUCAGCCAUUAGAUGUCGGAUUUGAUAUUCAUUUUUUGUUGCCCUACAUAGUAUGCUUUUGUCAAAGUAAAACAUCAAAAUAAUUAAUACCUCUGUCAUAGCUUGAGAAAACAGUAGUGUGUUUUUUGGAUUUGUCAUUAUUGUUUGACUGGAAUACAACCGUCCCUGGGAACACUAAUGAGGAGUUAGUAAUAUAGAAUUGAGGAAAAGUAAGAGAUAAUAUUAUACAAUUUAAAGCAUGGGUUAGACGUUCAUUUGUAUACAUAUAUACCUUUUGCAUUGCUGUCAACUGGUUCUUGAAUAGUUAAUCCAGAAUUAGGUGGUACUUCAGCAGAUAAUAUGUUGUUUGCAGUAGAAGUGGCACUCUCAAUUUUUUGAACAUUUUGUGGAUCUUCACUCGGUGGGUAAUUGGUACCCAUAGUAGUAGUUAAUGCAAUAGUAGGAGCAGGAUUGACAAUUUUUUGAGUAUCUUCUAAUGUAUGAGUAUCAAAAGAUAAGCGUAAAUUUUUUUUAUGAUAAGCCUCUAUCUGUUUCUGUCAACGCAUUUCCUUCCUUUUGGCCAAACGAUCAUGUUCCUCUUCAACCUUUGCUUGGUUACAGUGAAUUCAGAAAGUCUCCCCAAUAAUCGAUUUUUCAGCCUAUUUUAAUUGUUCAUGAGGAGAGAGUGCAGCGUAUUAUUCUCUUAUUUUUUUAUUACGUUGCUUCUUUUUUUCAGUUAUUGAAUCAGUAGAAUCAACAACAAACUUGGACAAUCUCAUUUUAUUAGACAACAAGAAUCAGAUAGCCAAUAAACAAAAGUACAAUAUAUAGCAAUUCAAAACGAACAAGGCAUUCAAUAAACAGUAGAACAAUGAAAAGAAGUAUGCACAUAAAAACUAUAUAACGACACUCUUAACAAACGAUAAAAGAGCCGUGAUAUUAAGGAAAAAGCAUAGAACCGAACCUGAAAUUGGUGAGCAAACUUGCAGGGAUAAGAAGCAGUAAACAAAGUUGCAGAGAUAAGAAGUAGGAAACGAGAAACUUUGCGGAUAAGAAGUACCAAAUGAAGUCGUAGGGAUAAAAAGCAGCAAACAAAGCUAGAAGUAGAGAAAAGAAAGAAAAUGCAUAUUGUUUAAGAGCUGCAAAAAAGAGAAUGCAAGAUGAUGAAGAAAAUGCAAGGUGAAGAACAAAGAAACCACAAACAACGUUUAUAUUGCUUCAGAAGAACCUCGGGAAACUAUAGCUGGAACGGCAACACACAAAUAGAAAGUGGCGACACAAACUAUAUAUCAAAUGUACAAUUAUACCCGUGAGUAUGAUGUAUUGGUUGCAAACAAAACAAGCAUUUGCAAGGACAAUAAAGUCAUUAUAUUCUGUAAUUGUUGUAUUACUGUAGGCCGGUAAAAUAAAUAGUUGAAUGGGUUCUCUUCUUUUGCACAAACAGAAACCACAUGUCGCAAAACUAAAGCUCAACUUGCAACGCACAAAAACAAUGUGGCGGUACAAAUGAGAUUUUAAAGAUAUCAGAUGUACAACUGUACCCAUGACUAUGAUGCUUUAGUUGCACAAAAAGCAAGCAUCUGGAAGGGCAAUAAAGUGAUUAUAUUGUUUGAUUGCUGUAUUGCUGUAGUCUCAUAAAACAAGGAUAUUAAUGGGUUAUGGCAUCAAAGUACCGUCUAUCUACAUGAAUUUUCUAGAGUAGAGGAACAAAUGAGGCUUCACUCUGCAUAAUAAGAUACAUAUCCCUUCUCACCAACAAAGCAGACGAAACUUAUCCCUAGAUUUUUAAUUUUUUUCUCACCAACAAAAAAGACGAAACUUAUCCCUAGAUUUUCAACUUUUUCUCACCAACAAAGCAGAUGAAAAUGCAAGGUGAAAAGUUCACCAAAGAGUAAACUCCAACUGCUUCUUAUAUAUGUGUAUAGAAAUUAAGACCACUUAUUUCCUAGUUUGAAAUCAUGGUCAAAUACUCAACUACGCAAACAAAAUGUACGACAAAUAUUUCUAUUAAUGACAUACAAAAAACAAGCCACUGUCUUAACUCUUAUGUUGCGUUUGAUAAAAUUGUAGUUUGAAAUUUAAAAUUUAAAUUCUGAAUCCAUUAAGUUAUUAAAUUGUUAACUAUUAAAUCUAAUCAUUUGAGUGCAUAUCACAUUCAGUGAUAAGUAAAUAGUUUAUCACUUAUUUUUGGAAGCAAAUUUUAUUUAUAAAAUUCAAUGCCACAUAAUUAAUUCAAAUAUUCAAUUUUUUGUUAUCAAACGGUUUGAAUAUAUUAAAAUCUGAAUCCAUUAAAUUUAAGUGAUGAAUUGAUUUAUCAAACAGGGCCUUAAUUUCUUUUAUGAUGAAUAAUCACUGAAAGUUCAAUAUAGGCCCUAUUUGGACAGUAGUUUUCAAAGAAAAAUUGCUACGCUUUCCGUGAACACAUUUUCCUAUCACAUUUUUACCUCAUAUAUAUCAAAUUGUUACAGUAAUUUUUCUACAAAAAAUCUAGAAAAAUUCAAUCCAAACAAAACCUAAGGUUUACUUGCUAAAAUUUUCUCAACUAUCCCUAGAACAAAAUUCCUAGUUGGUCCUAUAACAAUUAGUCAAGAAUUCUUUUGGAUUGCAUUUUCCAUCAUUUUCCAUGGAAAAAUUAUUGUAGUGAUUUGAUGUAUGUGAGAAAAAAAGAUAAUAGGGAAAUGUGAUCAAGGAAAAUGAUACAAUUUUCCGACGAAAAAUGGCUGUCCAAACACAUUUUAAAAUUUCCCUUCUGAUUUUCUAUGAAGUCUAGGUUUGAACGAGGAGCGUACCUGCGUGAGUGCAUAGUCCAUCACACAAUAGAAUCCAAGACGAGAAAAAGUCCAUGGGGGGUUUUUGGGAAUUUGGGAUGGGAGCUUUUUCAUGUUGGGCUGUUUUUGAAAUUUGGUUCGGUUGAUUUAAGGGUUGCUUUGUGCUUGUUUUGCCUAAUUUGUCCUUAUUUAUGUUUGUCUAUUGACUAUUUUAGCCUUAUGUGCCUUUGUUACUCUUGCUGGUAUCUGUUAUUUGGGAUUUGAUUUUUUGAUCCUUUUGGUUUGAACGUUAACUUCAGCCUAUGUAAUAGUUUAAUGUAUGUAAAUAAAUAAAUAAAUAUAUAUUUAUAUAGUUAUGUAUAUAUAUAUGCUUAUAUAUAUGUCUGUAUAUAUAUAUAUAUAUGUUUUGAAAAAUGUAGCCUGAUUAGUUUAGUAUAUAUGAUUGAUUCCAACUAAUCUUUUGUUCUUGACUGCAUAUAUAGUUAGUAGAUGUUCUUGGUGGGAAGGGAUACACCAUAUUUAUAUCAUUCUUAUUUUUAACCUCUGGUAUCUUUAAUGAAUGUUAUAAAACCUUUUGUAUUCAUUUAAUGAAAAAAAUCAAUAUUCAGGGCUUAUUUAGUCGCGUGAGGCUGCCCACUCCAACUAGUUUUAAACAAUACCGGAAUUCUUCUUUUCAAACUUCCCGAGAUGGGGAGUCAAAGUAAAUUGCCCCAAAACUUCCCCAUAUUCUCAAUGAGGCCAACCUCCAUUAUUAAAUAACCUUCCCUGUCAACUUUUGACGCCCCCCGCUCCUCCCCUUUCUUCCUCCUCUUCUUUCUAGGGUUUCUUUCUCUCUUGUCUUCUCCCCCCACCACCAACACCUCCAUCUCCUCCUCCUCUUCAGGCCUAAAACUCUCCCCUUCCUACUUCCAGAGUUGCACACACUUGCUCACCUCUCUUUCGGUAUCAUAUGCGUGUCUGUGGAUGUCCAUUGAACUUUAUGCUCAACUUUCACUCAUUCCAGCCCUAAUUAUAGCACCCCAGGGGAGGAACUCAUUCUUUUUUUAAUCAGGGUUUUUUUUAUUUGAAUUGAAUUUUGUCGGGAUUUAAGCAGCAGAGACAAUGCAGGUUAAAGAAUUGAAAGAAACUGAGAAUUCUGUGGAAAACCCUGGUGAAAAGUCUGUUGAAGUUGCUGAGAAGAAGCCUUCAGAUGAGAAAUCAGUCGAAGAGCGCGAUGAUUUUGACUCGAUUCUUGAUGUUUCGGCAAAAAGUUUUGAUUUUCCUGUGUUGGAAGGGGCCGAGAAGUCUGUAGAGGCUCUGUAUUUGUACAAGAAUGUUUUUAAUUUGAUUCCCAGAGGAGUGGGGAGCUUAAAGUAUUUGAGAACUUUGAAGUUUUUCGCGAAUGAGUUGAAUUUGUUUCCUGGGGAGUUUAAUGAUUUGGGUGGGUUGGAGUGCUUGCAAGUGAAGGUGGCCCAGGCGCCCGGGUUAGGUGGGUUGGACUUGGGGAAGUUGAAGGCUUUGAAAGAAUUGGAGCUGAGUAGAGUGCCUUUGAGGCCAUCUGCAUUUCCUGUAUUGAGUGAACUUGCUGGAUUAAAGUGCUUGACUAAGCUCUCUGUUUGCCAUUUUUCCAUUAGGUCAGUGUUUUCUCAAUUUUAUUUGCAUUUUCUAUUCUUUAAAAAAAUAAUUGAAACAUGAUUACUUGAUCACAUUCUUGGUAGUCGCUUUAUGUAAUUAAAAUUUCAAUGAUAUUCUGUUUUAUUUGUUGUUUGGCGUUUCUGGAAUUGGACCAAGUUUAAAUUAGUUGCUUUUAUUAUUGUUGUUAUCUGGAAUAACUGUAAUGGUGAUUCCGAAGCUCAAUUGUUUCAAGUUAUGGCAAUUGCUAAUUCGGAUUUCUGUUAGAACACUAGUCUGCACUUUGGCUGCAAGGGUAUCCUUUUUAAAAUCAAAAAAUAAUUUAUUGCCUUAUGAUUCUCAUGAUAUUAAUGAUUUAUUAGAUGGAGCUAGUCAUAAGAGUCCUGGAUGUAGUUUUACUCUAUUGAAGCUGAAAGGGAUACGAAUUCUUUAGGAAAAAUAAACUCUAACUCUCAUAGUCAUUUCCACAUCCAUGGUCAUUUAUUUUUUCAUAUACAUUUCCCUUAUUGGUUCUCAUACACAACUAUGAAGCCUUUGUUGUUAACUUGUUGCUGAUCGUAUUGUCACAUCAUCUAAUAUUAACUGAACUGCAAGUGAAUAUUGAAUCAUUUGUCUCUAUAUGGGUGCUUAAAUCUGCUUGAUUGUCAGCGGUCCAGUUUGUAGAAUACUUCUUUUAUGAGGCCUUCUCAUAAGAAGUUGUGCUUGUGGAAUGCUUUUGGAUUAUCUGAUAGUGUGAUGAUACAUAAUGCAGUUACCGAGCACUUGUGUUAAAUGCUCAUCAACAUUGAACCCAUACGAGAAAGCUUCAGUUUUGAGUUUUUUUAGCCAGUAUGACUCACUAUUUGAGAUACCGGAGUUGUAUAUUUUAUUGGCUAUGGUGGUACCAAUAUGGAAGCUUUCCUGGUUAUAUAGGAUUUUGGGGUUUGAGGCUAACUAAGCAGAUAAGCUAUUUGAUCGAGUAUCUUCCUGAUAAAAGAAACAAACUAUUCUAGUAAGAAAUGAGACUUCCAGUAUGCUUGAAAGUUUUUAGGAAAAAGGAAGUUUAACAACUAUAGUCUGUUUUGUGCUGAAACCAGGACACAAGCAUAAUGAUGAUGCUAUUGGAAAUUUCAUGUGUCUGUUACACAUAAUGUUAGAUGCCAAUAACAUUUAGAGAUAUUCGUUUCUGUUUAGCUAUUCUCUUUCAUUUUGUCCUGGCAAGAGUUUAAAUCCCCUGAAUUCUUACUUUUACUGUAGAUUCCUCCCUCCAGAAAUUGGACGCCUUAAUAGAUUGGAGUACUUGGACCUUUCAUUCAAUAAGAUGAAGAAGUUACCGACUGAGAUAACUUUCUUAAACUCCUUAGUAUCUCUGAAAGUUGCCAACAAUAAAUUGGUUGAGCUACCUUCCGGUCUGUCUUCUUUACAAAAGCUGGAGAAUUUGGAUCUCUCAAACAAUAGGUUGACAUCCUUUGGGUGUCUGGAACUCGAAUCAAUGCAUAACCUUCAGAGAUUAGAUCUUCAGGUAUGUAAUAGCAUCAACAUAAAAGCUAUACAGUGAUACAUUAAAAUUUUUUAACGAGUUUCAAGAUCAUCUUCCUCCAUAUCUGUUUAGUCUCUUUACUGAUUGGAUAUUAUGCCUCUCUGAUGAUGCUUGAGUUAAGAAAGUGUUGAAUUAUAUAUUGGGGUUUUUCAGCUGCCCUCCAUCUUUACUACUGACAUGUAAGACAUGAACUUGAAAGAUACUGAAUUAGAGAAUGUGUGAACAUUAUUUAUGUUUUUUACUAUUAGAAUAGAGAAUGUGCUCAAAUGGUUGGUUUGAGCCAACAUCCCUUGUUCAGUUUUUAGUAGUUGCAAUUUAGAUUUUGAGAUGGUUUUGUCAACUCCUGACUUAUUUUAUUCAGUUAAAGUGGGCCUGUAUUUUGCGAUAUAAUGAUCAAAUUUAAUUGUUAUACAUGAAAGUGGAAAAUCAUUGGGUUCAACUCUUGGAAAGUGGUUCUGUAUUCUGGACAAUUAAAUUUAAAAGAUUGACAUUUCUUAUGUGCUCAGACAAAAAUAUGUAAUGUUUGGUACUUGUUUUCCUUCUGUAUGUUCAAUCAAUCUUCUGACAUGUAGCUUCUUGCAUCUCUUCACUCUACUCAAGCACAAUAAGCUUCUUAGUUGCUGUCAAAUACCUUCGUGGAUAUGCUGCAAUUUGGAGGGAAAUGGCAAUGAUUUGUCAAAUGAUGAAUUCAUCAGUUCUGCUGCAGAAAUGGAUGGUGUAGAAUGCGUAGUUGAGGAACCCUGUGAUAGUGGAGGUGAAUUGAACAAGACUUGUUGCCACUCACACGCACAUACACAUGAUUCAUUUAGAAGUUGUAAUCUGUUUUGCUCUUAACGUGGAUAUAUUUUGUAAUGUCAUAGGCUCUUCUACAACAUCAUUGAAUCAUUCAAGUGGGUCAUCACCUAAUAAUAAAUGUUUUGCUGCACGCAAAUCAAAAGGAUGGAAAAGACGGUAUUCCUUGCAGCAAAGAGCUCGCCAGGAAAGAUUAAAUAACAGUCGGAAGUGGAAGGGUCAAAAUGUUGCUGCAAUCCAUAAAACUACUGAAAAAUGUUUGACAUGCAGAGACUCCGAUCUUGUGGAUGAUUCGUUUGUUGAAAGUUCAUACACCACUGUAGUUUCUGAUUUUGAUAACAAGGAAUUGUUUUCUGGUAGUGUUGACUUGGGGAGAUCAAUCGAAAAUGUUGACAAUGAAAUUGUUUUGAAGAAGGAUUAUUGUGAGAAGAAAUGUUCAUGUGAUGCGCUUGAAUCGUAUCAAAGUGCUUGUACCAAGCAUGAAACAGCCUCUCUAUCAGAUGCUAGUAGUAUGCCAGACGACUGCUUGUAUCCUGAAGCAUCUAGUAGUAUUUGCAAGUCUAAAAGGCAUUCUGAUGCUGAGCUUGAUAGCCCCAAACCGAGGAAAUAUAGGAGACCUACUGGCAAUCAUUCGGACACCUCGUCCCAAUAUAGCAGGAUAUCAUUCUGUGGGGUUGAUGACUAUUUAUCGGAUGGCUUUUAUGAUGCAGGACGAGAUCGACCUUUUAUGCCCCUAUCUGUUUAUGAGAAAAAUCUGCAGCUUGACUCUCGAGAAGUUAUUCUUGUUGAUCGGUAAUUCUCAAUAUACUUGCAUCACGAAUUAUGCUGUUUUUUGGAGUUCCUUGAUGGACUUGUUUUGAUUUUUUAAUCUUUUGUUCAGGGAGAGGGAUGAAAAACUUGAUGUUAUUGUGCUCUGUGCUCAAGCGCUUGUGUCACGUUUUAGGCAGAUUAAUGGUUUAAUGAAGGAAAGGGGACGUGGAGCUAUUGAUUCCUUGCAGAUUGCAUCUUUGCUUGCCAUUUUUGUUUCGGACCAUUUUGGUGGAAGUGACAAAAGUGCAGCCCUUCAAAACACCAGGAAAGCAGUUUCUGGUUCAAAUUAUAGGAAGCCUUUUGUUUGCACAUGCCCUACUGGGAAUGAUGACAGAACUAAAAGAACCACAAAAGAUAGUCUGGAUGGUGAAGAUAUUGUUUUCCUUGAUCUAUGUGAGAGAGCUCUUCAAUCUUUAAAGGCAAGACGAAAUUCUGUAGUUGUUCCUAUUGGUAGCCUGCAGUUUGGUGUAUGCAGACAUAGAGCUCUGCUUAUGAAGGUACUUUUGCGUAUGGAAUUUUCCUUUUCCUAUUAUUAUAAUCUAAUGGAUUUUCCUUACAGCUCUACAGUUUGUGUAUUCAGCUAUUUUCAAACUAAAAAAAUUUCCUGUUUGUGCACUGCAGUACCUCUGUGACAGGGUAGAACCUCCAGUACCUUGCGAACUUGUUCGUGGUUUCUUGGAUUUUUCACCUCAUGCUUGGAAUGUAAUAGCUGUUAAGAGGGGUCAGUUUUGGGUUCGCAUGAUUGUUGAUGCUUGCCAUCCACAUGAUAUAAGAGAAGAAACAGACCCUGAGUAUUUUUGCAGGUAUACUUAUUCAGUGCUUUUACUUACUGUUGAAGGAUACAUUAGAAUAUACCAACUGCCUGUGAUUGGAAAUAAUUGGAAUUCUGUUUACUAAGGCUGAAAAAAUUAUUUGUUUUCUGGCUGUUGAAAGCAAAUGUUUCUUUAAUGGGUACUUUUUUUGCUAUGCAGGUUAAUUUUCAAUAUGCUUCAGGUCAUUAAGAAAUUGUUGACUUUUAUAUUUGUUUGAGGAUUUUUUUGGUCAAGUAUUGGUGAAAUGUUAAUGCUCUGUCUUCAUUCUUCUGCAGAUUAAUUUGUAUUUUUCUUGUUGUUUGAUACUGGAAACAAUUUCUGGUUUCCAAGUACAACUCAUCGCCUUGGCUUAUAAAAAAUUAAUUUUAUAAGACUUUGGUGAAUUGGUUAUUUAUUUGAACUUAAUUCAUGCUAUUUGUACUAAGUGACCCUGUCUUUGCAGGUAUGUUCCUCUGAGUAGGAUGACUGUAUCUGCUCGGAGAGAUGAUAAGUCUAGUAUGUACUGUUCGUUUCCUUCUCUCUCUGCAUGUGAUCAAACUGGAAAAACAGCAUCUACCACCCUCCUGGAGUGCAAAGUUGGAUCAGUUGAGGCAGCAGCAAAGGUUUGUUAUUGUUUGUUUCCUUGUCUGGUGUCCUACUGUAUUAUUCCUUAUUCAGGAUCAUUAUUAUUAUUGAGGUGUAUAUGUUGCUUGGUGAUUUGCUGUAAGAUUCCUUUAGCAUUUUGUUUAGAUUUAUUUGGUUUCUGCUUUGUUGUAUUCCUAGCGUUCAAUUCAUGUGCAAUGCUUAUAUUUAUGAAGUUAUGGAAACAUAAUAUGAAUCUUUACACUGAGUAUCAUUUAAACAGUAUAGUCAUGAAGGAAAAAUUGUGUUUCUAACUAGUUUAACAAUGCAGGUGCGCAAAUUAGAAGUAUUUGGACAGUUAGCAGAUGAAAUUAGGAGUUUUGAAUUAAAUUGUUUAGGGGAAGCCAGAAUGCUGGGUUCUUUGAAGCAUUCGUGUAUCAUUAAAUACUAUGGUCAUCAAAUAUCAUCCAAGUGGUCCUCUUCGUCUGAUGGAAAAUCAGAUAUUCGUAUCUUGCAAUCCGCCAUAUUAAUGGAGUACAUCAAGGGGGGUUCCCUAAAGGUGUUAUUUGCCUUCUCUUCAUUUCUGCAUGAUCUACCUCUCGAUUGCUUAAUCUACCUAUAUAGACUUACAGAAAUUUGUGUUGUGUGCUUAAUUCAACAGCUUUAUCUAGAGAAACUGGCAAGAGAUGGUGACAAGCAUGUUCCUGUUGUGUUGGCACUGUUUAUUGCAAGAGAUGUUGCAUGUGCGUUGGCAGAGCUGCAUUCCAGACACAUUAUUCAUCGCGACAUAAAAAGCGAAAACAUUUUGAUUGAUUUGGAGGAGAAGAGGGAUGAUGGUUCACCUAUUGUAAAGCUUUGUGACUUUGACAGGGCAAUCCCUCUUCGUUCAAGCUUGCAUUCAUGUUGUAUUGCUCAUACUGGGAUCCCUUCACCUGAUGUUUGUGUAGGCACCCCUCGUUGGAUGGCUCCUGAGGUGUUUAGGACAAUGAAUAGACGUGACAUGUAUGGGCUGGUAAGUACUUUCUGCAAUCCACUUUUAGGUGUUUACCCAGUGUCGCUGAUGGUGUUUGACUUUUUUUUUUCUUUUCCCAAAGUGUCCUAAAAUUAUUUGCUUUAGUCUCUGUCACCCUGGGCUGUUGGUGCAUUGGCAAGAUGGCUAAGAAACGCUUGAGAGAUCUUUAAACAUUCAUUGGCAUAUCAUGAAAGGAAUUUAAUUAAAGAACAGAGUCUGUUUGUUUGUUCUGAGAAUGAUAGCAUCAACAAUAGUGAUUUUUCAUUCUGUAUGUGCUAAAAGUGCAUCCUUCUUUAAGUAUCAUACUCAAAUUUCUUGGCUGGUCCCUAUCCACAGCUGUAUUACUGGCCAUAAAUGCAAUCAUUGCUGAGUCAGUGAGAGGCCUGGUUUUUUUUAAGGGAACAUUAAGGGGACAUCAAUAAUGAUGCAUCCUUUUAAUCCUGGGUGUUUUUUGUAGAUCAGAUAGCUUUUGCUCUCUGGAAAUACUAUGUUCUUAGUAUUAGAAGUACAUUUAGCAAGUUAAUUAGGAAAGAAAUGACAAAUUUUCAUUGGUGAGUGCAUUACAUUAAGACAUCAACUCUAAGUAAUUGGCCUACUUAAAUAGUUAUUUCUUGCACUAUUUGUUGUAUUCACUGUAUUUGAAUUCCUCCCCGAACUUCUUCCUCUUCUUGUAGAUUGAUUUUUUGGUUAAUGUUUUGUCGAAUUUUGGGCUCAUGUGUACGACUCUUGUGAUUUAGUGAUUUAAGGGCGUUUUGCUAACUCCUUUUCCCCCCUUUGUUUGUAGGAAGUGGAUAUUUGGUCAUUUGGGUGUGUACUUGCAGAAUUAUUGACGUUGCAAAUCCCUUACUCAGAUUUACCUGAAACAGAUAUUCACAGUUAUCUUGAGGUAUGAUUCCUUCUCCAAAUCAAUCCUGUGUAGAAUCUGUACUCGUGAGCUAUCAAACAAAAAGUAACAAAGCAUUUUGUGUUAUUGGCAUGAAGAAACUAGUACAUCCUGAAAGGUAGAAAUGUUAAAAUUAGAUCUAGGUUCUAAACUUUGCUUACGCACCUUUUAUAGACAUUUUUCUGUGCUUAUUUAAUGUUGUAGAAUGUAGAUACGGCUUUCCUAAUUUCGAGAGACAUUAGGACAUUAUAAUGGAUACUGGCAAUGUGAACAUUGCUUUUGAGCGUUGACCAAAAUGUAAGUAUUGUUGAGAGCUUUAAAUAUGAUUUUAUUAAAGAUUGAAACUGGAUGCGAUUUGAUAUUUUCAACUUUCUGGUAGUCUAGCUCCUUGAAUGUAAUGUUUUGGGCAAUGUUGUGAUAUGACAUAGAAUAUUUUCCUCUGAAAACGGAGCUAAGUUCAUAGAACCUGGGUAGCAUAUUUCCGGAAACCAACUUCAUUCGAUCUUGCACUGUUUUUGUUCUGAUGCCCGUGAAGCUGUAAUUUGAGAAACGAUUUAAAUUUCUUUGUACUAAUGCAGGUUGGAAAACGACCGCGCCUAACUGAAGAGCUGGAGGAAUUGACUGACUCUGGCCAGGAGUGGGAGGAUGUAGUAAUGGCUCAACUAGAGUCAGAGCCCAAGGGAUCAGAGAAUGAAUCCAGAGUACUAAAGAUUCUUGUUGCUUUGUACUAUUGGUGUACAGAGAGUCAUGUAAAAGACCGUCCAACUGCAAAGAAACUUUACAAUUUGCUUGCACAUGCAAGCCUGACUUUUGGAUUGAAAAGCCUAGAAGAGCAAGAAUAGGUGUCGAUCAGGCAGUAAUUUAUUCUUGACCCAGAUUUUUGUAGCCUUAGGAAGUUGGGGAAUAGAAUUAGAUUUUAGUAGCACUUGGUCCACUGGGACCAAGCACACAGGGGUUACGCCUUAGAAGAGUAACAUUUCAUUUUCCAGUAUAGCCGUAGCAUGAUACAUAGUAGCUUUUACAUGAUAGAGCAUCACGAUCAGACGACCCCCCCGGCUCUUAAUAGGUGGAUUGUUUUCAUCAGAGGUUAGUUUGCCUUUGUAAUUCGUGCUCUGGUUCUGUAAGCCCUUUGUCAUUGUAUCCAUUUUCACUUCAGCCACAAUGUGGAGUCAUUUAUGCUGCUUAUGUAGUAGUCUCCAUCACAGUGCCAAGAUGUUUGUCUGGGAAAUUCAUCAAUCUAAGUCUGAUUAUUGGCUUGAAGCUUGAAAUUGAAAAUUAUCCUCAUCUUGCUAACAUUUGAAGAUUGCAGUACCGCCUUCUUAAUUAUCUUUUGUAGAUCUGUUCCCUUGACUUAGCCCCAAGGAAAUUAGACAGCAAUAAUACUUCCCAUAUUCUUGUACGAAACUGUUGGAUAAGCGCAGUUGCUACAGAACCUGAGGUUUUUCUGGCACUUUGUCGGGUGUGCUGUUACUCAUACGCUCUUCGUUCUACUGUUUCAUAGGGGUCCUAUUAUAGAAGACCUUUCCGCAGUACUGUAACGUGCACUGAAGGCGUCGUGGAUUGGGAAGCCAAUUAGCAUAUGUGCCAUUUAUUUUAAUAUCCUCCUUGGAACUGCAAUAAUUGGUCAUUGUGCAGUCCUUUUUUUUUUUUUUGGUCGGAGUAAGCGGGAGAUCUUGAACUCGAGAUCUCUUGUUUGGAAUUUUCAUUACUUUAUCAAUCAAUCCAACUCUCCUCCUAUGAUAAUUGGUCAAUUCCCCAAUUGCAAAAAUCCAAUAAAGGAGGUAUUUAUAUACAUUAUAAUAUCACUUAACCUAAACUCAAAGCAAAAACAUCGGUUGUGCUCAAAACAAACCACAAAAACGAAAGCAUACAAUAGAUGAUUAGAAGUUCCUAACAUAUAUGAAGUAAUUUGUUUCUUUUGGUCGAGAAAGCUUUUGUAACCUGGCAGAUUCUGGUUCAAAUCCCUUUUCUCGCUUCUUAAAUCUCACCUAUUUCUUGCUUUAGAAAAAAAAAAAAGGGACUUAUUUUUAUUUUCUGUUGAAUGAAAACUAAUCGAAUACAUAAGUACAUUUUCUUGAGUGCAUAUUUGUUGAGCCCGACCCAGUUAACAUACGACUCAUACGACUUACAGCAUCAUUCAACUUGUCUAGAGAGCAUUUCUGCGGAAAUUUUCUUCAGUCGCCUAUUUCAAAGAUCGAUGGCUUAUGGAUGGCCUGCCAGAAGUCUGAAGGGUUGGCAUCACAAUGCACAUUCUGCUCUACCACCAUAGCCAGGUGAUGCAAUAAUAACCUCUCCCCCCUACCCUGCCGAAAGAAAAAGCUUGGGAGCUUUUUGUCGAACAUAAAAAAUGCUACAGAGAUGAAAAGGUAUCCAUGCCUCGACGGUUUGAGCUCCAUAAAGCUCCUAACCGUUUGUGGCCUAGAUUUGGAUGCUAUAAAGCACACUGCAUUUUCAAUUUUUGAGAAUUAAGACUGAUGCUUGUGCACUAACUAAAUUUGACCCUGUGGAGAAUUUUUUGUACACUUCCUUCAUAAAUUAAUUAAUUCAAUCCAUCUCUGACCAAAAUGUAAUUAUAUAUCUCCCUGGCUUAAAAUGUUUGUCAUGAACCAUUAAACGUCAUUGAGCUCUCAUAUCGAUACGAAAAAUGUCUAAAACGUGUAAAUGCUUCAAAUGCUCUGCCUCCCAAGGAAGGCUUCAUAUUUGUCGGUUGCAUCAUCAUAAGUACAGUUUUUCAGUCGAAUUUUUAUCUUUUUAACCACUUUUAUAUCUCAAUCUCAUAUACAUAACGUUGCAAAAAAUUCUAUAAUAAUAUUCUAAUUUUAUUUUUCUAAAUAAUCUUCUAUCUAUAGUGGUAAACACACAACAUACACAUGAAAUUUUAAGCGUGCUACACAGAAUCUUACCACCAUAUUAACCGUAAUCACACUUAACAGCUAAAUCCUGGCCGCCAAUCAUGAAGGGUUCUUGAGGCCCCAUACAUGAGGAGAUGAUCGGAUCCAUGUUAAAUGAUUUUGAUUUUGUCAAAUUAGUCCAUGUCAGGAGGACCAAUAAUGUUCCUGCCCACAUCGUGUCUAACUUGUCUUUAUCUCUUGAGGGAAGAAGGGUCCGGUUUGUAAACUUCCCCAAGAAAGUGUCUGAUGCUGUUCUUGCGGAUUUAACAUGAAUGAAAACUCCCUUUUAAGCUUAAAAAAGGGAAAAAAAAAAAGUACAUACACAUGUCCUCUUCUUCUUCAAUUUUUUUUUUGGGGUGUGGAAAAUAGUACCUAGAGAUGAUAAAUGGUGGUACUAGCUACCGUACUAGUACUAAGUGAGAUAUAAUUGGAUGUCACUCGAACAAUCCUUGUCUGAUCCAAUUGGCAUCCUCCGAGCUACUGGGCAAGCACAGACUAGUAAAUGGGGUUGCAGCACAUCAGAAGCAAAAGCAUCAUCAGGAGCAGCAGAAUGCAGCUGCAUUUUUCCUUCUCCCUGCCCCCCUUGAUGCAAUCUGCUGUGACCUUUUUUCAAUGACAAUGUCCUGUAAGCCCUUCCGAAAGGACGCACAUUACAUUUAUAUAUGCAGAGACACAAGGUGUGGGAAGCAGGAAGAUCCAGUAGUAGUACCCCCCCCUCACCUGCAUGCUUUCGCAGCCUACAUCUGCAGAAUUUGUAUUGCUUCAGCCCAGAGGACCACUCUAGUCUACUACCAGCCAUCACAACCCUCUUAUCUCCGCAGGCCUGUUUUGUACAUAACUCUGAUUAGGACCACUUGCACCCCCCACAGUCCUCUAAAAUCCAGGCUUUUUAGGGUUCUUAGGGGACACAAAAAAGACCUACUCUCCAUGCUUCAUGUUUUUGUCUGUGUGUGAAAAAAGGUAGGGAAGAUAAAUGCAUGUGUUGCUAUAGCAGUGUAUGCUGGAAAUGCAGUAAUGAGUAAGAACAGUACACCUUCAAAUGAGCUUAUCAUCUUUUAGCUGGCCGAAGACAAUUCCAUACAGUCAUAUGCCUACCAACAUGAACAAAAUCAAUUGGAAACUCAUAAGCAUGGGUAACAGAAUCAAUUGGAACCUCCCUAAAUUCACUUAUUAAGUUAUUCUUCUGCUUAUGUGCAUUUUUUUCGUAGUCCCUAAAUUAACUUGUUAGUACCAUUAUAACAGGGGAAAGUUUAAUUGUUUGCCCAUUUAUUUAUCUGAUAAACAACGUGGAAUAUUUGUUUACAAAUCUUCGGUCAUUUUUUUGUAGCUUGUGACCCUAAAUUUUGCCCUAGAAUGUUUUGUUGUACAAAUCAGUCUCUUCUUUCUACUAUUACGAACCAGGGUGCGUACAAGAAAAAAGUAACUAGUCCUUUUUGGGUUCAGAAAAAAAGAAAAAAGAAAAAAGAAAAAAGUGGGGUUUUCACAGAUUCUUUGGCUAAGUAAAUUCACAGAGUACUUGAAAACUGAGGGAUCUAUUUGACGACAUAUACUGGUAGGAUAUUACGUGCAUCAGCAUAUUUGUGUACUUUGCAGACAUUGAUGAUCAAUUGAUCUAUACAUCAUAGUGUAGCCCAGUACUGGACAUUAAGGUUUGAACACUAGGCAAAACGAAAGAACAUCCUAGUCCAAAACAGAAAACACCAUCAGCUGAAUAGCCAGAAAUUUCUGCAUCUAACUAAGAAGCAUUGCACCUGAGGAGCCUCGAGAGUUGCCGACUUUUGAGGUUUACUCGGGGUUUAGGUUUGUAAAGUCACAAAAGUCUUAUGAAAGGCUUUGACAAAAAAACUAAGAAGCAUUGCAAAAGAUUACCUUCAUGACAUAUUGGUCCAAGGUGCCAUGAUUCUUAGCAGAUUAUCGAUGCGUGAGUUAUAAUGUAUGUGUUUAGUUUUUUUUGCAUAAGGAAUUGUAUACACGACUUUGUGUUUUUUUUUUUCCCUUUAUUCCCUUUCCUUCGACUGAGAAAUUGAUCAUCAAGGAUCAUGAUUAAAUAUACUUUCUUCCAGUUGAGAUUCUUAAACAACAAGGAAAAUCGAUUGCCUCAAAUCCUAUAAUGUUGGUGGUUAUCAUGUGUGCCAUCUAGUUCAAACAUCAACUUUUUCUUUAGAAAUUUAAUUUUCUUCAUCAUUUACUCUCACCAUAAAGAAAAGAGGGUUUUCAUUCAAUUGUUUUUGGAAGCUCCAAAACUCUUUUUUUUUUUUUUUAGAUUUCCCUUUUUUAGUGAUAAUAACAGAUAUUUCAAUUUAUCAUCAGUUUUGUAUGUAUACUCAAAUAAUGAUCACGCAAUUUUUUUUCUCACGAACUCAAUAGUGCAAGGUAGUCCUAUUGAGUAAAUGAGAUAAUGAACCAAAAAGCAUAAUCACUGGAGGGAAAAAUUGUACAAAAAUAUAGUUGCUAACUGCUAAUAAUAUAAACAAAACCCAAUUAAGCAUAGUAGUUAGGACUUGACUCAAUUAACAUACAAGACAACUAUAAAAAAAAAUAAAUCACCAAAAGAGUAUCACUUUUGAACAUAUCUAGCCAUGCCAAUUAAAAAAGCUAGUAAACUUAGAGCAUGCAUAUAUACAAGAACUUCACAUAAAUUACCAGCUAUACUCUAUUAUUUUCACCAAGCAUACAACACAAAAAAUCAUUACAUAAACUUAUGCAGAUAUAUAUGUUCAGAAACAUGGAUUAUGGAUAAUUAAUUCAUUUAUAUACCAUUAGUAUUCAAACUAUAUUAACACUAUAUUACCCGUCAUCAACAUAAAUCCUCAGAGAAAUCAAGAAGAAAAUAAAGAUUUAAAAAAAAACUUAAAAUAAGAAUGUUUGUGAUACUUCUUGCACUAGGUUCUUGUUUAAAUUUGUUGGAAGACGAUCACAAUUUUUUUUUGAUUGAACUAAAUCAAUGUGAAAGUUUAUAAGAAAGCUGAUGUUGCUUUUUAUAUUGGAAGAUGAAUGAAUAGUUGUCGACAGCUUUUAGAGUAACAAACAGUUAAUACUAGUUGUGAACUCUUAUACAAAUUAUACUAUUAGACGACUUUUAUUGAAAUAUCGGAAAAAUUGUAGAAGUACCAGUUGCAACAGACGUCUAUAACACUGAAUGUUACACACGUCUGCGGUGUAAUUGCUACUCAAUCAAAAAAUCUAUAACAAUAAUCUAUGUCAGUAAGUGAGUAGAUUGUAAAUUUCAUAUCAAAAUAUUUUGCUACAAAUUAAGUAUGAAAAGUUAAUGUGUUGCAACAAAUAAUAAAAUUUGGUAACAUUAAUCCUUCAUCAGUCGGAUGAAUGUGCCCAUAAAGAAUAGAGUAAAUCUUAUAUACACUGAUAGUAUAUACAUUAUCACCGUUUAAUUCAUGAUAUGCAUGCAAAAGUUAAAUUUCAAAUUCAAAUAGUUGUCGUUCAUCCAACGCUGACAGUGUAUACAUAGUCAGUGUAAGAAUGAUUAAUCCUAAAAGAUAAAUAUGCCUAUAGUCUUUGGAAAAGUCUUGUUUAUGUAUUCCGAUUUAUGUGUAAAGGAUCUGGCAGCAUAUUCCCCUUCUUCUGGUGAAGCAAAUUCUGACUGGGGCUUCUCGAGAUAUGUAGUUGAGUUUUGUACUUUGGUUGCACAUAUCUGCUAGAAAAAUCCUAUAGAUAAAGUUCAAAAGGUCUCGUAUGCUGAUAUGCACUACUCUGACGUAUUUCUCCUCAAUUAGUUUCCUCGAAGCAGUUGCUUUUUCUAUAUAUUAGAAAACUCCAAAUCCCCCCACCCCCUCCAAAAAAAAGAAAGGAAAAGACUUUUAUGCUCAUGAAAAUAAUUUUUGGGAAUUUUUCCGGAUUGGCUUCUACCUAGCUUUUCACUGCAUAAAGUCUCACGGACUAAUGCCAUUUUCGUGGAAAGGAAUAAAGAAAAUCAUCAUUGAAUCAAUAUAGAUAUUACAUAUUCUUCUUAUUAAAGUAAUAUUAGGAAUGAAGACGAAUGUAUUGCAUAGAAGAACAUAUAGAUAUUGAAAAACACAAACGUAAAAAUCUAAGAUACCCUUCAUAGAUCAAUUCAAUUCAUUGGUUUUUGUCAGUUUUUAUUCAACAACAGCAUUUCAAAUUAUUGUGAUUUUUUAACACUAAACUUAAGCUACAUAUAGAUGUGCCAUCCAGCAGAGAUAUAUUUUUAACAUGUUUCAUCAGGGAAAGAACAAGUAAUUGAAAUUGCAAGUCAAUCAUAAUCAUUAUUGUUGUACACUUUUGGGGAAAAAUAUGAUAGAAUAUCAAAAAGUAAUAAUUUGCCUAGGACAAAAUGAUUAUACAUAAUAGUCUACUGCUGGCAUCUUGCAGGUACUAUAAUCCCCAUGAUCAUAAAUAUCGCUAUUCAGUCAUUUUCUCCUGAAAUAGCUUCAGGGAAAAGUAUGUUUUCAGUUUCUGCACUAUUUAAAGUUUUUGAAAUGAGAUGCUGAUCAGUUUACUUUUCUCGUUACUUCCCCUUUGCUUGGCUGUCUUAUGGUUGGUGAAGAAAUCCUAGACCUCAGGAAAGCCAAAUCUGUUGUCUUUCUUCCAUUCUCCAAUCCUCAUUUCACUGAGGCAUUGUUCAUUUUGAGAGGAUGUGAGGGGAAGGAAAGAAAAAGGAAAGGAAAAGGAGGGAUAAAUUUGAUGUUUUGAUUGGUUUUUGAGGAAGGAAAAGAAAUGUUAGGGAGGGAAAGGGAAAGAUAAAGUCUAGUCAUGAUUUUUGGUCAAUCUACUUUCCGUCCAAAAGUUGGUUGAAAUGGAGGGGAAACAAAGCCAAGAUAAAUGAAACUUUUAAAAUUUCUUAAAAGGCCUAUGUAUUUUUUUAAAUUAAGCUUUUAAAUUAUUAUGAAUAAAAACAUAACUAAUGCAUGAUAGUUUCUUUUUUUUUUUUUUGUCUUUCCUAAUCUUUUUCUUUUCUUAAUCCAACAAUAUUUUAAAUACUUCCUUUCUUUUUCCUUCAUAUUCAAUUCAAACAAGAUGGAUGAAAUUUAUUUUUCUCUAUUCUCCUUUUGUUUCUUUUUCAUUAGAGUCCUCUCCUUUUCUUUUUUUCUUCAAUCCAAACAAGAUGGAUGAAAGUUCCCUUGUUUCUUCUUCUUCUUCUUUUUUUGAAAAAAAAAAAUCUCAUUUUUGAUUUUUUUUUUUUAUCAAUCGACACUUGCCUAUUAUAUGCAUAUUCCUACUUUAACCUAUACUAAAAGGAGAAUCCAACUGAGCCAUGGAGGAAUCGAUGGAGACUGAAUCACCAUCGCACCAAACAGGUGCGCAUUACGCACCCAUAUAGAUUUAAAUCACUUAAAGUAACAGUCACAUAUAAUGAUAAAUAAUGAAAGAUAAGAUUUGAAUUCUUAAUCACACGGCCGUCAAACCUUAAGUCUUAAAAGGCUGUGAUGACAGCCAACAGCCCAAAUGGCUAUCGGUUUCAUUUUCGAUUUCAUUUGCUUCACUAGUCUAGUUUUCAUCUUAGUAAAAGAGCUGCACGUAACAGUUGAUUGAGACAUCCUGGAUACUCGACUUUAGUAUUCUACUACUAGCUAGGCCGAGGUGUAUGCACAAAACACGUAUACACUUGUCAAAACCCCACCAAAAAAAAGAGGAGGAAAAAAAGGAAGAUACCUACAAUAUAUGACAGAGAAUCAACCUUCUUCACUCAUUGACAUUUCAUGUCACAAGAUUCUGGAAGUGUUGGCUCAUCAUUGAACAAGUAUAUAUAAUUGAAUAUAGAGAGAGUCAGGUGUGCGUAAAAUAUGAUGAACAAAAUGCAUUGAUGAGGAAUAAAAUUUCGGCCAACCGAAUAUGUAGCAGAAAGGCCAAUUGAAAAUGAACUAGUAGUAUAAGAAAUGGUUGCUAAAGAAGAAUCAAGAAUGUUCUCUUUGGCCCCUUUUUUUAGCAGAUAAAAUCUUAAAAGUCUGAGGAGAUCUAAUUAAAAUCAUAUUUCAAGAAUACUAUAAUCAGUAUUCCUCUUUGCUAUCUAGAUCUCCUCCCCCUCUCGUCCUAUUGUUAUUGCUCACAAUAUUCUGGAGAGCGACAAGGGCAUAUGUCCUACAGGUAGGUAUCCUAUGGACUAGGGAACCAAAAAAUGUGUAUUAAAAGCAAUUUAGCAGAGGAAAAUAAUUUGAUGCAAGUCAUUUUCCAGAUGGUCUGCGACAGUUCAUCAUCAAUAUUAUGUAUAACUAGCUAGCUAGUCUAGCCUGCCCAGAUGGUACUAUACGAUACAUCCCAGCUGGAACCAAUCAAAUGAAAUGAAUGGCAAGUAUCCCACAAAUGGCAUUUUUAGAAGGAAAUGCCAAUUGAUUCUGCUCCGCGAGGAGAUGAUUUUUUAGAAGGAAUGAUUUUUUUCAAAUUCACAUAACAUUUACGAUUGAUCUGCGAAAAAGGUAGACAUCCACUUAAUAAUUAGUGGUACGUUUUUCUGGCUAAUUGAGAGAUGCUGCUCUUUUUCUUUCUUCUUUCAUUCAUUUAUUGUGCAAGACCUACGAAGCCAUGCGAUGCAAGCAAACUUCAUGGUCCCCUACCAUUUUUAGACCCUGCUUUAGGAAUUGGCCUGCCUUUCUUAAUAUGUGGGCUAUUUUUUUUGACGGAGAGAGAUAUAAAUUUCGAAUCUACACGUACGUAUUGGCAUGCACCCUAAACUUUUAAAGCUAAUUAAUGUGCAGGUGCAGUUGGGAAUUAUCUGUGUAAUGUUGAAAUAUUGACGUGAAUUCAUAAGCAAAUUCCACCUCUUAAAAUUACCGGAUUCAAAUUAAACGUGAGUGGGUCGGAUAAUAAUUCAAAUUUAAAACGUUGAACAAUGUUUAAUCCAAUCGUCAAUAACAAUUCUUUCACCGUCCAACAACGACGGCGGAUUUCACUUGUGAAUAUGAUAUACCCAAAUCAAAUCAAAAGGAACCAUAGAUAUGACAUAUGGGUUAUUGGAAUGGGAAGAUAUGAAUUUCAUGUCUGCAUGUGGGCAUAAGUGCAAUUCGCAAAAUAUUAUAUUUUCUUGUUACGUGAUGACUGACGGAGAUUCAUAAAUAAAUUCUGCCUCUUGAAAAUAUAUAUCCAAGUCAAAAUAGGGGUACGGUUCGAAACGAAUUCCAUCCUUCGGAACCGGAGAAAUUCCGUGAUAAAUACCCAACCGAACCGUGCUUGCCUCUUUUAUUAUCUCCUGAACCUAGACUACACUAGGCUCAGUGACUUCCUUGAUAGAUAAAUUUGAAAGUAAGUGCACAGAGAGUGUUAGAUGCAUACAUGUACAUACAUAUAUAUACACAUAAAGGCGCAGAGAGGAGGUGGAGAGCAGAGAGGGGGUGCAUGAAAGGGUCCCCCCACCGUCUCAACCCUAAAGUUAAUAAAUGCUCUUACAAUAAUAAUAAUAUUUAGAAACUCUCACUAAGCUGUCUGGGAUCUGCAUGGUGGUGGUGGUGGCGGUGGUGGUGGCGUGACAAUAUUCAAUUUGCAUCACCAGGGACCACUUUGCAUCUAACAAAUUUUGUUUCCAUUAUACUACAAUUUUCCAAAUCUUUUCAGUCACCAAUUUCCUUAUCUUUUUUUUAUCCAAUAAAAUUGACAAACCCCCUCCCUUUCUCUCUGCUCCCCGCCUCUAUUUAUAGCCAAUUUGCCCUCCCUUCUCUAGGCGAGCCUUUUACAGAAGACGAAGAGGAACCUGGCCCCUUGUAGCCAUAUAGGUCUCUCUCUUUAGUCUUUCUCUUGACCUACACACCCUGGUAGGAGAAGGGUCAUGAGGGAAUAGUUGUGCAGCUCAGUUUCUUGGCCGUGCUUCAUUAUCAGUUGAAGCUGCCAGCAUGAUCUAAACCUUUCUCCUUCGUUUGAGGAAAGAUCAGAUCAUGUGGUAGCUUCACCUGUUGGUGAUGACACGAAUAUGAAUGUACGGACCCUAGUUUUCUUUCUUCUUACUUGUCAAUUUUGUUAGUCAUACAAUAGUAGUUAUAAUUCGGUACCAUUCACUUGGUGGAAAAGGUAUGCAAUGUGAAAUUUCUUGCUUCAAUAUUUACUACGGGAUAUAUGGUUAGUUUUUCAGGUGGGGUGGGAGAGCUUUUUAUUGUGUUUUCAGGCGUUUUCGAUUGAUGAUUAAGGUUAAUAUGUGACAGGAAACCUGUGUCAUGGGAAUUGCAUGAUUCCAAGACCCUUUGUUGUGCUUUGGACUUCGAGCUAUGAUAUGCCUAAUUUUACCUUCCUGUGUUGGGUAAUAGUCUCAGUUUUCGUUAGUGUCUUUGCUUUUUCAAGAACAGAUUUCUAAAUGUCAUGCGAAAUAUGUGUGCCACGGAUGACUACUCAUUGAAAAUAAAUUGCAUUGCCUCUCCAAAUAUUUCAAGAAAAAGCCUCGUUCUUCAUGGGAAUUAGAAUCCGGGAUUAGCCCUGUCCUGAUAUCCUUCUUACCUGAGUAGGGUUUCCAGUUCUACAGGCCGGGAGUUGGUGAGUAAUGUUUUCUUUUCAUUUCUGUUUUAAAUUUUAGAGAUAAUUUUGAAGAUUCUUUGAGUUAAUCGUCUAGCUCACUUCUCAGCUUUCGUGACUCCUAGCAAGUUCCCGUGUAGAAACUGAUCCUGUCUUAACAGUCAAUGAUACAGUACUAGGGUUUCCGGAAGCUCAUAAAAUCUUGAAGAAACGUGGGAUUAUAAUGAUAAGUACCCAGAACCUUGAAAUUAGUCCCAGGGGAUCACAAGUACUCUAUCAUUGUCUCCAGUAGGCAACGGUAUUAAGAAGAGCAAAAGAUUUUUUUUUCUCCUUUGCCCAUCCACAAUUUCUUGCUCUUCCUGAACUUUUCUUGCCUUGGAUGUUUUCCUUUUCCAUCAAUGUUUCUUAGCUUUUUCUGAAGUGUGUUGUGUUGGGGAGGGUGGUGUAGCCAAACUAUGAGAGAAAGAAAGCCAUGGGAUGGACAAGAACAUGUGUUAUCCGCCUAUUUUAGUUGUGGCCUUGGGAGCAUAGUCUCCUUAAUUUGCAUCUUGCUUGUUCUUCUAACUUGAGUCAUGGAUAUUUUGUGAAGAAUAAAUGAAACUAGAUAUUUAACUUGAUUAUAGUUGGUCCGAGCCUGAGAGGGUUAUAACAGUGAUGUUUCACAGCAAGGUGUCCUUUUAUAUUUCAAGAUACCAAUAUCCUUAAGCAACUAUCAGAUCUGAAUCAUCUGAUUGUGCAGUACCAAAAGAUGUAUCUUUUCACUUGGCUUGACAUGAGAAAUGAAAGCACAAGUGCCCCACGCAUUGAUGAGACCGUUUGUGUUCUGAUAUUUUAGUUACAUCCUCAUCUCAAUAUCUUCUGUCAUUUCCAGGAAUUGAAGUUUCCUUUGCAUAUGCCAUUAUCACUGUCUCAUGAUUGAGUAGGAAAUCAUUUUGCUUGCAGUUUGAUUUCUGAAUUUAAAAAAAAAAUCCUUGCUUUGACACAGCUUUGCUCUUUGGAAAUGAUCAUUUGACUAGAGCAUAUGGACUCCAAAAUUUUCUUUACAUAACUAUUUCAACUUGUACACUCAUAUUGACAGCUGAUCAAUAGGAGACAAAAUUCAUAUCCAUUACAUAAGUUGAAAACUCCCAUUUGGCUUUGCUUGCAGCCCUUCUUAGUUUUCUUUAUGUAGAAUCUCACUUAUUGGUUUCUUAAAUAAUUUAUUCAGUAAACCAAGUAUAAAAUCUGAUUUAACAAAUAGGAAGGCAGUAUCAAUAUUGUAGCUUCAUGAACAGUGGCAUGCAGGUAUUCCAACAGCAAGUCUAUUUCAAGACUAAAAUUUCUUGUGAGCUUCAAUUAUUCUCCCCACCUCUCUCUCUCUCUCUCUCUCUUGCACCAGAUAGCUCCACCUCCAUCCGUUUCUUUCUUUGUCUUACUCUUCUGGUGAGAGGAGGUUGUUUUCCACGGUGCAGUUGUUGAGAGCAGCGAGCUUUGGCUUGUUUUUCUAGUUGGGAAAUUUUCAUUUUUAGCAAGAUUCUUUGAACCUUUCAUAUCCAUCAGUACACUAUAUAUGUGAAACGUCAUUGAUUCUCCCAACUAUUCCCAGGGACCAUUCUUUAUAAUUGAUCUUAUUACUGAUGGAAAUAUGGAGAAGGGAUUCCCCUUUUAGGGUUCGUUACAUAGCAUUAAGGGAACGGUCCCCUCAAUUAACAUUUCAACAACAAUGUCUUUCGUUGGAAGAACUAGACAUUAUUAAGGCUAACAAGAGCACAGGUGAUAGUGAUACAGUCAGCGUCUCAAUGAUUUCUAGCCAAAAUGUAAUCCACUGAGGUCUGAGAACUGGAGGCCCUAGUCACCUUUUACCCCAGCAGGCAGCAAUGACAGAUAUGAACUUGCCCACAUUCCCCUUCCCCACAUGCCUGGAAAGGAAUGGUUUUUUUUUUUCUUCCCUUUUUAAAGAAACACAACUAAAAUUGAAGUGACAAGGAAACCAAGGUAAUUAAAAAGGACUGACUCCAAGAACAGCAUUAUAACAUGACUCCCACCAUCAUUAUUUUUUACAAAACGUAGAAAUGCUUGUUCAGCCAAUGUACUUACGCAGCAUUAGCCAUGUCUUCCAAGGAUUACUGCAUUAAGUGUUGACAUUCUUUCUACUGCUCAUCGGAGUUGCAAUUCAAGAGUUUCGACUGUUUGGCCACUCCUAAUGAUUAUCAGUGAUUGACUGCCUGCUUUUUGAAAGAGCUGCUUCUGAUUCUUUGGUUAAAAAGAUAACAAAAAGAUGAUAAGUUAUGCUGAAUGCAUUUAUUUACACUGACCAUGAAUGCUUCCAGUGCAAAUCACACCACAAAAUCAAUGGGCUUGGAAGUAAUCAGAAUCGGUUUUAGGUUCUAUCAGUUGAGGUGUGAGCUUGAGGGCAUUAUCAUGCCAUGGCCUUUUUCUUUGUUUCAAAUGAUAGGAAUUUGUGUGAUAAAUCUUAGGAGACAGUCAUCUUGUACUUUGGUAGACAAUCAGCUAUAGAGUAAGGUUUCAUAAUUAUAAGUAGACAUGGUGAGCCGCUUUGAGUUCAUAUCUACCAACAGCUUGUGAUAGGAAAAAAAAAAACUCUAAAUCAUUUCAAUUUCAAUAACUGCAGAAGAACAAUAACAGCAAAAGACUGAUGGUGCUAAGAAUUAUUCAGUUUACCAAGUGGAAGUAACUUCAUUUGUUUUAAACUCGGAAGAGAGGGGAAAAAAAAGCUUUAUAAUGAGCCCAAAAUUUACUCUGUAUGUACAAUCUACAAGCAUAGCGGGACACAAGAAGAGUGGGAGAAACUUGAAACCAAAUUGGCUGAAGCCAAAAUAGUGAAAUUUGAUAUAUACAUCAUGAUUUAUGACAUUCAGAUUCCAAUAUAUCCUACAUUAGUGGAGGUGCUUUGAAUUUUAGCAUGGUUCAAAGACAUUAUUGUUGAGCCUCAGAAUUGAUGCUUUCAGCAAUGUUUUGGGCUACCUUCUGUCAUCCUUGUAGUUUUCAUGCAAGCUAAAAUACAUACGAUUCUCGGGGGCAUGGUGAAAAUGCAACAAACUGUGAACUGUGUAUUUCCUUAAUUAAGAACCAUCCUUUGUUCACUGGAAAGCUUAUUCUCUUCAUAAAUUCACUCUGAAAAGGUGCAAUUACUGAAAAUUUCAAGGGCACACCUCUAACUGUAAACAACUUGCUUCCACUCAAAAUAGCUCUCAAUUUUCAAAGUUUGUAAAUGAAAUCCUGACAAUUAGAUAAACCUAUAUAUAAGCGUCCAUGCAUCCGUUGUCAUUUUUUAAAAGACAAUUGUCUCCAAAACUUUCUUUCUUCCUCAAAUGGAUCAUUAACACUAGAUGUCACAGUUUAGGAACAAUAAAUCCCAGAGCUUCUUGUCUGCCUUUAAAAAAAAAAAAAAAAGCAACAAGAAGAAGUACAAGUAGAAUAGAAUUGGAAGCUUCAGUUGCAAAAAGGGUGGAAUUUAAAGUCCCAAGUUUCGCAAGUCACUAAAACAAGAGCAAAUUGACAUGGUCAUCUGGAUAUUUUGCUAUUUAGGACAGCCAACUCCCUUUUUGUGGUCUUUUCUUGUUUCGACUUCCAAUACGUGUUUACUGUUAACAGUGCAAUGCAAUUUGAUUUUUGUUUUUUCAAAAUGGCAAAAAGCUGACCAUUUUAGGACGCCUGUUGGAGCUUGGAAACUUUGACAUUGAUUUUCCCUCCGACAAAAUCCCUGUCCUCUCGGCGGAUUAUGCGCACAAAUAUUUUAGAAAUUCUUAGUUUGUGCUGUCAACAAAAUCAUGGUUAGAUUUAGUCUGUAUAUAUUGGUCAACCUGCUUGAACACUAUUUGAACUUGCCACCAGAUGUAAAUGGCAUCAUUUUUUCUUUCUUUUUCAAGGGAGACUUCAUGUCCAAUUUGGACCAUAUUAGCUCAUGAUAUUAUUACUAUGGGUAGAUCCCAUCGUCCGUACUAGGAAAUGGCAUCAUUGCCAACUUUUUAGGUGUUUCAGACCAGUAGAAUUGUUCAGGGAUCAUGUACUUUAAGCAUCCACUUUGAUAUGCAACCUCAGUACUUUUAGCCAAUGCUCAACUUUAGCAUUAGACAGAAAGCCAUUCAACAGCAAGCGGAACCUGUAAAUAUAAUCUAAAGCACAUCGUUGAAGCCAUGAAGGAAGGUACAGCUACUUUUUACAUCAUUCAUCUGAUUUCUGAACCAUGCAACAUAGCAUGACUAGCCGUCCAUUUACAAAGAGGCUCUACGUUGCAUGUAAACUACCUUACCCCUGAUUUAUAAGCUACCUCUGCUACUCGCUAACUAUCCUCUGAUUAGCAAUAAAACAUUACCCUUUUAACAUUUUCUUUUAGCGCUGGCAAUGGUCGUACACCAGACUCUCCAGCUGCUCUGGAACUUUUUCUUCCAGCAGCAGCACAUCCGUUCUCCUGCAAAUCUGGUUCCAUGUAGAAUCUGGCUCGGAAUGCAGCUAAAUGUGCAUAAUAAGCAGGAGGAACUGCACAAAACCGGAAAUUCUCAAUGAUGUUAAGAAGAUCAAGUACAACACAAAUGAAAAUAUUCAAAGGACUGAGGGAGCAUUAAAAUGUUUCAUCAAGUAGAACAUAAAGACACAGGUGAGCACAAAAUGAUGAUCUAGGUCAAAGAAGAGGGUGGUUCUGUGCCUCUGGCCGCCCUGAUUGCAGCUGAGAAUAUCUUUGAAGCAUACGAUAUGCGAAAGUUUUAAUUAACUUUGUGUGAAAAAAAAACUUCCAGAAUCACCAAGAUAUUUUGAAGGUGGAUGUUGGAAAGACGGGGAGGAAGAGUGGGAGAGGAAAGUAUGGAGUUCCUCAAUCAAGCCCUGCUAGCAGGCACCAAGUGUUGUAAGGCGACACACGAGGUAAUAUCAUGCUAUUUCCAACCAAAAUUAUCUUAACUUAGCAUAGGCCACAAGAAGUUAAAACAAUUCAGCACAUGCUCUUCCAAAUUCGUAGUCUUUAUCUUUUUGGCCAACUUCCACCUUUCUAUAAUCUGUUACAAUCAUUCUUUUAACUUUUUAUCCUUUUUUCUGGGGGAAGGAGGGCAUUUCCACUCACCAACAGAAACAGAACGGGUGCACCUUGCAUAUGUAUAGCAGAGAUUGUUUGUCAAUGACUGAAUGCCAUCCGCAGUAAAAUUGUUCUCAUCCCAUAAAACAUGGUAAUGUGCUGGUCGACUUGUACCCUGUCAUGGCAGAGAAUUAUAUGUUACCAUCUCAUCCUGGAGGUAAAACCAAUGUAUAUAUAGAGACAUGUUAAAAAAUAAAAUAUAUUUGUAUGUCAUAUCACAAUAAGCGAAUCAAUUAUCAUCUCAUCCUAAAUGCAUUAUAGAAGUGAAAAUAAUGUACAUGUACUAGCGAUCCCAAUUUAAGUCUAUCUUCACAAUGAGAUUGGCCAAAAAACCCGAUCCACUCAUCUUUCCAAACUGACUUCUAAGGUUCCAUAUUGGAUAGAAAAUAAUUUUCAAAUACUAUUCAGAUUAAGCCUUUGCCUGACAAAAAACUACAUAUGAGUGUUAUUUCUUUUCAACUAGAAGUGUCAUGAGCUCUUGGUUCCAUAAGAUCAUUCAUACAUACUAAUGCAAGAUGUGCAACUAAAUGGACAAGACGCGAACUCCUUGCUCUAUAAACAAAUCAUCUCUGGUCAUAGCACAAGUUGGCAGGCAUCAAGAUCCUCAGUUAUACAAGCUAAGGGCCUUAAGAUUAAUGAUGUUGUAGCAACAUAAGCCAAAAGCCAAUCUUUUACCUGAAUGCCAGCAUGGCUGCAAAGGUAAAAAUCAAAUUCUGUUGGGUGACAGAUUUUAGUGUCAACCACAGUGCCUAAGAAACAAGAGAUAUAUUGACAUCAGAUAAAUUCCAAAAAGAAAUAGAAGCAUUUCCCUAAAGAAAGAACUGUGCUUUGUAAACUGUAAUAGUUUACCAGGUAAUAUAUUUCCACUCUUGUCCAUGCUACUGCGAUCCCUAUGAUUAUUAGCAAAUAGCCGGGUGUGAUGUCUCUUUUGUACCACAAUAAAAGUUACUGGCGGCUGAUAAUUUGGUUCUAAAGAAGCACAAGCCUAGAGCAAAAAAGUCCAUUGAUGAGAACUGGAAAACAAGUGAUGAGAGCUACAAACCAAGUUGAAGGUGUUUGUAGAAAUGAACUUAAAGACCAUAAAUUUUACCAGUAAAAGAAAACUACAUACUCCAGGGACACGUACCUUCCGGAUUGCAUCUAAUUCAAAAAGCAGGACUUGAUAAAAUUGCCCUUCACUCACACCAUCCCUGUUUCAAUGAACAUCACUAUCAGACAUCAACUAUAGUUGUAAGGACAUUUAAGUGUUUUUUAACAAAUCUUCAAAGUUUCAAACCACUUUCCUCCACCGAAAAACCCACAGAAAACAAAAAGAAGCAUGUUUUAAAUAAGGCCAAAAGCACAGACUUUUAUUUGGCAACGUAAAGACAAUCAUCCUGCAAAGACAUAUUAGCUCAUUCUGCACAGUCGCAAGCAAACUCGUGGUUGGUAGGAAGUGACAUCAACUUUCUUAAAGAUUAAUUUUCAACCACAUCCUUGUGGCACUUACUCAAGUCUAGCAUUACAGCCAGACAAUACAAGACAGUUACUGACCUAUAAAAUAUGAUCCUUUGUGGCUUUUGACCAGUUGCCUUUCUGAAGGAAACCAAAAGAUCUCUGAAACAAGAAAACAGGAGAUGGUAAAGAACCAACUCUCUUGCAUUUCAAAGGAAAUCCCAGAACAAAAUUCCAAAAAGAAGUAAUAUUGCAAGCAGAAACACAGACAAACAAAAAGCAGCAAAUGCGAGGACUUCACAGACCGAAUCAUGCCACCACUGACGGUUCCACGGGCAGGAUCAUGCCAUGUCUUGUACAAAUCUUGUAUAAGCUCCUGUCUAUGAGCUUGAGCACAAACUAGUCCCGCGUACUUAGUGACUUCAGGCCAAUCCUGGGAAGCUACAACCUACAAGCAGAAAUAGUCUAAGCAACCUAAUAUUUCAAGAUAAAUAAUGCAGAGAAGUGCAAUUACAGUAAGUGAAGCAUACUGCAGCUAUUGACGGACUGGAGUCUUCUCCAUUCUCUGGAUGGGUUACAUCUGCUCCAAAUAUGAUGGUUGGAAUGUCACUAACCAAUGGUAUCCUACAGCUUAUAGCAUCCAAAAGUACGGUGUUUCUUCCACCCAUCUGCUUGCAUAAAUUGAGAGAUCUAGAAGUAAGGAGUACAUUGAAUAGGCCAAGCAAUCCUUCUGAGUGGAAAAGUAACUAACAAGGUUAAAGGUACUAAAACUUAUUGUAACAAGUAGUCAGAGAGGCAGCCAAAGGGGAUACUAUCAGCAAUGCAAAGCAAUCAAGGCUCAAUGAAGCCAUUCACCAGAAAUAAAGCUAUGAUCAAAAUAAUUUAAAAUAAAGUAUCAUUGCAUCAUUCCUACCUUAACAUUAAUUUUCAAGGACACAUUGGCCAAGUACUGCUUGCUGAUCUUGAAGACAUGCUUUGUCAGACAACAUUGUGAUAUCAAACCAAGUUCAGUUUCACAUAUUCUCUUCAGAUCGCCUAUAAAGUAGAAUCAAAUCGUAUUAGAUACAUUAGAUAAUGAUAGUAUUGAGCUCAUGCCAAUUUAAAAAAGUUUCUGUCUCUCAAACAUACCAUACAAUGAACCAUUGUUGUCUGGUAAAAUGGCUAACAGAAGCUCCAGUUCCUUUCCUCUUAGUCUGUUCAUACAAGCAUGAUAAACAUGCUUUAGAGCUUUCUCAACUUGAUCAGGCCUAGCACAGUAGAUUGGAAUUACAGGUUCUGAAUUGAAUUCCUGUAAUAGGAGAGCCAACUAUCAACAUUUUAACAAAGGGCAAAAAUUCAAUACCAUAUACUCUUUAGCACAGACUAAUCAAAGUAGAAAAGAACAAAACUCUACCAUGCCAGACACUUGACACAUUUGAGCCAAUUCAUUACAGAACCCACGAGCAACGCUCUCUUGGACACUCCUCGAGAAGUUGAUGCACGCCCACCGGCUAACAGUCAUCCCAUUGAUCAUUUUCUAUCAGCAUGAGAACAAGUAUUCAGUUGCAACUCCCAAAGAAGUCACAUAGCAAAAAUGUGUUGCAACAAUUCAAUUGAAAAGAAGAGAGACCCCAUCAUGCAUACUAAGGGUCCUUUUAUGGUUGGCCAACAAAUAACUAGCAUGCAUUACAAAGUUGCGCCUUUUUUUUUUGCCACUUGGAUUUGCUAGCUAACAUGGCCCUUUAUGUCGGAAAGGAGUAUUUUAUAUGUCAGUUGAGAAACGAGGGAGGGGGGGAUGACUACUAUUGUUUCAUAUCUCAUGUAAGUUGUAACCAUCUUCAACUAUAAUUAUGGCCUUGUAUUCAAUAAGUAACUUGCAAAAUGAUAUAGAAGCUGGAGAAGAUAUUUACAAGAAUUAAGUUGCAACAGAAUUUUCUAAUAAAACAGAAAAUUAGUUCAAGCAUAAUCAAUACAAAAAAAAAAAGAAAGUCUUACCUUAUUCAUCAUGUUCCACUGUCCAACUUGAGGCAAACAAUCCUUCUCUUUUCCAUUCUCAUGAUAUUUCAGCUAAAAAUAAGUGAAUGAUGUCGUUAAGGACAACAUAAGAUAUUCUUCACAGAUAUGAAUCAGAACAAAAUGCAUUCGUACCCAAGGCGCUGGAAGUACCCUUGCCUCCACAGAAGCUAGAUUUUCGCUAAUUUUGAUCCCAAAUUCCUUGGCAUAUGGAUCUUGAUCAUAUGCAUUUUGCUGAACUGUCUGCAUAGGAGCAGAACAAAAGGAUACCACAUCAAUUCCUCAGGCUCAGUUAACCUCACUUAAGACUUUCUGAAGUUCAGAAAUCAUAGAGUAAGCACUAAAUUUUAGGCACUUAAUUGAGAAAAGGAAGAGAUGCUAUGGUAAGAAUCCUAAUAGAGAAUGUGUAAUGUAGAAAUGGUUAUUAUUCAAACAACAUAACCAGGGACUUCAGUAUCAAGUUAAAUUCCUACUCUGCUACAUUGUCAUAGAGAUAAUCCAGAGCUUGAUAACUCCAAGGUUGUUGCAGAAGGCAGAAGCUUUUAGCAUGCAUCAAGCCUUAGGAAACUAGCAGAGAAUGAGGAUUUCAACAUUUUCUCCAGCUCAACUAUUCAACUAUAUGCACUCAAAAGGUAGUUUUUUUUUUUUGUUUAAUAGAUGGUGUGUAUGUUUUGGAUUGAUAAGACAUUCAAGUGGUGAAAUUUCCUCCGGUACCAUGAGAUUUGAAGGUCAAACUGAGACUGGAACUAGUAAGGUGAUUAGGUGAAGUACCUGCAAAAUGUCAUUUUCACGCUCCCUGGGUCUUUGGCAUGUAAACUUCAGAAGAGCUGUAAUUUGCUUCUCACUCAGCCUUUUUGUAUAUCUUUGGCCCUCAACAAUUUUACAUGCCUGAAAGUUCAAUAAAAUUAGAGCACAUGCAAGAACUUGAAAGACAGUAAAAAGUUGAACCCAUCCACUGGAACACAAAACGUUGACUAAUAAUCAUGUUACCUCCAUUGGUAGAUAGUUAGCCUUCUUUUGGUUCCCGACUUGAAGGCAAGGAAGAUGGGUAUACUGAAUUUUGAAGCCAUACAUUUCUUGGAAGUAUUCAACAACUGAUUUCAUCGUUGAAUUGUCAUCAACUGGAAAACUGCUUCAGAACUAUUUAUUAGUUUCUCUUGUUCAGCUUGCAAGUUCAAAUUGAGAGUGUUAACAUAAAGGACGAAUAAUAAUAAACACAUCACGGGAACUAGGGGUUAAACGAACUGAAACAGCAGACAAGAAUUUGUUUAAAAUGCCCAUGUUACCAGAGAGGAUGGGCUUGGACUAGUUAAGUUAGAUGCAACACAUUUCGUUUCAACAACUCUUUGUUCCAUCAACUUUCAAUUUGUUUAUAGGAUGAGGGACAGCUACUUAAAGAAAUGAACAUCAAUCUUUAGCGAAAGACAAAUAUCUUACACUAGUUCUCGAGUUGGUUGGGUUGUUAACCCAGAAACCCGAUACUUUCUUCGCACACUUCCCCUAUGCGUUACUUCAACUUUCACUCCUCUGAGUGCCUUUUUUAUCUGGAUCACAUUCGAAUUACAAAACCACUAUAGGCAUUUAGCAUAAAGUACUUCAAGCUUAUAUUUGCCAAAUUAAUAGAAAGUACCUUAACACGGUCAGAGUCAGACAAAGGGCGUGAUAUUGCAUCUUUUCCCAGAAGUUGGGCAACAAACUCUAUCACCGGAAGAGCCUCAAUAAAUGCAGCUGAAGCCAUAUCUUCAUGAAAUAAACAACAUAAAGUUGUGUAACCAUAAAAGUAGAGCCAUUGUGAUUUAAAUUUCUAAAUCACCAGGUAAAUUACCAAUAUUGAGAGACAAGCCCAUUUGAGUUGGUCUUAUACUCUGGUAGAACCCACACCAUGCUUCUAAGCCAUCUCCAAGACGUUGAGGCCUCCUGAUAACAGGAGAAAAGAAUGAUCUCCCCACUGGGCAGUACCUAUUAAAGUGUGCAGUAUAAAAUUAAAAAAAAAAGGAAAAAGAUGAAGGACAAAUGCAUUAGUUUUCAAGUAGUCAUAUUAAGAUACACUAAUAUAUCCAAGGAAGAAUAUACUACGUAUAUCAUUGUGAUACCUUUUUACAGAAAGCUCUCUCAACACAAUGUCAAGUAUUUGAAGAGCUUCCUGCGGACCAUCUGCCCGUUUCCCAGCAAGAAAUUGGCCUAAAUGAUGCAAAUUUGCCCGUGCAACAAACUUGAGUACAACUUUGUACUCCCUCUCUCUCCUGAAAUGAAUUCAGAUGUUCAACUAAUUACCACAACAAAUUUUGCUAAUUAAAAUUUGAAAGGUUCUGAUUGUAAAGGUUAUAAAGACCAAUCCUGUUGUAUUUUUAUUCUUAUGCUGAAUAUUCCUUUGAGAAUUUUUCAUCCUUAGCUGGAAAAUGAAGUCUUUAAAAUUUUAAAAUUGAGGUUUGUACUUUGUAGAGAGCAAUAAAACCAUACUUGGGGCCAUUGACUCCAUCCUCUUCAUCUAUUAACUUAAUUGUGAACUCUUUCCAAGCGAAAGGAAGUUCACCAGCAGUGUAUAGACUUUUUCUGCCAUCAAAUGCAGGCAAUCUCAUCCCUAAGUCAGAUUCUUUGUACAGUUUCACCAACUCUGCCAUGAUAGCUCUGUUCACGUUUUUAGACGCCACUUCAGGAGUUACAGUAACCUGCAAAAAUGGGCAGGAAUAAUUGCAAAAGGCAAUGAAAUAUACAGAACAUUAAGUACAAUGCCCAUUACCAUUUUCAAGGGCCAUUAAUGCUACUUAAAAGCAGAGGACAAGGAAGAGAAAUGAGCCUACUCAAUUUUACCUGCAAACUAACAGCAGAUACAAAAAGAAAAAAUAAAAACAUAAACAUACUGAAUGUCAGCCUAAGGGCCCCAGCAGUCGUGCCCCAAAUCAAUAAGUAUAAACAAUUAAUAACUCUGCAGCAUUACACUCAACAGUUAAGUUAAUGAAGAACAUGAAAGAAAAAAAAAACAAACACACAAACAACUUACAUCAUAUUGGUUCAAGUCCUUGUCCGGUAACUCUGCAAAGAAAUGGUUGGCCUUAACCAUACAUUUCGUUCCAAGUUGCCCAAACCCAGGUCUAGGUGCAAAACUCAAUGACUUGCUUGAAGAGGGAAAACCCAUGUCCACUUUACAUAGUUUAUUGUUCCCAUUCUUAGCACAACUACUUGUUGGAGUUGAUUCAACAGGACCAGCAGGUUCAGCCGAAACCGGCUUAUUUGCGGCAGUGCAAGGCCUUGAACUUGGCCGCAUCAAGGUGUCACCUUGAUCAGAUUUCCGGCCACCUCUUCCCCUUCUCCUUCCUCUAUUUCUUGAUGGAGGUGAGGACUGGUUGUAAGGCUUGGUGUUCUGAGUUUCUUGGGCGGGUGGCCCUUUGCCGUUUUGAGCUGUUUUGGGAUUCUUCUGAACUGGAUUCAUUGAGCUCUGGCACUGGGGUUUGAUCACGAAAUGCUGUUCUGAGCUCUCUUUCAUUUGCCUAAUAGGCAUGAUGAUAGUAAUGAUGAUGACAGCUUGCUUGCAAAGACUUUUUGUGCAGAAUACGGAAACCUGCUUAAAACAAAAAUUCUCCCCUUGAUGGCACAAUGCAAGACAGUCACCCUUUCUCGCAAUCACUAUUCAAUCUUCCCUCAUUACUCCUCAAAAAUUUAAGGCCAACCCAACUGCAAUCCAGAAACAGAGAAGAGAAGCCAUGUCACUAAAAUAACCCAACAGGGAAAAAAACCAGUAAGAGAAAUUGCGGAUGCUUAAACCAAUUUUCACACGCAAUAGUCAAAUGUCAGGCAUUCAACUUCAAGUCUACAUAUAGUUCUACACACAUUACCAUUCUUUUGCAAAACUAAGUAGCCCCAAGUUCUCGCACGUUUGUUUCAUCAACAAACACUACCCGCGACUUAGAAGUUGAAGUGGCUAUUGGACAUUUGAACUCCUAGAGUGAAGUAAAUCAAGAAUAUAUUCAAUAAAGAGGUUAACGAAGUAAAAAUAAUCACAUAUAACCACACAAUAAACUGUAUAUGAGUUUGGUAUUUCUAAGAAUUAUGUUCCAUGAACCCUUAUUAUGAAUGAUAUCUACAGUACAUGGAUAUAUUUCGUUAAUAUCAACUCUCAAUGACCCUGUUCAAAAAGAGCAUGGAAUAUCCAAAAGAAAAGGGGAAAAAAAGGAUUGUAACUAAACUAGGAUUUGGGCUGGAAAAGACACACACGUGAAGACAGAACAAAAAGAACACAACCCAGAACCGAAAUCGUAUUAGAUGCUUCUGUUGGAAACCCAACAUCCAUGAAUCAGGAUGAGAAUAGGAGAAUAAGUUGAUAAAGAUAACAUCUAUGUGUUGAAAUAUGCAUACAAAUACCAAUAAAUAAAAGUAAUAGGGGAAAUGCCCAGGAGACAAAAACCAUUCCUUUACCUUGUCUAUUAACCAAGACCAAACCUUUGCAUCAGAAAACUACAAAAUAUGGAUGAGUAAAUCCAAAGAAAAAAGACACCAGUAUCUCAUAUAUGCACAUAUAAACAAGCAUUAAUAAAUGUGGAAGGCAAAGUAUGACUGCUCAAGAAGAGAAUAAAAUUGCCUAGAAAGAAACAAAAGUCACAAGAGGUAAUAGUAGCAUGUGUGUAGCUAGAACAGAUAAAAGGAAUAAACAUUGAAAAACUCACUCCAACAAAAAUCACACUAUCUGAAGAAAGAUGGCCCCUAUACCACUGCUUCAUAGAAAAUGACACUGAGAUUUUAAAGUUUACUGAGCUGAGGUUUGAAGCUUUAAGGAAAAAAUGGUGGGCUAACAACGAAGGGAAGGGAAGAGAGCUAGAAAGUGGAGAUUUAAACUAAAAAGAUGGGAUUUUUGGUGGGGUGAUUCAACUUUCAAGAUUACAUGAGAGAGAGAAAAAUUGAAAUGUUGAAGAGAAAGAAAUUAAUAAGAGUGGUGAUGAUGAUGAUGAAGAUGAAUCUUUUCUAUCCACGCAUGCAAUUGCUUUUGGUGUUUUCUUUAUCACGUGUAAAAGGCUUUUCGAAGUCCUCUCCUCCCCUUUUGCUUUUCUCUAUAACUCUUGCUCUAUCUCCUCUUGCUCCCCUCCCAUCCUCUAAUGUAGACAGACACAAACGGGGACUCAUUUCUACCUGCUCCAAAAUGUGAUGGCUUGCCAAAUGAAAAAGAAAAUACACCACUCAAGCUAAAGGACAAUUGUGUUCGAGUGUGUGAGCUGCUACCUACAUGAAAGCAAAGAAAAACAGAAAAAGAAUAACUGAAACCUGCAGCCCUCACCAGUUCACAAAAUGGGAUCUUCUCUUCUCACUUCCACAGUUUUCAGUUUUGACAGCAACACAGCGCUCUUUCUUUUCUUUCUUCGCUCAUGCUUAUGCAUGCAUUUUGCUUGUCUUGGUUUUGUUUGGAUGCGAAGAGAGGAAGAGGACAAACUACAAAGGCAAGCAAGCCUUGUACAAUGGCAGCUCAAUUUUUUGCUACGGCUGAAUACUUUAGCUUUUAGCUUUGGCUUCUCAACAAGAAAGUCCCAUGAAUCCUAUCCUACGUAGUAGAGAUGUCCCAGAAUCUUUUAUUUAUGUACUCAAGCAGUCAAGCUUUGGUAAGCUGUAACGGUCGGUUCAAUCCCUCCAACUCAAAGAGUGAGAUGGCGUCCACUUUUCUUUAGGUUUUCGGUUUGGUCCACAACAUGUGUGGCCUUAUCUGCUUUUUGGAACUAUGGGAAUUAUUAGUUCCUUGGACCAGUUGGGACUGCAAUUAAUCACAGAGAUUUAGGAUUAGUAAAGUUUUUAUCAAUGCGUCCAAACAACUAAUGUUGCCAUGUGUCAUAUCUAUGUCCUCUAUUCUCGUUGUUGUCCAGUCGAUAAACACUUCUUGGUAGUUCAACUUUUUAGACUCGAUGCAUGUUCGAUACAGAUGCUAAACACAGCGCGGUACGACCUCAGUACAAUGUUCUCUGUUCAACAAAAGAUAGUAGAAUUUGUUUUGGAUCGUAAUUUUUCUAAAUUUUUAUAUUUUUUACGAGCAUAGUUUCAUAUUACUUUUUUAUCUCACAUAUAUCAAAUCGUUAUAUUAUAUUUUUCUAUCAAAACUUCUAAAUACAAUAAUUCCACCGAGUUUUUAGUAAGUCAAAACUUAACUCUCUAAUCAUUAUUCAUCUUAAACACCCUAGAAAUUAAACCACAUUAUCUACCUAUUUGUAUACCCUCUUGCUCUUUUUUUUUUCAGACAAAUUCUUGGUGUUUGGGGAGAAAACACAACAUAACACUAUUCAGAAUGUUCAUGCAAAAUUUUGAAAACAACUCUUAAUUCUCAAGUAUCAUAUUAAUUUUCUUUGAUGUGAAAUUUUGAAGUAAAUUCAUUCUUGGUUAUUUGGUAGUGCUACAUCCCAUGCAGUAUGCAAUAGAGUACUGCAAAGGCCUCAUCAUGACAUUCUCUGGCUAACUAGCAUUACUCUGUGCGUGAUUCUUAAUGAAUCUCACUUAAAUGGUGGCUCCACCAGCUGAAGGGGUGCUUGAUAAAUAUGAUAUAAUAAUGAGGUGAGACAGCAUGGGUCUGAGAUCAGAGGUGUUGAAAAUUGGGAACCAUUUUGAUCUGUGAGAUUGCAAAGUACAUGAUUACACCUCCAGGGAGCAAGGUCUUGGGGCCAUGAUUAGAAAGGGGAGGAAACAGAAUCAGAGUAGGGAUUGUCUAUGAUGGCAUCUUGGACUUGGAACUCAUGGGUCCUUAUAAUCAUGCUACUCUUGAUAAGUGAGAAGCUUUCUUGCGUGUUUAUUUCAGUAUCGUGUUUCAUGAUCCCACUCUUUGUUAUGUUAGCAUAAUUAGUUAAAUAAAAGUCGUGAUUGUUCCUGCGAGUACAACCCAUGAGUACCUGCUGACCAUGCGGUUCACAGAAUCUGUGCUCCAUUGAUGCCAUGAGGGGAGAUCAACUUCCUGUUGAUAUCAUCAUUAGGAGUCUGGGGGAGGACUGGAAAUCUCUUUUGUCACCUCAAUAAAUGACUACAUGUGAUUGGUAGUUAAGGCUAAUCCAGUGAAAUUGGAGAAAUACCAUGGGAUCCAUGACCAAAUUUUAAUAUUCCCUGACUUGAUCAAGGCAAAAGGAACAUCACAAACAUGAAACACACUACUAUCUUAUCACAAGACUUGUCUUCUAGAUAAUAAUGUGACAAGUUAGAUUCUCUUGUAGCUUAUGGCACAUUACACAUUCAACAGGGCAAUUUAGGUAAAUCAAAUGGGAUUUUAAUUGAGAAAUUCAGUAAGCAAAUUAAUCAAAAUUGAGAAGUUUAGUUAAUUUUUCAAAGUUUAUUGAAAAAAUUGUAAACAUCACGUGAGAUCUUCAGCGCCACUUUUUCGAUGACAAUUCAAUGUCACUUCUACAUUUAUGUCAAGUAUUCUGUUUAUUUAAUUUGUCAUGUGUUGUUUAUUUAAAUUUCUUCUACCCUCACGCGAUAAGUGUGAUUGGUACUGAACUUGACACCGAGUAAUGACACAGAGGAUCCCAACUCCAUAAACAUUCUGUGAAAAGUUUACACUAAUUUUGGGUUUGUUUGGAUAAAGUAUUAUUUGAAAUAUUAUUUAGAAUAAUUACUGUAGCACUUUUUGUAACGUGAUGUAUGUGAAAUAAAAAGGUAAUUGGGAAUAUAAAAAGGUGAAUUGAAAUAUGUGUUUAUGAUGCGAACGAAAUAUUAUUUGAGAUAUUUUUGCUAUCCAAUUGUUUCCAAAAGAAACACAAAGAUUGCUUUUCCAAGUCAACUUCUUAUUUUUUUUUAAAUAACUACUUUUAGCCUAUUAUAAAUUCGAAAAAAGACCUCAAUAUUUGUAGGAUUCUGAAGACAAAAGUGAUGAUUCAUUCAUAUAAUGACUCGAAUUAUGGUUUGUCUAAAUAAAAAUAUAGAUUUCCACAGCAAAGUAUUGACAAUAAGAUCUUAAAUGGGCCUUAAUUACUAGUAUGAACCCAAAUUUUGAUACCUUUUUUUUCCUUCUAAUAAUCUAAAAUAACAAUGCACAAAGACAAGUUGACCUUUUUAAGGCUGUCAAAAUACCUCUUUCAAAGACUCCUUAAAAGAAAAAAAAAAUAUAUAUAUAUAUAUAUUUAAACAACUUUUAGAUAAUUAUUCUAUUACAUUUACAUCCAUCUGCCGAGCAUUCACAAGAUACUACUACUACUUAAUCCUUGUGCCAGAGGUGCACCAUAAUAGACGGGUUAAACUGAUUAAAACUCAAAUGCAGGAGGAGGUAAAGUCCUUAUCUUGAUGACGACUUUGCAUGAAGCAAAGCAGCAUCACAGAGGAAAUAUUUAUAGAUGUGGGAAAUCUCGUGUAAUCGUAGAUUCAUGGAACAGGACCACAUCUAGUCAAGGCAGCUCAGGAGCAGAAGGAGGAGGAGGAGGAGGAGACUUAGGAAGCCAUCAACGAGUGGAAAACAAUGGCAGUGAGUAGAUCAAAAUCAUUAUGGAGAAGACCCUCUCAUGUCAUGUCCGGACUAAGCCACAUCAAACAAUAUUAAUAAAAGAAAGCGUACCUUUCUCUUGGAUUGGAGGACAAUACGGACGGAGGGUCGGGGAGGGGCCUCCCGGAUACAAAACUUCAACAAAUACCUAAUGUUUUAUUUCAUCUUUCUUUAGUUAUGUUAAUGGGAUUUAUUUCUUUGUUUGAUGACACUCUAUUUUCUUUAUGUACUUUUUCCGAAAUUUUCAAUCAGAUGAAGUGUCAUUUCUCUUUGUACAUCAAUUAUGCAUGGGGACUGUGAGUCUUGUAAAAACUUUCUCGAACUAACUUGCUUUAAUUUCCAUGUCUAGAUUGUUUGUAAUAUAUAUGGAUAGAUUAACCUAGAAUUAGGCUUUCAAAAUUUUUUUUUUCAAAAUUUUCUUAUUUGUGCACCUCUAGGAUGCAUGAUAAAACUGUAAAAAUAAAAACACUAUAAAAAAAAUAUCAUCAUUUAUUCCUAUAUUAUGUACUCCCCCCGUCCCACUUUGAUAGUCUUGUUUUCCUUUUUGGUCUGUCCCAAAUUGUAGUCCACUUUCCCAUUAAGAAAUGUAAUGAUCUUUCAAAUUGUCUACAAUACCCUUAUUAAAUAUCUUGUUAUUAAUACAUUGUUAUUAAAUACUAACCCAUUACAUUGAAUACAUUGAGCUUUUCCAAUGCACUCUUCGUUAUUAGCAUAAGGGUAUUUUAGGAAAUUAUUAAUCUAAAUUUAUGUUUCCAACCAAAUUAAUUACACUUUCUUAAUCUGUGUGAAAAAAAAAAUCAAGACUAAGUAAACGGGACGGAGGGAGUACAGUUUAUUAGAAGAAAAUUUCUAUUUUACCAAUAAAGUGGCAUGGAGCUGAGUUUGACUUUAGCCAUUGAAGUUCCAAACUCUCAUGAAAAUGUUCCAGAGCAGCGUAUUAAAUGCAUAGUUUCAGCACUCUUACAGCGAAAGAGAGAAAGGGUGAAGAGCAGGCUGGUCAUGGAUGGAAAUGAAGAAAUGGUUAUGGGCUAUCUUAUCUUUGUUGUUACACAAACAAGCUUUGGAUUUUCCUUUGUACACAUUAGGAAAGACUGUGGCAGCACUAGUAGUAAAUUGCAGGCAGUGAAGUGGGGAACAACUGCCGGGAACAACUGGGAAGGAAGAUUAAAUAUAUGGCAUGAAGAAGAUAUAUGGGCUAACUUUGUUCUGUUUUGGGAUUGAUAAUUUUUUAAUUCAUAGGUGUCAUCCAGUAGAAGGAGGACGGGAAAAUAGAGGUUCUGGAAUCUGGACAAAGAAAAGGUAUUUUGGUGAGAAUAUAGAAGAAGUGGUGCAUGGGGUUUGGGUAACCUUGCCAAAUUGUUUCAUAUUUUACUGCUUCCCAAGUAAAAAUGGUGCGUGUGGUGGGCCUCCAACAUCCACCACCAUUAGAGGACUAGGAACACAUCCACAUACUCACGGUCACACACCAUCAUAUUAUAUACUUCCUCCGUCCCAUUUGAUAGUCCUGUAUUCCUUUUUCAUCUGUCCUAAAUUGUAAUUCACUUUCCAAUUGAAGAAUAUUUGUAUUUUAAUUUUCCUAAAAUACCUUUAUUCAAUGUAAGUAGUUAUUACUAUAAACCUACCCCAUUUAAUGAGAAUUGAUUCUUUUUUUACCAUCAAUUCAAGUUCCCAUAAAGUUGCAUCAUAUUUAAUGUGAGGAUAAAAAAAACAAGACUAUCAUAGUGGGACGGAGGGAGUAAUAAACAUACGUACGUACAAAUUUGAUUUAAAAUUUGAUGUUUCAAUGAGGCUUCUAAUCAAGUUUUAUACAUGCAUCACACAUUUUUUUUUAUCUUCUUUUUGUUUUAGUUUUUUUUUCAUAUGAGAGGAUCAAAAGUGACGUUCUACCAAUUCUUUAGUGACUUGAAAACUCGAGACCUAUAAGUCACGCGUGAAAUAUCUUACAAUUAAACAAUUUAAAACAGUAUAGUGCAUCGGAGGAAAAAAUUAAUUAACUAGCUAAAAAUUGUGAUCCCUUUUUCUUCUCUUUGUUUAUCAAGAAAAUGAUUUAGAGGCAUGGGUGAGUGAUUGAAAAAGAGGUGCAUGGCAUUGCAGAGAGGAAAUGCAUUAAGUAGUAGUAGUGUGGUUGUAGUUUGCGCUGCUGGGGGUUGCUUGCUGCAAUAAUUCCACCGAUCUCAAACGUUAGGUUAGGUGCUUUUUUGUUGGGGAGAUGGUGAGUGCUUCAAUGAAUUGGAAGAGCAGAAAAGCAAUUAUGUUUGACCCUCCUUUUGGAAAUCUGUGAAGUGCGUUCGUCUGUGAAGUGCGUUCGUGCUGGCUGCCUGGCUCAAUCUCAAAAUGAUCCAAUUGCUUGAAAAACAUAAUAUCAUUUUUUACCUUCAAAAAUUUUUUUGACUAAAAUAUUUUAGGUGGAGAAGCAGUUUUGUAAAUGAUUUUUUUUUAAAAUUUUUUUGGAGUGUGGACAAUUAGAAGAUGACUUCAUUAUUUUGCAUUUGCAGAAAGUUCUCGUUUGGAUUGUGUUUUUAUGCAAAAAAUAAAAAAUAAAAAAUAAAAAAAUUAUGUCUUUCGUAAAUAUAUUUUUCAAUCAUCUUUUUACUUCACAGUUAUCAAAUCGCUACGGUACAUUUUUCUAUAAAAAAUUCUAAAAAUUGCAAUCCAAACAGAGUAUCAAUACUUUCUCAAUCUUAAUUUCUAAGAGCUAUCAUUUUGUAAACUUCCACAAAUUACUCCGAAUUUCUUUAGCAUGUCAUCUUUUAUAUUGAGGUUGGCUCUUUCAAGAUCGCUUCAUGUCCAACUAAUAACCUUUAACUAGCUACCUACCCCCCCCCCCCCCCAAAAAAAAAAACCUUUUAGCUAGCCACAUAUUAGUACAAUUCAAUGAUAGUACUUUCUGCUUGCACCUUAACAAUUAACUCAAAAAGUGUUUUUUUUUUUUUUUUGGGGUUCUUGAAUAGUGCAUGCAUGAGAGGCGGCUAAAAGCUGCUUAUCCACCACCUUAUUGUUCUUUUAUUUCAGACAGUGCAUUAUUGCUUUCUGCUGCAUUAAUAUGGCACGGUCUUUAUAUAUAUAUAAUUGUUCUCAAUUAAGGGAAAAAGAGAUGUAAGGAUGGAUUUGUUCCUUCAACAGUAGUAGUAGUUUAAUUGUUCUUGAAAAGUUGAAUGAAAAAGACUACAGCUUUAAGUGGUGCUGUAGUGGCAAUGGGAUUCACGCAAGAGUAUGGCAAAAGGAAUUAAAAAGAAAUGUAUGGAAUUCUCCCCAUCAAGAAACAUCAGAGAACUAUCAUAACAACGACACCAAACAUAUGCUUCCCAUUAAUGGACCUUCGAUGCUGCUGAAAUCUGUUUUGUUUAAUUAUUUUCUGACCUAAUCAUUUUGUGGCAUGCACCAGUUUGCACUAAAUUAAGUAGCAGGUUAUGGCUAAUUGGCUCUAGCUAGAGCUUGCUUUUUGGUAUUUGAGAUCUAUAAUGCAUUUAGAUUGUUGUUUUCAUUUGGGCAUGCGCUUAAUUCUUAAAAGGUAAAGGUAUGUAAAACUAACAAUCUUCAAUUCUUAGGUUAGAGAUUAGGGAUAAACCUAUUCUUCAUUUUUAGUGCUAUCAUAUUUGGAAAACUUGAGGUCUUAGAAGAGACUCCUUGAGUAUCACAUAAGCACAAAACACACACAUGGAUAUUUAGAAUAUCUUAUAAACAAAUGUUUAUUCAAACAAUGAAAAUUCUCAUCUGUGCACUGUAAAAAUCAUUGCGAAUAUACGUGUAUUUAUUUGAAUAGUAAAUUAUUUGAGAUAAUUUUAUAAUUAAAAAAAAGUACCGUAACACAUUUUUAUUGUGAUGUAUAUAAGAUAAUUCACAACAUGAUUUCGCCCCGUGGACAAGAGAUGAUGUUGGUUUUUGCUCUUACUAAUUUUAGUACAGCUUGAGCAAGAGAACUAGAAGAUCCUGAAUUUUUACUAAUUUUAUAAUGUAUAUACAACAUUUUGAUAAAGCAAUCUGAAGGGAGUAGUUAGUGUAACAAGCAGCCAAAGAACAAACAGUAAUAAGCUUUCCCUAUUCUGGUACACAAAAGAGAAAAUCUUUGGCCUAUGAUUCUGUGGGUCUUCCUUAAAUGGUAAUAUAUCUUCCCAGCACCAGCAGAGCUGCCACACAAAUAAGUGUCAAAUCGCGGGCAGGAAAAACCCAACUUUCAUAGGCAAAGAGAAAGGUCAAUCUAUGCUGAUCCACAAUUUCAUCAGUCUUUCCUAUCACGUCUGUGUUAUAUUCUCCAUACCAAUUACCAAUGCCCUCCCAUAUAUUUCCGCUUUUGAAAAAAAUAAAUAAAUUACCAAACCCCUCCCUUUCUUUCUUCUAGUUUGGCAAUAAUAAUGUACUUCUUCUAGCUCUAGGUCGUGAGAAACAAACAAGUGUCAAUUCAUGUGUAUCUGUGCCAAUUAUGCAAAUUUAUGGUACACAUCAAGAUUAAAAAUUAUGGCAUGUACAAGCUUUCACAAUAUUGUAUCACGAGCCAUGAGCCAUCAGUCCUUUUGCUGGUGAUCACUGCCAGGCACUUAAAGUCUUGGCCGCGUUGGUUCAACCAUUGACCUCCCAUCAAAUUGUCAUUAUAUGUGGUUAUUUUCAGUGACUUUUUCCGAUGGAGUUUCUAUUCUCAUCGAUUUCCUUUUUUUCUUGAUUAAGAUAGCUUAGAUUAUAAAAAUGUUACCGUUGCGACAAAAGAAAAAAAAGUAUCACAGGCCAUGUAACACAACGAACUUUUGAUUUGGUUAAUUGAUACAAUGUCAUGUUACAUGAGAUCGUUUCAUAUUCCAAUGUAUUUAGAAGGGUUUGGACCGAAGAUUAUUUGAAAUUCGUUGUAACAAUUUUUGUAAUUUAAUAUAUGCAAGAUGAAAAAAUAAUUAAAAAGACAAAAUAGUUGAUCGAAAAAAUAUAUUUACGAUGCAAGUAAAAUAAUAUUUGUAAAUAAAAGCUAUGCACACACGUUCUAGUUUUCAAUUAGAGCCAAAAAGAAGGAGAGAGAGAAAAAAUAAAGAAAAAAGAGGAUGGCAAACCUACAUGUCUUGCACCCAAAUGGCAACUUUUAACUUGUCCACCUACCAAAUUGUCUACUUCCACAAAAGUUUAUAUAGAUUACCAGCACAAGUAAAAUGUGCAACUUGUAUACACUGCAAAUAACUGGCCUGGGGUUGACUCGGUUGGUGUUGGGGGUGCCUCUUCAGGUCCUGGCAUUGGGUGUUCGCGGUUCGAUUUCUGUUAACGUCAUGUGUCUCUUGGGGGACGGGGGCAACAAGCGCAAUGGGAUUAAUUGGGGCCGGGAAUAUUACUCCGUCGAAUUUCAGAUAUCCACUGUGUUCGAAAAAAAAAAAAGUAUACAUUGCAAAUAUCUGGAUGGAUCAUUGCAUCUUUAUUGUCUAUCUCAAAGAUCCCCCCUAAAGCCACUCCAUGACUGUUGAAUGUUAGUUUAGCGUUUCAAAAAUAUCAUGAGUAGCCUUGUGUUAAUUUUGAGUUGACAGAAGAAUGCCAAACCCAAGUGACAAUUAAAUUGCACAAUAUCGCAAAGAACAAAUCACCUUUAGUUUCAUAAUUACAAAAAAAAAUAAAUCAAGUUUUCCAAACAAUUUGGACAAACACCGGACUCAAGGUCAUCGCAACUCUAAUUUAUUAUCUAGACAAGAACGAAUCAAAAGAGCAAAAAAAAAAAAAAAAAAAAAAAAAAAAAAAAAAAAGAAAGAAAAUGGGAGAAGAAGAAGAAGAACAGCUGUCUACUACGGAAUGAGUACAUCAGGGAUUUGUCCAUCCUAUCCGACGCUGCAAAAUUUACACAUAAUAAUAAUAAUAAUGCUCUUCCUAUCCGACCCUGAUAACUGUUGUCAUUGAUAUUUGAUAUUCCCCUCUGCUCGGUCUUCUGGUCUUUUGACAAAUCCUUUUCCUACCCUCUGAGGCAUUACAAAAGUGUCAGCAUCCAAAGACACUGAUAAACUCAUCUCAUCCACUCUCCCGUCCGAAAGCCAACAAGCCAUUUGCUCCGAGAAAAGAAAAAAAAAACCUCAGUACUUUCCCCACGUCCUUUAAUCACCAACCCUACCCUUUUUCGUGAAAAGCACUAGGGAGUAGGGUCCCGUUAUGCCCCUCAAGAAUUAUUUUGGCAAAUCGUAAACAAUGGCUUUGUUUGGAUUGGGCUUUAUUUCUCAAAAUUUAUUUGCUUACAUCAUCAUUACAAUUUUCAAUACACCUUUUUACCUUCCCAAUUAUCUUUUUAUCUCACAUACAUCACAUCACAAAAAGUGCUACAGUAAAAAUAUCUCUAAUAAUUCACAAUCCAAACAGACCCAUUAAUGAAUCUUAAUUACCUUUUUCUUUUUUUGAUAAUAAGAAUCUUAAUUACCUUGAGAUGUUGUAGCUCACCAAUAUGAGUGCCCUACUGGGAUUUAGGGAUCCCAAAAAUAUUUUACCGCUAAUAUGAACGCCUGUUUGAGUUGCAUUCUUUUAGGAGUUUUUUUCUCCCAAAAAAAAAAAAAAAAAAACUAACACUGUAUGACUUUUUUAAGAUAUCAUGUAUCAUGCAAGUUAAAAUAGCAAUUCAAUUUGUUUUUCAAAAAAAUAGUGAUACAUACAAGGCCUUAGAUUUUCUGGAUUCCUUUGCCUUUCAUGCACAAGAAGUAUUGUUUGUAAACAUACUACUACCUUUUUCUGUAUUGGUGCAGCAAUGUAGUCACAUAGAUCCAUAGUACCUUUUUCUUUGUUGGCGCAGUAAUGUAGUAGUCAUGGAAACUACUUCCCUUUUUUUCUUUUUGGCCAUUCAUUCAUUUCUCGCAAAUCUUUUGUCACAAUUUCUUAAGUAAAUGGAUCGUACCGUUUCGAGUGCCUAUGCGAUAUCUUCAUCAUUUAUCUAGUGCGGCUAGCUAUAGGUCCCAAGCGGAUAGUUCGCUGGUUGGUUCUUUGAUCUUUAUCUGGAGAUCACCAUUUCGAUUCCCGCUUGUCUAUCUAUCGUGUGAUGCAUUUUUGGGGGGAGUUCUGCACUGUUGCAGAGAAAUUAAUCUGAUACAAGUCAGGAUUCUAGAUAUAGGACUAUUUUUCACCAAUUUUGCGACCUAGAAUUAAGUGAAUUUUAAAUAUUCCAUACAUUGAAAAUUUUCAUCUAACAGAGAACUUAUGUGGCAUUUAAGUUUUUGACUAAAUGAUUGGUUAAAAUUUACUCUUUUUUCUUUUAACCAAAAAUUGGACCUCAAGGAUUUUCUCUUAUGCAGUCGGCCCGCACGAUGAGAAAUUCAGUGUUGGUGAGUUGGUCAUCGAUCGAGGCAAGCAUGCUUCGACAAACCGCCACCCUUCCUGAUUCAACUACCAUAUGCACACAAUUAUUAGGACAUUUUUUUAAAUAUAUAUACAGGUACAUGAAUGAGUGAUGCAUGAUUUCAAAAGUACUUUUUUUUUUUUUGAUAACGAUGUAUCAGAAAUUCGAGCUUUAGAACUUUUUUGUCGUGAAAAAUGCUCUUGCUUGGUCCCAAUUCAUUCAUCCCAUUCCCAUCCCAGCUAGUAGUGAAACUUAUAGUAACAUCUCAUUCUCGUCAAAAAGUGCUUCUCUCUCAAUAAGCUUGAAAGAGCUUUACUUCUUUCACUUUUUACGUUUUUAUUGGAGAUGACAAAAGGGUGUUUUGUUGGGACCGUGAAUAGCUGGAUGCACAGGACCAACGUUGUAACCCCUUUUCUUUUUUGACUGGUAAACUUUUGCGAGCCCGACAAGACAUCAUCUUUUCUUAGAACUAGCUAGUUUCUUUAGUCUUUAUUAUCAAGCUACUUUAUGGAUUAAAGAGAUAGGAUAGUAGUAUCAAUUUAGCCCGCCUCCGGCUAAGGAGUUAUUUCUAGAAUCUGGGGUUUAACAUGUGGUUUAACACAUCCGCAUGAUUGCUGCCCCAUGCAAUUAUGCAAGGAGCAAGUUAAUCAAAACUCAAGCCUAGCCUGCAUAACAACUCACCUAUAAGCACUUGCAGGAUUCCUUAGGUAAAAGCAGAUAGAGGAUUCUAAUCCCAUAAACUACUGGUUUUUUUUUUCUUUUUUUGAAGAAUUACUCUAGUUUGGUUUGUGAUCAAGAUUAGGCCACGAGACAUAUUAUUGGAAUAUGAGCUGUUUAGCACAUUAAGAAUGUGGCAAGACUCUAAUGCUACCGCAAUGAUACUCUGUUUGGCUAGAAUUGAAUGAUCACGCGAUGUCACUAGAACAGUUCAUUUGUCACUGAAGAUUACUCAUAAUUCAAUUGUAUAAGUGAUUAACAUAUUCAUAUAACGAACUAAUUCUGUUCAAUAUGUCAUUCAAGUGAUAUAAUUGAAGCUAAUGUAAAAUAAAAAAAAUUAAGUUGAAGAUUAGCCUAAGAAUAUUUUUUUUAUAAUUUUUCUUUCUAGUAGGCAAUACGUGAGGCGUAAGAAGUGGAGAUGGGAGAAGAAGAUUUGAAUCCAAGAUCUAUAAGAAUUGGAGUUUUAACUUUAGUCACUAUAUCAACUAGAGUUGCAAACGAGUCGAAUCGAAUCGAAUUUUGGCCUAAUCGAAUCAAAAUCGACUCAAUUUUACCAAAAUUGAACUCAAGGAAUUUUCAAUGUAAAACUUGAUUUCGAACUCAACCUCAAAUUUGAGUCUAAUUGAACUCGAGUUCAAGCUUACUUGAGUUCAAAAAAAAAUGAUUAUUUUAUCUUUGAAAAAAAUGAAUAAAAUAUUCAUUUUUUUAAUAAAUAAUAAAAAUAUUAUGGAUAUAUAUAUGUGUAAUUUUACUAUUAAAAAUAUAUAUAUAUAUAUAUAUAUAUAUGUGUGUGUGUGUGUUAUUUGAACUGACUGGCGAAUUAACGAAUUGAGUUUCUCUAUACUCGACUCGAACUCGAUGUUGAUCAAGUUCGCGCUGAACUUUGAUCGAGUAAGCUUGCAAGCGACUUUAUUUAUUUGCAGCUCUAAUACCAAUGCCUCUAAACAUAUUGAAAAACAAAAAAAUAUAUGUUUUUAUCUUCAUUAGUAUGUUUCGUAAUAAACUUCUUUUGCGUAUGCCCAUGAAGAAUACUUGAUACUAAAAUACAUGUAAUACAGCCAAAGAGUAACGUAAAUAAAUUUUCUUCACCACUUGCCUAUAUUUACAUGCUAUCAACAAAUCAUAAUGAUACGAAUAGACAAUACCAUGAUAGAUAGGUUCUUCAUCAAAUAUCUAGUUUCACUAAUCAAAAAGCAUCACUAAGUGGGAUCGACACUCGAAAACCACAGAUGCAUAGAAGUAAUUUAUAGUUUAUGCAUAUUUGAUGGUUAAACAUAUCUUUGGUGCCUUUAUCCUAACAAUACUUCAUUUAUGUGGAUGCAAAGCAAAGAGAGGCAUUGCUCACUUUCCUGCGAGUGAAAGGUUCCCGUGCACUUGUUUAAAUACGUAUGGAUGAUGCACAAUUCGACUUUCAAUACCACAUACGUUAAUCAUAAAAACUACCAAUGUACAUACCUGGCUAUCAGAGAACUACCAGUAAUUUGUGCAUGCAAAUUGUCUCUCACAAACUCGCACCUCAGUUGAAUCUAAAAUGGUAACUUGUUACCAAAUGAAAAAGGAAAUGAAUGAAUAAGAAAAAAAAAUGUGAUGAAAUUUGUCAAUCAUUUUUAGGAAUAUCGUCAACAAGUGGAACCCUGCAUGCAGGGGCUAGAAUGCUAGAUCUUGCUGUAUCAUUAUGAUUAUUUUGACGUGGGGAGAUGGAUGGGACUCGACGCUUUAAUUUGAUUCGAUCAACAAACAGUUGUGGCUAGGUUCCAAUUCGAAAAGCUAAGCGGCACAAAAUUAUGGAAGUUGAUGGGAGUAUCAUUAGAACGAAGAAAGCUAAAAUCAUGAAGUCAUCAUGAUUUCCUUUGAUCAUUCUGCUUGUCACUGGCCAUGUUAAAGCUGUUCCAAAAGCUUUCGAUUAGACAAUCUCUACCGAAGUCGGAAAGUUGAUUAAACCCAAGCUUUAAUUGUGGAGCUUGACAACUUUUCAUUAUCAGACGAGGAAAUAACUCAAUAUCUUUCGAUUUCAAUCUUUGGAGGAGGUGGAGCCGACUGCGUACCAUGAACAUAUGGUUCUAGGCAAUCAUCAUUAUCACUCGGAAAAGGCAUAGCUUCCAGGCGUAAUCUUUUGCUCUCCAAGCUAAAAUGAUUAUGCUUUCUUUGUGUAUUGUGGCCAAAUAAUAAUUGUACUACGUACCAUUUCUCUUAAUUUCUUGUGUUAGACGACGAUACUACUAAUAUCGUAGGAAAAGACAAAAAUUAGAGUGCAGCUUUAGCAACAAUAAGAGUAAAAUUCAGAGGAAUAGAAUUGCAUCUAAAAGUUGGUUCAACCUAUGAUCAUGCCGGCGAGGGAUGAGUUGGGUAAUUUAGAAGGAAGGAGUGACUCUCCCACUUACACUUCAAAAAAAAAAAAAAUUUCUUCAGCUUACAUAUUCUUUCUCUAAAUAAUUAACUUUUAUUGAACAUCAUUUCACCUUGCUAUAGCAUUAUAAACCUCGUGAAAAAAAAAGCAGGACAAAAAUAAGUCAAAAAAAUGUAAGAAUGGAUUAUUUUUUUGUGGGUUCAAAAAGAAACUCUAAACCUUAUAAAGGAGAAAGAAGAACGCAAAAAAUUUAAGAGUUGAACCACUAAUAUUGUAGUUUUAAGAAUUUUUUGGUUUACUCUUUUUUUUUCAAUGAACAAGAGGUCUUAAAUUCAUAAUCUCUCGUUUACAAUUCCUCCCCUCUUUAUUAUCCAAUCCAACCUUCCUCUGAUUUUGUUCUCUAACCCGGAUUUUUUUUCCGGUGUUUUUUUUGGCGGCUGGGGGGUGUGUUCCUAACACAGUACAGCUAAUAGAUGCGGCCCAUGUGACCUAAAAGAACAUCUUCCAUAGUUUAGCUAAUAGUUAUGGCCCAAAAGCCAAACUUGUCUUCGCCAUGGUUGAAAAACCCGCCUAGCCCAAAUAUUGAGAAAAUGGGAUGAUCCAACCAGAACACGGGCCAACCUCUCCAAUGGUCCAUGGUCCAAAGUUUUAACCAACAAUUACGGUGCAAUUGCUGCAAUAUUUCCCAAAAUUUUUGUCAUAAAUCCAGGAAUUAGUAAAAAUCAAAUUAUAGAAAAAAUUAGCAAAAAUCACUUGUUGAUGAAGUGUAAUGCAGAAAUGCUAAAACGGAUGUACAUAAUUUAAAAAAUCUGCACUUUUCUUGUAAUUAUGAUCAACUUAAAGGAAUAUUAAAUGUAAUUACAAUAUAGAAGGUGCUUUUGGAUUUUAGAUAUCCAAAAAUAUUUUUUAUUUCUCAAAAAAUGUAAACCAAAAUCUUCAAUGUACUCAUUACUCAUUUCAUGUAGUUCUAAUCCUCUAUCCUUUUCCACCUUUUAAAUCUCAGCCCCCUUCUCUUACCGUAAAAAAAAAGUUUUUUAAAACAACAAGCAAGACAAGACUGCUAUAUAAUCUCCUUGUGCGUUACGUUCUUGCUUCACGUGGUUAUAAGCCUUACGCAAUUGCUCAUAUAAGAUACUAGGUAGCUAUCAGUAUUUAUGGGAAUUAAUUUCAUAUAAAGCAAACCUCUGAGGACAUUAUGUUGUUAUUACAUCCCAUUCAGAUUCUCUUUUUCAAUAGAAUAGGAAAAAAAAAAAAAAAGAACAAGUGGACGUUGGGGCCAUGGUAUUGUUAUAAAGAAUAUCUAUAUCAUAUAUAAAAGGAACGGGAAAUCGUUUAAAACGUUUUUUUUUUAUUUUGUAAAAUAAUUUUUUUCGUUCUUCACUUUUAAAAGUAUACUUUUAUGUUCCUUACAAAUUUAAAUUGGUCAAAUUUAGUUCCUAUCUAGGUUUUCGACUAGUUUUUUUUUUUUUUUUUUUUUUUUGUAAAAAUCCACCACGUGUGUUGCACGUGAACAUUUUUUAAGGGUAAAAUUAUCAAAUCAAAAUUUACAUAAUCCGAUCCAUAGUCCAUCACAUUUCAUAAAAUAAAUUUUUUUUAUCUCUCACAUUUCACAAAAUAAAAAUUUUCAUCCCUCAUGUUUUACAAAAUAAAUUUUUUCAUUCAUCAUUGAUCUUGUGUACGAAUAAUUUAUGAAUAGCAUGUAAUACAUAUCUAUUUGAUUUCGUCUAAAUGUACUGUUUAGGUGAAAUUAAUAUAAAUAUAUACAAGGGUUUAAAAAAUUGUUAGUUUUUCAUUCAUGUUCAUUUUCUUUUACUCAAAAAUUGAAAACAAAUAAGACAUUUAAUCCUAAACAUUGUCAAGUAUUUAUAUCGAAUUAAAUUUGGAUAGAAAAAAUAAACAAAGGAAAAGUAUAAAAAAAAAGAAGUAAGUGAUUAACAUUUUCAAAUUUUUAAGAUAAUCACAAGGUAAAAAAUUCAGCCGUUGAUCUUAAAAGUGGUGAGUAAAAUUUUAGAUUUAAACUACAAUUUGUUAGCAUGACUGUAGAAUUCGAAUUAGAAUCGAUUAAUUAGACCUUAUUACACAACUCAAUGAGUGAAUUGUAUAUGGAUUUAAAACAAAAUUGUUAGAUUUGAACCCAUGUAUAUAUCUAUUGAAUAGUAUAUGUACAACUACAAUUAGUCUGUUUAGAUAAAAUCAAAUAGAGAUAUAUUAUAUAAUAUUCAUACUAUUCAUGUGAAAUCAAAUAGAUAUAUACAUGGAUUUUAAAAAAAUUAUUCGUACACAUGAUCAAUGAGAGAUGAAAAUUUUCAUUUUGUGAAAUGUGAGUGAUGAAAAAAAUUUAUUCUGUGAAAUGUGAGGAACGAAACAAUUCAUUUUGUGAUAUGUAAGGGAUUAUAGAUGGAUUAUGUAAAUUUUGAUUUGUCAAUUUUGUCUCUAAAAAUGAUCACCUGCAAGACACGUGAUGAAUUUCGAUAAAAAACUAGUCAGAAAUCUAGGCAGGAACCAAAUUUGACCAAUGUGAAUUUCUAAGGGACGUAAAAUUACGCUUUUAAAAGUGAGGGACAAAAAAAGUUAUUUUACAAAACAUGAGGGACGUUUUGAAUGAUUUUCCCAAAAAGGAGAGAUGGGAAUUAGGAGUAAAUAUUUUUUUAUUAUUUUAUUUUAUUCUCAUUAAAAUCACUUAUUACUUUACAACCUAAACACAGAUUGUUAUAAACAAACUACCUGUAACUAUUUUUAACUAUAACUAAUCUAAAUAUAUAUUAACAAAAUGACUACCUCUAACUUUCCAAGUAUUAUAACUACUAAAACCAUCAUUUGAUAGGAGAAAAAGGGUAAAAUAUCACACUUUACUUCAAUCAUGAAAAUUUUAUAAAAUUAAUUUGUAAAAAGAAUUUUGAAUUGCAUACAUAUCGUGUGUGCCUUUAGCACUAGUAUCUAUAAGGGUGAGAAGACUUUUGAUGUAAAUAACUAUAUAUGAAGGGAGAGGAGACUUUUGGUAUAGGGGUGUGCAAAAUCAAAAAAUUUCGAUUUACCGACCAAAUUUGAAUUGAAUUCGGAAUUUUUGAAAUAGGUAAUUUGGAAUUCGGCACUAAAAUCGGAAUUUCCGAUUUUGAAUUAUGCAAAUUUGGUUCGAAUUCAGUAAUGGAGUUUUUGAAAUCGGAAUUUCCGAUUUCGAAUUCAUAAUUCGAAAUCAGAAAUCGAAUUCGAAAUUUUUGAUUUCAAUUUCGUUUUAUAAUAUAUAUUAAUAUUUUUUUAUAUAUAUAAUAUUUUUUUAUUUCAAUUUCAUUUUAUAAUAUGUAUAUUAAUAUAUAUUAAUAUAUAUAAUAAUAUUUUUUAUAAUAUAUUUAUAUAUAAUAUUUUUUAUAAUAUAUGCAAUAUAAAAUUUAUAUUAUAUAACAAUACAUCUAACAAAAAAGAAAAAAAGGGAAAAAAAGGUUUCCGAAUUCGGUGAAUUUGGAAUCGAAAUCGAAAUCGGAACUGGUGAAUUCGAAAUCGAAAUUGGUCGGUAAUUCCUAUACCAAAAUUCCGAAUUCAAACUUCCAAAUUAUUGAAUUCGAAUUCGUUGUACACCCCUAUUUUGGUGUAAGAAAAAACGGUCACUUUAUGUACUCUCUAAACUAUCUUUGAUAAAUAAUCGCUACCAAUAUUGCUUUCUACCAAAUAAAAUAUUUUUAUUCUAUCUUUCAACUUAUUUAAUAAAUUUUAAAUUUUGUUUGCAACUACCAAUUAUGGUUAUAAAUUGCUAUUAAAUAACUAUUUUUUGUACAUUUUAUUUUGGUGAAUUUUAUACAUUCGUAUUGUCAAAAUAUUAAACCAAUUUUAUGAAAAUGAUUUUAGUAAAUAUACUCAAAAAAACUUAUAAAUAUUUUUUCUAUUAGUUGCACACACAUUAGUGUGUGCAUUGAACACUGAUGGUUAUUAAGGACAUGGAAUUGGAUAUCGAAAAGUACUGCAAUUCGUAUUUAGAGUGAACAAAAAAAAAAAAAAUCACAACCCUCGAGGCAAAGCCUCAAUAAAGUUGAUAUUGCACUAUCUAUUAUUAUGUUAAUUCUUGCCAUCUUUGUCCGAUCCUCUUUGGUUAUUAGGUUAAAUUGUUAAUGUUAAUCACUUUAAAUAUGAAAAAAUGCCCAUGACCUUUGACUACCCGUGUCGGCCAACUAAAUAAUUAAUCAAUUAAAGUUAUUUUGGUUUUCCUAACUCUUUGUCUUUUUGGGUGACUGAGCAAGGUUUGAGUUUAGAUAUGCUAUGUGUUACGAACAUGAAAAGUUUGUCUUCCAUUCCACUUGUUGCCGCCACACGAACAUGGAUGGAAUUCGGGUUAGAUUCAUAAUGGAAGAUGUUAAGCAUCGAUGAGAGAGGUUAAUACGUCAUGGAUUAGUGCUACUUUCCUGCACGAAGAAGACUCGUGGAAAUGGGGAACAGCAACGGACCAAAAAAAAGCUACGCUAUCACAUCCAUCACUAAAUCACCCAUUUGAAUAAAAAAAAAGAUUUUCCUUCCCACAUCGGUUGGAUGUGGGUUAUUCAAUCUGGAUUUAAGGUUUAUAGGAUUCUCGUUUAAUUAUCAAUUGAUUGGACGUGAGUUUCUUGUGGGUCUUCCUUAAAUUACUCUUCAUGAAUCGUUUAAUCGCUAACUUUCGAGUUUUUAAUUUAAUUAGGUGUGCGUUUCUGCCUAAUGACAGAAAAAAAUAAAAAAAAAUAUUUAUUAUUGUACUGUUACUUUAAAAAGGACAAGACAUAAGAGGAGUUUUUAGGUUACAACAGAUAGUUUACAGAAUUUGUUCCAACUGAAAGUUCAAUCAAUGCUUCCUUUGAAGGGCCUUUGUCAAUUUCAUCCAAGCUUGUCUUCUCAUCAGAAUCCCAAUAGUUUUUGUGAUAUGAUUGCCAUGUUUGGUCUGCCAUGUGUGAAAAUCCUUUAGCUUGAAUCUAUUUUUCAUUGUUUUCCCAUAUUCGACAAAUACUGUCUUAUAACAAAGAAAGAGGGAAUCGAGGUAAGUUUGCUUAUUCUACUUAUUUUAUUUUUUAUUGAAUACAUUUUUGAUUGGUGUGGAUUAAAUAAAUCAGGGACUUUUUCACCACGUCUUUAUUUAUUUUCUCAUCUACACGUGUAGAAUAGAAUUAUUUAGAUAUGCAGUGUCAAUCCAACGAUUUGAUCAGUUUGUAUUUUAACUGUCAAUUGAAUUUAUUAUAUUUUUUUCAUAUAUUCUUUUCGCAAUAUUUAUAUUGACAACAGUGUAUCGAACAAAUAUAAUUUAUUGUGAUAAGUCAAGUAGAUCUAUUUAGUUUUGUGCCCUAGGUUUUUUUUUUUUACAUUCAAAUCGUGGGUUCUAUUAUAUGCAAGGUUUUUUGAUUGAUUGAAAAAGUAAAUUAAGGGGGGUCGGUCUAUAAAUUUUGAUUUUUAUCUAUUUUUUUAUUUUAUUGAAUUUUUUCUGAGAAUUUCUUGUAUUUUCAUCUGCCUCUAUUCAUUUCAUUUUUAUGUUUUUGUUUUGAAUGCAUUAGAAAAUCCUUUAGCUUGUGACGCGUUUUCUACAUUUUUCGUGAACACAUUUCUUAAUUAUCUUUUUACCUCAUAUAUAUAUAUAUAUAUAUAUAUAUAUAUAUAUAAAAUGCAGUAUAUUUUCUAUAGAAACUCCAAAAAAUUUCUACAUUUUUCGUGAACACAUUUCUUAAUUACUUUUUUAUCUCAUAUAUAUAUAUAUAUAUCAAAUUGCUGCAGUAGAUUUUCUAUAGAAACUCCAAAAAAUUGCAAUUCAAACAAGGUAAAGAUCUUCGUUGUUGAGCUCCAUUUUUGGAGAAGUUGUAUGUAAAAUAUUUCUACAUAUGAAAUCAAUAUCUAACAGAGAAACUUAGGAGAUUCGUAUUGGAUGCUUUUGCAUUUUAAAUGGAUUUCUCUAAUAGGAUUAAGAAAGAAGUACUACUACUAUUACUUUGAUGAUAUCUUUAGCACUAGUGCCUUUUUUUUUUUUUUUAAAAAAAAAAGAAAGAAAUCUUUUGUCGUUGUGCCUAAAGCACAUUAUUAUUAUUACUACUACUACAAAGAAAGAAUUGUUUAGUACUAGCAGGUACUAGCAUUGGUUUCUUCCACAAUUCUUGAAUCUUUGUGAUGUGCACGCCAUAACGAAACGCUCACACAAAACCAAGGUAAAAAAAAAAAAAACACAAAGAAAUCAAAAUGAACACAACAAAAAGAAAUCAAAAUGAGAUCCUUUUGAAGUCUUUUUCUGCAAAAUUUAUAAGCAUGGUAAUUUUAUGGAUGAAAUCACACAUCUUCAAUUAAAGAACGUGAUUAAUUGACCAUUAACACGUCUAGGAGCCAUAAUUCAGGAGACCAUUCAAACAAACACAGCAGUGUCCAGGUUCAUCCUCUCAGAAUCUUCCCAUAACUUUAUCCCAAAACUUUCUUAUUAUAAAUCCAACGUAAAUCCCUCCAAAACUUCCAACUCAGUGCUUGUCUUCCUCUUACAUAAAGAAAUCAUUCUUCGGUUUGGCAAGAAUUAGAUUAGUAUUAAAGCCACCACCAUUAUCACCCCUCACCAUCCCUCAAAUUUUAUUUCCCAAAACACCCCUGCUUCAUAUACACAAGCCUAAACUUCAUUGCCCAGAGAAUCCCUCUUCCCCUCUUAAACUACAAAUUUACCCCACUCCAACCAAGAUCUUUCUUUUCCCGAAGUACCCUCCAUUCCUUCCCUCUCCCUCCAAUAUUAUAACAAAACCCAGACUGCCAACCCAACUGAGGGAAAAGGAGAGAGCUUUUAAUCCCCAUUUCAAUGGCGACAAUGGCCUCUCUUUUCCUCAAUACCCCAACUUCAUCACCAUCUUUGCCGAAAACCCAGAAAACCCUUUUCGUCCCACCCCUCACUUUCACUCUUCCCAGCCGCCCCACCUCCAAAACCCGCCUUUCUCUCUGCUCCCCGCCUCUAUUUAUAGCCAAUUUGCCCUCCCUUCUCUAGGCGAGCCUUUUACAGAAGACGAAGAGGAACCUGGCCCCUUGUAGCCAUAUAGGUCUCUCUCUUUAGUCUUUCUCUUGACCUACACACCCUGGUAGGAGAAGGGUCGUGAGGGAAUAGUUGUGCAGCUCAGUUUCUUGGCCGUGCUUCAUUAUCAGUUGAAGCUGCCAGCAUGAUCUAAACCUUUCUCCUUCGUUUGAGGAAAGAUCAGAUCAUGUGGUAGCUUCACCUGUUGGUGAUGACACGAAUAUGAAUGUACGGACCCUAGUUUUCUUUCUUCUUACUUGUCAAUUUUGUUAGUCAUACAAUAGUAGUUAUAAUUCGGUACCAUUCACUUGGUGGAAAAGGUAUGCAAUGUGAAAUUUCUUGCUUCAAUAUUUACUACGGGAUAUAUGGUUAGUUUUUCAGGUGGGGUGGGAGAGCUUUUUAUUGUGUUUUCAGGCGUUUUCGAUUGAUGAUUAAGGUUAAUAUGUGACAGGAAACCUGUGUCAUGGGAAUUGCAUGAUUCCAAGACCCUUUGUUGUGCUUUGGACUUCGAGCUAUGAUAUGCCUAAUUUUACCUUCCUGUGUUGGGUAAUAGUCUCAGUUUUCGUUAGUGUCUUUGCUUUUUCAAGAACAGAUUUCUAAAUGUCAUGCGAAAUAUGUGUGCCACGGAUGACUACUCAUUGAAAAUAAAUUGCAUUAUAUUGCCUCUCCAAAUAUUUCAAGAAAAAGCCUCCUUCUUCAUGGGAAUUAGAAUCUGGGAUUAGCCCUGUCCUGAUAUCCUUCUUACCUGAGUAGGGUUUCCAGUUCUACAGGCCGGGAGUUGGUGAGUAAUGUUUUCUUUUCAUUUCUGUUUUAAAUUUUAGAGAUAAUUUUGAAGAUUCUUUGAGUUAAUCGUCUAGCUCACUUCUCAGCUUUCGUGACUCCUAGCAAGUUCCCGUGUAGAAACUGAUCCUGUCUUAACAGUCAAUGAUACAGUACUAGGGUUUCCUGAAGCUCAAAAAAUCUUGAAGAAACGUGGGAUUAUAAUGAUAAGUACCCAGAACCUUGAAAUUAGUCCCAGGGGAUCACAAGUACUCUAUCAUUGUCUCCAGUAGGCAACGGUAUUAAGAAGAGCAAAAGAUUUUUUUUUCUCCUUUGCCCAUCCACAAUUUCUUGCUCUUCCUGAACUUUUCUUGCCUUGGAUGUUUUCCUUUUCCAUCAAUGUUUCUUAGCUUUUUCUGAAGUGUGUUGUGUUGGGGAGGGUGGUGUAGCCAAACUAUGAGAGAAAGAAAGCCAUGGGAUGGACAAGAACAUGUGUUAUCCGCCUAUUUUAGUUGUGGCCUUGGGAGCAUAGUCUCCUUAAUUUGCAUCUUGCUUGUUCUUCUAACUUGAGUCAUGGAUAUUUUGUGAAGAAUAAAUGAAACUAGAUAUUUAACUUGAUUAUAGUUGGUCCGAGCCUGAGAGGGUUAUAACAGUGAUGUUUCACAGCAAGGUGUCCUUUUAUAUUUCAAGAUACCAAUAUCCUUAAGCAACUAUCAGAUCUGAAUCAUCUGAUUGUGCAGUACCAAAAGAUGUAUCUUUUCACUUGGCUUGACAUGAGAAAUGAAAGCACAAGUGCCCCACGCAUUGAUGAGACCGUUUGUGUUCUGAUAUUUUAGUUACAUCCUCAUCUCAAUAUCUUCUGUCAUUUCCAGGAAUUGAAGUUUCCUUUGCAUAUGCCAUUAUCACUGUCUCAUGAUUGAGUAGGAAAUCAUUUUGCUUGCAGUUUGAUUUCUGAAUUUAAAAAAAAAAAUCCUUGCUUUGACACAGCUUUGCUCUUUGGAAAUGAUCAUUUGACUAGAGCAUAUGGACUCCAAAAUUUUCUUUACAUAACUAUUUCAACUUGUACACUCAUAUUGACAGCUGAUCAAUAGGAGACAAAAUUCAUAUCCAUUACAUAAGUUGAAAACUCCCAUUUGGCUUUGCUUGCAGCCCUUCUUAGUUUUCUUUAUGUAGAAUCUCACUUAUUGGUUUCUUAAAUAAUUUAUUCAGUAAACCAAGUAUAAAAUCUGAUUUAACAAAUAGGAAGGCAGUAUCAAUAUUGUAGCUUCAUGAACAGUGGCAUGCAGGUAUUCCAACAGCAAGUCUAUUUCAAGACUAAAAUUUCUUGUGAGCUUCAAUUAUUCUCCCCACCUCUCUCUCUCUCUCUCUCUCUUGCACCAGAUAGCUCCACCUCCAUCCGUUUCUUUCUUUGUCUUACUCUUCUGGUGAGAGGAGGUUGUUUUCCACGGUGCAGUUGUUGAGAGCAGCGAGCUUUGGCUUGUUUUUCUAGUUGGGAAAUUUUCAUUUUUAGCAAGAUUCUUUGAACCUUUCAUAUCCAUCAGUACACUAUAUAUGUGAAACGUCAUUGAUUCUCCCAACUAUUCCCAGGGACCAUUCUUUAUAAUUGAUCUUAUUACUGAUGGAAAUAUGGAGAAGGGAUUCCCCUUUUAGGGUUCGUUACAUAGCAUUAAGGGAACGGUCCCCUCAAUUAACAUUUCAACAACAAUGUCUUUCGUUGGAAGAACUAGACAUUAUUAAGGCUAACAAGAGCACAGGUGAUAGUGAUACAGUCAGCGUCUCAAUGAUUUCUAGCCAAAAUGUAAUCCACUGAGGUCUGAGAACUGGAGGCCCUAGUCACCUUUUACCCCAGCAGGCAGCAAUGACAGAUAUGAACUUGCCCACAUUCCCCUUCCCCACAUGCCUGGAAAGGAAUGGUUUUUUUUUUUCUUCCCUUUUUAAAGAAACACAACUAAAAUUGAAGUGACAAGGAAACCAAGGUAAUUAAAAAGGACUGACUCCAAGAACAGCAUUAUAACAUGACUCCCACCAUCAUUAUUUUUUACAAAACGUAGAAAUGCUUGUUCAGCCAAUGUACUUACGCAGCAUUAGCCAUGUCUUCCAAGGAUUACUGCAUUAAGUGUUGACAUUCUUUCUACUGCUCAUCGGAGUUGCAAUUCAAGAGUUUCGACUGUUUGGCCACUCCUAAUGAUUAUCAGUGAUUGACUGCCUGCUUUUUGAAAGAGCUGCUUCUGAUUCUUUGGUUAAAAAGAUAACAAAAAGAUGAUAAGUUAUGCUGAAUGCAUUUAUUUACACUGACCAUGAAUGCUUCCAGUGCAAAUCACACCACAAAAUCAAUGGGCUUGGAAGUAAUCAGAAUCGGUUUUAGGUUCUAUCAGUUGAGGUGUGAGCUUGAGGGCAUUAUCAUGCCAUGGCCUUUUUCUUUGUUUCAAAUGAUAGGAAUUUGUGUGAUAAAUCUUAGGAGACAGUCAUCUUGUACUUUGGUAGACAAUCAGCUAUAGAGUAAGGUUUCAUAAUUAUAAGUAGACAUGGUGAGCCGCUUUGAGUUCAUAUCUACCAACAGCUUGUGAUAGGAAAAAAAAAAACUCUAAAUCAUUUCAAUUUCAAUAACUGCAGAAGAACAAUAACAGCAAAAGACUGAUGGUGCUAAGAAUUAUUCAGUUUACCAAGUGGAAGUAACUUCAUUUGUUUUAAACUCGGAAGAGAGGGGAAAAAAAAGCUUUAUAAUGAGCCCAAAAUUUACUCUGUAUGUACAAUCUACAAGCAUAGCGGGACACAAGAAGAGUGGGAGAAACUUGAAACCAAAUUGGCUGAAGCCAAAAUAGUGAAAUUUGAUAUAUACAUCAUGAUUUAUGACAUUCAGAUUCCAAUAUAUCCUACAUUAGUGGAGGUGCUUUGAAUUUUAGCAUGGUUCAAAGACAUUAUUGUUGAGCCUCAGAAUUGAUGCUUUCAGCAAUGUUUUGGGCUACCUUCUGUCAUCCUUGUAGUUUUCAUGCAAGCUAAAAUACAUACGAUUCUCGGGGGCAUGGUGAAAAUGCAACAAACUGUGAACUGUGUAUUUCCUUAAUUAAGAACCAUCCUUUGUUCACUGGAAAGCUUAUUCUCUUCAUAAAUUCACUCUGAAAAGGUGCAAUUACUGAAAAUUUCAAGGGCACACCUCUAACUGUAAACAACUUGCUUCCACUCAAAAUAGCUCUCAAUUUUCAAAGUUUGUAAAUGAAAUCCUGACAAUUAGAUAAACCUAUAUAUAAGCGUCCAUGCAUCCGUUGUCAUUUUUUAAAAGACAAUUGUCUCCAAAACUUUCUUUCUUCCUCAAAUGGAUCAUUAACACUAGAUGUCACAGUUUAGGAACAAUAAAUCCCAGAGCUUCUUGUCUGCCUUUAAAAAAAAAAAAAAAAGCAACAAGAAGAAGUACAAGUAGAAUAGAAUUGGAAGCUUCAGUUGCAAAAAGGGUGGAAUUUAAAGUCCCAAGUUUCGCAAGUCACUAAAACAAGAGCAAAUUGACAUGGUCAUCUGGAUAUUUUGCUAUUUAGGACAGCCAACUCCCUUUUUGUGGUCUUUUCUUGUUUCGACUUCCAAUACGUGUUUACUGUUAACAGUGCAAUGCAAUUUGAUUUUUGUUUUUUCAAAAUGGCAAAAAGCUGACCAUUUUAGGACGCCUGUUGGAGCUUGGAAACUUUGACAUUGAUUUUCCCUCCGACAAAAUCCCUGUCCUCUCGGCGGAUUAUGCGCACAAAUAUUUUAGAAAUUCUUAGUUUGUGCUGUCAACAAAAUCAUGGUUAGAUUUAGUCUGUAUAUAUUGGUCAACCUGCUUGAACACUAUUUGAACUUGCCACCAGAUGUAAAUGGCAUCAUUUUUUCUUUCUUUUUCAAGGGAGACUUCAUGUCCAAUUUGGACCAUAUUAGCUCAUGAUAUUAUUACUAUGGGUAGAUCCCAUCGUCCGUACUAGGAAAUGGCAUCAUUGCCAACUUUUUAGGUGUUUCAGACCAGUAGAAUUGUUCAGGGAUCAUGUACUUUAAGCAUCCACUUUGAUAUGCAACCUCAGUACUUUUAGCCAAUGCUCAACUUUAGCAUUAGACAGAAAGCCAUUCAACAGCAAGCGGAACCUGUAAAUAUAAUCUAAAGCACAUCGUUGAAGCCAUGAAGGAAGGUACAGCUACUUUUUACAUCAUUCAUCUGAUUUCUGAACCAUGCAACAUAGCAUGACUAGCCGUCCAUUUACAAAGAGGCUCUACGUUGCAUGUAAACUACCUUACCCCUGAUUUAUAAGCUACCUCUGCUACUCGCUAACUAUCCUCUGAUUAGCAAUAAAACAUUACCCUUUUAACAUUUUCUUUUAGCGCUGGCAAUGGUCGUACACCAGACUCUCCAGCUGCUCUGGAACUUUUUCUUCCAGCAGCAGCACAUCCGUUCUCCUGCAAAUCUGGUUCCAUGUAGAAUCUGGCUCGGAAUGCAGCUAAAUGUGCAUAAUAAGCAGGAGGAACUGCACAAAACCGGAAAUUCUCAAUGAUGUUAAGAAGAUCAAGUACAACACAAAUGAAAAUAUUCAAAGGACUGAGGGAGCAUUAAAAUGUUUCAUCAAGUAGAACAUAAAGACACAGGUGAGCACAAAAUGAUGAUCUAGGUCAAAGAAGAGGGUGGUUCUGUGCCUCUGGCCGCCCUGAUUGCAGCUGAGAAUAUCUUUGAAGCAUACGAUAUGCGAAAGUUUUAAUUAACUUUGUGUGAAAAAAAAACUUCCAGAAUCACCAAGAUAUUUUGAAGGUGGAUGUUGGAAAGACGGGGAGGAAGAGUGGGAGAGGAAAGUAUGGAGUUCCUCAAUCAAGCCCUGCUAGCAGGCACCAAGUGUUGUAAGGCGACACACGAGGUAAUAUCAUGCUAUUUCCAACCAAAAUUAUCUUAACUUAGCAUAGGCCACAAGAAGUUAAAACAAUUCAGCACAUGCUCUUCCAAAUUCGUAGUCUUUAUCUUUUUGGCCAACUUCCACCUUUCUAUAAUCUGUUACAAUCAUUCUUUUAACUUUUUAUCCUUUUUUCUGGGGGAAGGAGGGCAUUUCCACUCACCAACAGAAACAGAACGGGUGCACCUUGCAUAUGUAUAGCAGAGAUUGUUUGUCAAUGACUGAAUGCCAUCCGCAGUAAAAUUGUUCUCAUCCCAUAAAACAUGGUAAUGUGCUGGUCGACUUGUACCCUGUCAUGGCAGAGAAUUAUAUGUUACCAUCUCAUCCUGGAGGUAAAACCAAUGUAUAUAUAGAGACAUGUUAAAAAAUAAAAUAUAUUUGUAUGUCAUAUCACAAUAAGCGAAUCAAUUAUCAUCUCAUCCUAAAUGCAUUAUAGAAGUGAAAAUAAUGUACAUGUACUAGCGAUCCCAAUUUAAGUCUAUCUUCACAAUGAGAUUGGCCAAAAAACCCGAUCCACUCAUCUUUCCAAACUGACUUCUAAGGUUCCAUAUUGGAUAGAAAAUAAUUUUCAAAUACUAUUCAGAUUAAGCCUUUGCCUGACAAAAAACUACAUAUGAGUGUUAUUUCUUUUCAACUAGAAGUGUCAUGAGCUCUUGGUUCCAUAAGAUCAUUCAUACAUACUAAUGCAAGAUGUGCAACUAAAUGGACAAGACGCGAACUCCUUGCUCUAUAAACAAAUCAUCUCUGGUCAUAGCACAAGUUGGCAGGCAUCAAGAUCCUCAGUUAUACAAGCUAAGGGCCUUAAGAUUAAUGAUGUUGUAGCAACAUAAGCCAAAAGCCAAUCUUUUACCUGAAUGCCAGCAUGGCUGCAAAGGUAAAAAUCAAAUUCUGUUGGGUGACAGAUUUUAGUGUCAACCACAGUGCCUAAGAAACAAGAGAUAUAUUGACAUCAGAUAAAUUCCAAAAAGAAAUAGAAGCAUUUCCCUAAAGAAAGAACUGUGCUUUGUAAACUGUAAUAGUUUACCAGGUAAUAUAUUUCCACUCUUGUCCAUGCUACUGCGAUCCCUAUGAUUAUUAGCAAAUAGCCGGGUGUGAUGUCUCUUUUGUACCACAAUAAAAGUUACUGGCGGCUGAUAAUUUGGUUCUAAAGAAGCACAAGCCUAGAGCAAAAAAGUCCAUUGAUGAGAACUGGAAAACAAGUGAUGAGAGCUACAAACCAAGUUGAAGGUGUUUGUAGAAAUGAACUUAAAGACAAUAAAUUUUACCAGUAAAAGAAAACUACACACUCCAGGGACACGUACCUUCCGGAUUGCAUCUAAUUCAAAAAGCAGGACUUGAUAAAAUUGCCCUUCACUCACACCAUCCCUGCUUCAAUGAACAUCACUAUCAGACAUCAACUAUAGUUGUAAGGACAUUUAAGUGUUUUUUAACAAAUCUUCAAAGUUUCAAACCACUUUCCUCCACCGAAAAACCCACAGAAAACAAAAAGAAGCAUAUUUGUAAAUAAGGCCAAAAGCAGAGACUUUUAUUUGGCAACGUAAAGACAAUCAUCCUGCAAAGACAUAUUAGCUCAUUCUGCACAGUCGCAAGUAAACUCUUGGUUGGUAGGAAGUGACAUCAACUUUCUUAAAGCUUAAUUUUCAACCACAUCCUUGUGGCACUUACUCAAGUCUAGCAUUACAGCCAGACAAUACAAGACAGUUACUGACCUAUAAAAUAUGAUCCUUUGUGGCUUUUGACCAGUUGCCUUUCUGAAGGAAACCAAAAGAUCUCUGAAACAAGAAAACAGGAGAUGGUAAAGAACCAACUCUCUUGCAUUUCAAAGGAAAUCCCAGAACAAAAUUCCAAAAAGAAGGAAUAUUGCAAGCAGAAACACAGACAAACAAAAAGCAGCAAAUGCGAGGACUUCACAGACCGAAUCAUGCCACCACUGACGGUUCCACGGGCAGGAUCAUGCCAUGUCUUGUACAAAUCUUGUAUAAGCUCCUGUCUAUGAGCUUGAGCACAAACUAGUCCCGCGUACUUAGUGACUUCAGGCCAAUCCUGGGAAGCUACGACCUUCAAGCAGAAAUAGUCUAAGCAACCUAAUAUUUCAAGAUAAAUAAUGCAGAGAAGUGCAAUUACAGUAAGUGAAGCAUACUGCAGCUAUUGACGGACUGGAGUCUUCUCCAUUCUCUGGAUGGGUUACAUCUGCUCCAAAUAUGAUGGUUGGAAUGUCACUAACCAAUGGUAUCCUACAGCUUAUAGCAUCCAAAAGUACGGUGUUUCUUCCACCCAUCUGCUUGCAUAAAUUGAGAGAUCUAGAAGUAAGGAGUACAUUGAAUAGGCCAAGCAAUCCUUCUGAGUGGAAAAGUAACUAACAAGGUUAAAGGUACUAAAACUUAUUGUAACAAGUAGUCAGAGAGGCAGCCAAAGGGGAUACUAUCGGCAAUGCAAAGCAAUCAAGGCUCAAUGAAGCCAUUCACCAGAAAUAAAGCUAUGAUCAAAAUAAUUUAAAAUAAAGUAUCAUUGCAUCAUUCCUACCUUAACAUUAAUUUUCAAGGACACAUUGGCCAAGUACUGCUUGCUGAUCUUGAAGACAUGCUUUGUCAGACAACAUUGUGAUAUCAAACCAAGUUCAGUUUCACAUAUUCUCUUCAGAUCGCCUAUAAAGUAGAAUCAAAUCGUAUUAGAUACAUUAGAUAAUGAUAGUAUUGAGCUCAUGCCAAUUUAAAAAAGUUUCUGUCUCUCAAACAUACCAUACAAUGAACCAUUGUUGUCUGGUAAAAUGGCUAACAGAAGCUCCAGUUCCUUUCCUCUUAGUCUGUUCAUACAAGCAUGAUAAACAUGCUUUAGAGCUUUCUCAACUUGAUCAGGCCUAGCACAGUAGAUUGGAAUUACAGGCUCUGAAUUGAAUUCCUGUAAUAGGAGAGCCAACUAUCAACAUUUUAACAAAGGGCAAAAAUUCAAUACCAUAUACUCUUUAGCACAGACUAAUCAAAGUAGAAAAGAACAAAACUCUACCAUGCCAGACACUUGACACAUUUGAGCCAAUUCAUUGCAGAACCCACGAGCAACGCUCUCUUGGACACUCCUCGAGAAGUUGAUGCACGCCCACCGGCUAACAGUCAUCCCAUUGAUCAUUUUCUAUCAGCAUGAGAACAAGUAUUCAGUUGCAACUCCCAAAGAAGUCACAUAGCAAAAAUGUGUUGCAACAAUUCAAUUGAAAAGAAGAGAGACCCCAUCAUGCAUACUAAGGGUCCUUUUAUGGUUGGCCAACAAAUAACUAGCAUGCAUUACAAAGUUGCGCCUUUUUUUUUUGCCACUUGGAUUUGCUAGCUAACAUGGCCCUUUAUGUCGGAAAGGAGUAUUUUAUAUGUCAGUUGAGAAACGAGGGAGGGGGGGAUGACUACUAUUGUUUCAUAUCUCAUGUAAGUUGUAACCAUCUUCAACUAUAAUUAUGGCCUUGUAUUCAAUAAGUAACUUGCAAAAUGAUAUAGAAGCUGGAGAAGAUAUUUACAAGAAUUAAGUUGCAACAGAAUUUUCUAAUAAAACAGAAAAUUAGUUCAAGCAUAAUCAAUACAAAAAAAAAAAGAAAGUCUUACCUUAUUCAUCAUGUUCCACUGUCCAACUUGAGGCAAACAAUCCUUCUCUUUUCCAUUCUCAUGAUAUUUCAGCUAAAAAUAAGUGAAUGAUGUCGUUAAGGACAACAUAAGAUAUUCUUCACAGAUAUGAAUCAGAACAAAAUGCAUUCGUACCCAAGGCGCUGGAAGUACCCUUGCCUCCACAGAAGCUAGAUUUUCGCUAAUUUUGAUCCCAAAUUCCUUGGCAUAUGGAUCUUGAUCAUAUGCAUUUUGCUGAACUGUCUGCAUAGGAGCAGAACAAAAGGAUACCACAUCAAUUCCUCAGGCUCAGUUAACCUCACUUAAGACUUUCUGAAGUUCAGAAAUCAUAGAGUAAGCACUAAAUUUUAGGCACUUAAUUGAGAAAAGGAAGAGAUGCUAUGGUAAGAAUCCUAAUAGAGAAUGUGUAAUGUAGAAAUGGUUAUUAUUCAAACAACAUAACCAGGGACUUCAGUAUCAAGUUAAAUUCCUACCCUGCUACAUUGUCAUAGAGAUAAUCCAGAGCUUGAUAACUCCAAGGUUGUUGCAGAAGGCAGAAGCUUUUAGCAUGCAUCAAGCCUUAGGAAGCUAGCAGAGAAUAAGGAUUUCAACAUUUUCUCCAGCUCAACUAUUCAACUAUAUGCACUCAAAAGGUAGUUUUUUUUUUUUGUUUAAUAGAUGGUGUGUAUGUUUUGGAUUGAUAAGACAUUCAACUGGUGAAAUUUCCUCCGGUACCAUGAGAUUUGAAGGUCAAACUGAGACUGGAACUAGUAAGGUGAUUAGGUGAAGUACCUGCAAAAUGUCAUUUUCACGCUCCCUGGGUCUUUGGCAUGUAAACUUCAGAAGAGCUGUAAUUUGCUUCUCACUCAGCCUUUUUGUAUAUCUUUGGCCCUCAACAAUUUUACAUGCCUGAAAGUUCAAUAAAAUUAGAGCACAUGCAAGAACUUGAAAGACAGUAAAAAGUUGAACCCAUCCACUGGAACACAAAAUGUUGACUAAUAAUCAUGUUACCUCCAUUGGUAGAUAGUUAGCCUUCUUUUGGUUCCCGACUUGAAGGCAAGGAAGAUGAGUAUACUGAAUUUUGAAGCCAUACAUUUCUUGGAAGUAUUCAACAACUGAUUUCAUCGUUGAAUUGUCAUCAACUGGAAAACUGCUUUAGAACUAUUUAUUAGUUUCUCUUGUUCAGCUUGCAAGUUCAAAUUGAGAGUGUUAACAUAAAGGACGAAUAAUAAUAAACACAUCACGGGAACUAGGGGUUAAACGAACUGAAACAGCAGACAAGAAUUUGUUUAAAAUGCCCAUGUUACCAGAGAGGAUGGGCUUGGACUAGUUAAGUUAGAUGCAACACAUUUCGUUUCAACAACUCUUUGUUCCAUCAACUUUCAAUUUGUUUAUAGGAUGAGGGACAGCUACUUAAAGAAAUGAACAUCAAUCUUUAGCGAAAGACAAAUAUCUUACACUAGUUCUCGAGUUGGUUGGGUUGUUAACCCAGAAACCCGAUACUUUCUUCGCACACUUCCCCUAUGCGUUACUUCAACUUUCACUCCUCUGAGAGCCUUUUUUAUCUGGAUCACAUGCGAAUUACAAAACCACUAUAGGCAUUUAGCAUAAAGUACUUCAAGCUUAUAUUUGCCAAAUUAAUAGAAAGUACCUUAACACGGUCAGAGUCAGGCAAAGGGCGUGAUAUUGCAACUUUUCCCAGAAGUUGGGCAACAAAUUCUAUCACCGGAAGAGCCUCAAUAAAUGCAGCUGAAGCCAUAUCUUCAUGAAAUAAACAACAUAAAGUUGUGUAACCAUAAAAGUAGAGCCAUUGUGAUUUAAAUUUCUAAAUCACCAGGUAAAUUACCAAUAUUGAGAGACAAGCCCAUUUGAGUUGGUCUUAUACUCUGGUAGAACCCACACCAUGCUUCUAAGCCAUCUCCAAGACGUUGAGGCCUCCUGAUAACAGGAGAAAAGAAUGAUCUCCCCACUGGGCAGUACCUAUUAAAGUGUGCAGUAUAAAAUUUAAAAAAAAAGGGAAAAAUAUGAAGGACAAAUGCAUUAGUUUUCAAGUAGUCAUAUUAAGAUACAGUAAUAUAUCCAAGGAAGUAUAUACCACGUAUAUCAUUGUGAUACCUUUUUACAGAAAGCUCUCUCAACACAAUGUCAAGUAUUUGAAGAGCUUCCUGCGGACCAUCUGCCCGUUUCCCAGCAAGAAAUUGGCCUAAAUGAUGCAAAUUUGCCCGUGCAACAAACUUGAGUACAACUUUGUACUCCCUCUCUCUCCUGAAAUGAAUUCAGAUGUUCAACUAAUUACCACAACAAAUUUUGCUAAUUAAAAUUUGAAAGGUUCUGAUUGUAAAGGUUAUAAAGACCAAUCCUGUUGUAUUUUUAUUCUUAUGCUGAAUAUUCCUUUGAGAAUUUUUCAUCCUUAGCUGGAAAAUGAAGUCUUUAAAAUUUUAAAAUUGAGGUUUGUACUUUGUAGAGAGCAAUAAAACCAUACUUGGGGCCAUUGACUCCAUCCUCUUCAUCUAUUAACUUAAUUGUGAACUCUUUCCAAGCGAAAGGCAGUUCACCAGCAGUGUAUAGACUCUUUCUGCCAUCAAAUGCAGGCAAUCUCAUCCCUAAGUCAGAUUCUUUGUACAGUUUCACCAACUCUGCCAUGAUAGCUCUGUUCACGUUUUUAGACGCCACUUCAGGAGUUAUAGUAACCUGCAAAAAUGGGCAGGAAUAAUUGCAAAAGGCAAUGAAAUAUACAGAACAUUAAGUACAAUGCCCAUUACCAUUUUCAAGGGCCAUUAAUGCUACUUAAAAGCAGAGGACAAGGAAGAGAAAUGAGCCUACUCAAUUUUACCUGCAAAGUAACUGCAGAUACAAAAAGAAAAAAUAAAAACAUAAACAUACUGAAUGUCAGCCUAAGGGCCCCAGCAGUCGUGCCCCAAAUCAAUAAGUAUAAACAAUUAAUAACUCUGCAGCAUUACACUCAACAGUUAAGUUAAUGAAGAACAUGAAAGAAAAAAAAAACAAACACACAAACAACUUACAUCAUAUUGGUUCAAGUCCUUGUCCGGUAACUCUGCAAAGAAAUGGUUGGCCUUAACCAUACAUUUCGUUCCAAGUUGCCCAAACCCAGGUCUAGGUGCAAAACUCAAUGACUUGCUUGAAGAGGGAAAACCCAUGUCCACUUUACAUAGUUUAUUGUUCCCAUUCUUAGCACAACUACUUGUUGGAGUUGAUUCAACAGGACCAGCAGGUUCAGCGGAAACCGGCUUAUUUGCGGCAGUGCAAGGCCUUGAACUUGGCCGCAUCAAGGUGUCACCUUGAUCAGAUUUCCGGCCACCUCUUCCCCUUCUCCUUCCUCUAUUUCUUGAUGGAGGUGAGGACUGAUUGUAAGGCUUGGUGUUCUGAGUUUCUUGGGCGGGUGGCCCUUUACCGUUUUGAGCUGUUUUGGGAUUCUUCUGAACUGGAUUCAUUGAGCUCUGGCACUGGGGUUUGAUCACGAAAUGCUGUUCUGAGCUCUCUUUCAUUUGCCUAAUAGGCAUGAUGAUAGUAAUGAUGAUGACAGCUUGCUUGCAAAGACUUUUUGUGCAGAAUACGGAAACCUGCUUAAAACAAAAAUUCUCCCCUUGAUGGCACAAUGCAAGACAGUCACCCUUUCUCGCAAUCACUAUUCAAUCUUCCCUCAUUACUCCUCAAAAAUUUAAGGCCAACCCAACUGCAAUCCAGAAACAGAGAAGAGAAGCCAUGUCACUAAAAUAACCCGACAGGGAAAAUAACCAGUAAGAGAAAUUGCGGUUGCUUAAACCAAUUUUCACACGCAAUAGUCAAAUGUCAGGCAUUCAACUUCAAGUCUACAUAUAGUUCUACACACAUUACCAUUCUUUUGCAAAACUAAGUAGCCCCAAGUUCUCGCACGUUUGUUUCAUCAACAAACACUACCCGCAACUUAGAAGUUGAAGUGGCUAUUGGACAUUUGGACUCCUAGAGUGAAGUAAAUCAAGAAUAUAUUCAAUAAAGAGGUUAACGAAGUAAAAAUAAUCAUAUAUAACCACACAAAAAACUGUAUAUGAGUUUGGUAUUUCUAAAACCCUUAUUAUGAAUGAUAUCUACGAGUACAUGGAUAUAUUUCGUUAAUAUCAACUCUCAAUGACCCUGUUCAAAAAGAGCUUGGAAUAUCCAAAAGAAAAGGGGAAAAAAAGGAUUGUAACUAAACUAGGAUUUGGGCUGGGAAAAGACACACACGUGAAGACAGAACAAAAAGAACACAACCCAGAACCGAAAUCCUAUUAGAUGCUUCUGUUGGAAACCCAACAUCCAUGAAUCAGGAUGAGAAUAGGAGAAUAAGUUGAUAAAGAUAACAUCUAUGUGUUGAAAUAUGCAUACAAAUACCAAUAAAUAAAAGUAAUAGGGGAAAUGCCCAGGAGACAAAAACCAUUCCUUUACCUUGUCUAUUAACCAAGACCAAACCUUUGCAUCAGAAAACUACAAAAUAUGGAUGAGUAAAUCCAAAGAAAAAAGACACUAGUAUCUCAUAUAUACACAUAUAAACAAGCAUUAAUAAAUGUGGAAGGCAAAGUAUGACUGCUCAAGAAGAGAAUAAAAUUGCCUAGAAAGAAACAAAAGUCACAAGAGGUAAUAGUAGCAUGUGUGUAGCUAGAACAGAUAAAAGGAAUAAACAUUGAAAAACUCACUCCAACAAAAAUCACUAUCUGAAGAUAGAUGGCCCCUAUACCACUGCUUCAUAGAAAAUGACACUGAGAUUUUAAAGUUUACUGAGCUGAGGUUUGAAGCUUUAGAGAAAAAAUGGUGGGCUAACGAGGAAGGGAAGGGAAGAGAGCUAGAAAGUGGAGAUUUAAACUAAAAAGAUGGGAUUUUUGGUGGGGUGAUUCAACUUUCAAGAUUACAUCAGAGAGAGAAAAAUUGAAAUGUUGAAGAGAAAGAAAUUAAUAAGAGUGGUGAUGAUGAUGAUGAAGAUGAAUCUUUUCUAUCCACGCAUGCAAUUGCUUUUGGUGUUUUCUUUAUCACGUGUAAAAGGCUUUUCGAAGUCCUCUCCUCCCCUUUUGCUUUUCUCUAUAACUCUUGCUCUAUCUCCUCUUGCUCCCCUCCCAUCCUCUAAUGUAGACAGACACAAACGGGGACUCAUUUCUACCUGCUCCAAAAUGUGAUGGCUUGCCAAAUGAAAAAGAAAAUACACCACUCAAGCUAAAGGACAAUUGUGUUCGAGUGUGUGAGCUGCUACCUACAUGAAUGCAAAGAAAAACAGAAAAAGAAUAACUGAAACCUGCAGCCCUCACCAGUUCACAAAAUGGGAUCUUCUCUUCUCACUUCCACAGUUUUCAGUUUUGACAGAAACACAGCGCUCUUUCUUUUCUUUCUUCGCUCAUGCUUAUGCAUGCAUUUUGCUUGUCUUGGUUUUGUUUGGAUGCGAAGAGAGGAAGAGGACAAACUACAAAGGCAAGCAAGCCUUGUACAAUGGCAGCUCAAUUUUUUGCUACGGCUGAAUACUUUAGCUUUUAGCUUUGGCUUCUCAACAAGAAAGUCCCAUGAAUCCUAUCCUACGUAGUAGAGAUGUCCCAGAAUCUUUUAUUUAUGUACUCAAGCAAUCAAGCUUUGGUAAGCUGUAACGGUCAGUUCAAUCCCUCCAACUCUAAUGGCUAGUUUGUGAGUUGAGGAUAGAAAAGAAAAGAACAGAAAGCACAAGUUAUGAGAGAAAAGAAAGGAUAAGAAAAAAUUUUGUAAGCUUCCAUCAGUUUUCCUUCGCUUUCCGCCCGUUUUGGUCAGAAAAAAUUUUGCACUGUAGCAGCUUUUGGCUUCCCUUCAAGAUCCGUUCGUUUCUUUUCUUUUCCGUCCUACUUAAAUGUCCCAAACAUAGAAAAGUCCACCUUUCCCUUCCUUUCUUUUCUAUUCCUUUGAAAUCUGAACUCCCAAACUAGCUAUAAGAGUGAGAUGGCGUCCACUUUUCUUUAGGUUUUCGGUUUGGUCCACAACAUGUGUGGCCUUAUCUGCUUUUUGGAACUAUGGGAAUUAUUAGUUUCUUGGACCAGUUGGGACUGCAAUUAAUCACACAGAUUUAGGAUUAGUAAAGUUUUUAUCAAUGCGUCCUAACAACUAAUGUUGCCAUGUGUCGUAUUUAUGUCCUCUAUUCUCGUUGUCGUCCAGCCUAUAAACACUUCUUGGUAGUUCAACUUUUUAGACUCAAUGCAUGUUCGAUACAGAUGCUAAACACAGCGCGGUACGACCUCAGUACAAUGUUCUCUGUUCAGCAAAAGAUAGUAGAAUUUGUUUUGGAUCGUAGUUUUCCUAAAUUUUUAUAUUUUUCACAAGCAUAUUUCUUCGUUAUCUUUUUACCUUCGCAUAUAUCAAAUCGUUACAUUAUAUUUUUUUUAUAAAAACUUCUAAAUAUAGUAAUUUCAACGAGUUCUUAGUAAGACGAAACUUUAAUCUCUAAUCAUCGUUCAUCUCAAGUACUCUAAAAAUUAAACUGCAUUAUCUACCAAAUAAAAUUGUAUAUCCUAUUUGCUAACUCUUACUUUUUUUUUUCAGACAAAUUCUUGCUGUUUGGGGAGAAAACACAACAUAACACACUAUUCAGAAUGUUCAUGCAAAUUUUUUAAAACAACUCUUAAUUCUCAAGUAUCAUUAAUUUUCUUUGAUGUGAAUUUUUCAAGUAAAUUCAUUUUUGGUUAUUUGGUAGUGCUACAUCUCAUGCAGUAUGCAAUAGAGUACUGCAAAGGCCUCAUCAUGACAUUCUGUGGCUAACUAGCAUUACUCUGUGCGUGAUUCUUAAUGAAUCUCACUUAAAUGGUGGCUCCACCAGCUGAAGGGGUGCUUGAUAAAUAUGAUAUAAUAAUGAGGUGAGACAGCAUGGGUCUGAGAUCAGAGGUGUUGAAAAUUGGGAACCAUUUUGAUCUGUGAGAUUGCAAAGUACAUGAUUAUACCUCCAGGGAGCAAGGUCUUGGGGCCAUGAUUAGAAAAGGGCGGAAACAGAAUCAGAGUAGCGAUUGUCUAUGAUGGCAUCUUGGACUUGGAACUCAUGGGUCCUUAUAAUCACGCUACUCUUGAUAAGUGAGAAGCUUUCUUGUGUGUUUAUUUCAGUAUCGUGUUUCAUGAUCCCACUCUUUGUUAUGUUAGCAUAAUUAGUUAAAUAAAAGUCGUGAUUGUUCCUGCGAGUACAAGCCAUCAUUACCUGUUGACCAUGCGGUUCACAGAAUCUGUGCUCCAUUGAUGCCAUGAGGGGAGAUCAACUUCCUGCUGAUAUCAUCAUUAGGAGUCUGGGGGAGGACUGGAAAUCUCUUUUGUCACCUCAAUAAAUGACUACAUGUGAUUGGUUGUUAAGGCUAAUCCAGUGAAAUUGGAGAAAUACCAUGGGAUCCAUGACCAAAUAUGAAUAUUCCCUGACUUGAUCAAGGCAAAAGGAACAUCACAAACAUCAAACACACUACUAUCUUAUCACAAGACUUGUCUUCUAGAUAAUAAUGUGACAAGUUGGAUUCUCUUAUAGCUUAUGGCACAUUACAUUCAACAGGGCAAUUUAGGUAAAUUAAAUGGGAUUUUAAUUGAGAAAUUCAGUGAGCAAAUUAAUCAAAAUUGAGAAGUUUAGUUAAUUUUUCAAAGUUUAUUGAAAAAAUUGUAAACAUCACGUCAGUGCCACUUUUUCGAUGACAAUUCAAUGUCACUUCUACAUUUAUGUCAAGUAUUCUGUUUAUUUAAUUUGUCAUGUGUUGUUUAUUUAAAUUUCUUCUACCCUCACGCGAUAAGUGUGAUUGGUAUUGAACUUGACACCGAGUAAUGACACAAAGGAUCCCAACUGCGUAAACAUUUUGUGAAAAGUUUACACUAAUUUUGUUUCCAAAAGCAACACAAAGAUUGCUUUUCCAAGUCAACUUCUUAUUUUUUAAAAUAACUACUUUUAGCCUAUUAUAAAUUCGAAACAAGGCCUCAAUAUUUGUAGGAUUCUGAAGACAUAAGUGCUGAUUCAUUCAUAUAAUGACUCGAAUUAUGGUUUGUCUAAAUAAAAAUAUAAAUUUCCACAGCAAAGUAUUGACAAUAAGAUCUUAAAUGGGCCUUAAUUACUAGUAUGAACCCAAAUUUUGAUUCCUUUUUUUUCCUUCUAAUAAUCUAAAAUAACAAUGCACAAAGACAAGUUGACCUUUUUAAGCCUGUCAAAACACCUCUUUCAAAGACUCCUUAAAAGAAAUCUAUAUAUAUAUAUAUAUAUAUAUAUAUAUAUAUAUAUAUAUUUAAACAACUUUUAGAUAAUUAUUCUAUUACAUUUACAUCCAUCUGCGAGCAUUCACAAGAUACUACUACUACUUAAUCCUUGUGCCAGAGGUGCACCAUAAUAGACGGAUUAAACUGAUUAAAACUCAAAUGCAGGAGGAGGUAAAGUCCUUAUCUUGAUGACGACUUUGCAUGAAGCAAAGCAGCAUCACAGAGGAAAUAUUUAUAGAUGUGGGAAAUCUCGUGUAAUCGUAGAUUCAUGGAACAGGACCACAUCUAGUCAAGGCAGCUGAGGAGGAGGAGGAGGAGGAGAAGACUUAGGAAGCCAUCAACGAGUGGAAAACAAUGGCUCAGUGAGUAGAUCAAAAUCAUUAUGGAGAAGACCCUCUCAUGUCAUGUCCGGACUAAGCCACAUCAAACAAUAUUAAUAAAAGAAAGCGUACCUUUCUCUUGGAUUGGAGGACACUACGGACGGAGGGUCGGGGAGGGGCCUUCGGGGUACAAAACUUUAACAAAUAUCUAAUGUUUUACCUCAUCUUUCUUUAGUUAUGUUAAUGGGAUUUAUUUCUUUGGUUGAUGACACUCCAUUUUCUUUAUAUAUUUUUCCAGAAAUUUUCAAUCAGAUGAAAUAUCAUUUCUCUUUGUACAUCAAUUAUGCAUGGGACUGUGAGUCUUGUAAAAACUUUCUCGGACUAACUUUCUUUAAUUUUCAUGUCUAGAUUGUUUGUACGUUGUUAUAUAUAUGGGUAGAUUAUCCUAAAAUUAGGCUUUCAAAAUUUUUUUUUCAAAAUUUUCUUAUCUGUGCACCUCUAGGAUGCAUGAUAAAACUGUAAAGAUAAAAAAGAAUAGGACACUAUAAAAAAAUAUCAUAAUUUAUUCCUAUAUUAUGUACGGUUUAUUAGAAGAAAAUUUCUAUUUUACCAAUAAAGUGGCAUGGAGCUGAGUUUGACUUUAGCCAUUGAAGUCCCAAACUCUCAUGAAAAUGUUCCAGAGCAGCGUAUUAAAUGCAUAGUUUCAGCACUCUUACAGCGAAAGAGAGAAAGGGUGAAGAGCAGGCUGGUCAUGGAUGGAAAUGAAGAAAUGGUUAUGGGCUAUCUUAUCUUUGUUGUUACACAAACAAGCUUUGGAUUUUCCUUUGUACACGUUAGGAAAGACGGUAGCAGCACUAGUAGUAGAUUGCAGGCAGUAAAGUGGGGAACAACUGCCGGGAACAACUGGGAAGGAAGAUUAAAUAUAUGGCAUGAAGAUAUAUGGGCUAACUUUGUUCUGUUUUGGGAUUGAUAAUUUUUUAAUUCAUAGGUGUCAUCCAGUAGAAGGAGGACGGGAAAAUAGAGGUUCUGGAAUCUGGACAAAGAAAAGGUAUUUUGGUGAGAAUAUAGAAGAAGUGGUGCAUGGGGUUUGGGUAACCUUGCCAAAUUGUUUCAUAUUUUACUGCUUCCCAAGUAAAAAUGGUGCGUGUGGUGGGCCUCCAACAUCCACCACCAUUAGAGGACUAGGAACACAUCCACAUACUCAGUCACACACCAUCACAUUAUAUAGUACUCCCUCCGUCCUAUUUUGAUAGUCCUGUUUCUUUUUUUCACACAGUUUAAGAAAAAGUAGUUAACUUUGUUGGAAAAGUAAAUUUAGAUUGUUAUUUUCCUAAAAUACCCUCACAUUAAAUAUGAUACAACUUUAUGGAAACUUGAAUUGAUGGUAAAAAAAGAAUCAACUCUCAUUAAAUUGGGUAGGUUUAUAGUAACAACUACUUAUAUUGAAUAAGGGUAUUUUAGGAAAAUUAAAAUACAACUACAUUCUUCAAUUGGAAAGUGGACUACAAUUUGAGACAGAUGAAAAGGGAAUACAUGACUAUCAAAGUGGGACGGAGGAGUAAUAAAUAUACGUACAAAUUUGAUUUAAAAUUUGAUGUUUCAAUGAGUCUUCUAAUCAAGUUUUAUACAUACAUCACACUUUAUUCUUCUUCUUUUUAUAUGAGUUUUUUUUUCAUAUGAGAGGAUCAAAAGUGACGUUCUACCAAUUCUUUAGUGACUUAAAAACUCGAGACCUCUAAGUCACGCGUGAAAUAUCUUACAAUUAAACAAUUUAAAACAGUAUAGUGCAUCGGAGAAAAAAAUUAAUUAUCUAGCUAAAAAUUGUGAUCCCUUUUUCUUCUCUUUAUUUAUCAAGAAAAUGAUUUAGAGGCAUGGGUGAGUGAUUGAAAAAGAGGUGCAUGGCAUUGCAGAGAGGAAAUGCAUUAAGUAGUAGUAGUUUGCGCUGCUGGGGGUUGCUUGCUGCAAUAAUUCCACCGAUCUCAAACGUUAGGUUAGGUGCUUUUUUGUUGGGGAGAUGGUGAGUGCUUCAAUGAAUUGGAAGAGCAGAAAAGCAAUUAUGUUUGACCCUUCUUAUGGAAAUCUGUGAAGUGCGUUCGUGCUGGCUGCCUGGCUCAAUCUCAAAAUGAUCCAAUUGCUUGAAAAACAUAAUAUCAUUUUUUACCUUCAAAAAUUUUUUUGACUGAAAUAUUUUACAUAGAGAAGCAGUUUUGUAAAUGAUUUUUUUUUUAUUUUUUUUGGAGUGUGGACAAUUAGAAGAUGACUUCAUUAUUUUGCAUUAGCAGAAAGUUCUCGUUUGGAUUGUGUUUUUCUGCAAAAAAAAAAAAUUUACGUCUUCCGUGAAUACAUUUCUCAAUCAUUUUUUUACUUCACGUACAUCAAAUCGGUACAAUAUAUUUUUCUAUAAAAAAAAAGUUCUAAAAAUUGGAAUCCAAACAGAGUAUUAAUACUCUCUCAAUCUCCUUUUCUAAGAGCUAUCAUUUUGUAAACUUUCACAAAUUACUCCGAAUUUCUUUAGCAUGUCACCUUUUAUAUUGAAGUUGGUUCUUUCAAAAUCGCUUCAUGUCCAACUAAUAACCUUUAGCUAGCUACCUACCCCACCAAAAAAAAAAAAAAAAAAAAACCUUUUAGCUAGCCACAUAUUAGUACAAUUCAAUGAUACUUUCUGCUUGUACCUUAACAAUUAACUCAAAAAAAAAAAAAAUUUUUGGGGUUCUUGAAUAGUGCAUGCAUGAGAGGCGGCUAAAGCUGCUUAUCCACUACCUUAUUAUUCUUUUAUUUCAGACAGUGCAUUAUUGCUUUCUGCUGCAUAGGAGAACACCAUUAAUGUGGCACGGUCUUUAUAUAUAUAAUUGUUCUUGAUUAAGGGAAAAAGAGAUGUAAGGAUUUGUUCCUUCAACAGUAGUAGUAGUUUAAUUGUUCUUGAAAAGUUGAAUGAAAAAGACUACAGCUUUAAGUGGUGCUGUAGUGGCAAUGGGAUUCACACAAGAGUAUGGCAAAAGGAAUUAAAAAGAAAUGUAUGGAAUUCUCCCCAUCAAGAAACAUCAGAGAACUAUCAUAACAACGACACCUAACAUAUGCUUCCCAUUAAUGGACCUUCGAUGCUGCUGAAAUCUCUCUUGUUUAAUUCUUUUCUGACCUAAUCAUUUUGUGGCAUGCAUCAGUUUACAGUAAAUUAAGUAGCAGGCUAUGGCUAUAGCUAUAGCUUGCUUUUCGGCAUUUGAGAUCUAUAAUGCAUUUAAAUUGCUGUUUUUAUUUGGGCAUGCGCUUAAUUCUUAAAAAGCAUGUAAAACUAACGAUCUUCAAUUCUUAGGUUAGAGAUUAGGGAUAAACCUAUUCUUCUUUUUUAGUGCUAUUAUAUUUGGAAAACUUGAGGGCUUAGAAGAGGCUCCUUGAGUGUCACAUAAGCACAAACACACACAUGAAUAUUUAGAAUAUCUUAUAAACAAAUGUUUAUAGAACCAAUGAAAAUUCUCAUCCGUGCACUGUAAAAAUCAUUGCGAAUAUACAUGUGUUUGGACUGUAGAUAAUUUGGGAUAAAAAUUUUUUUUAAAAAAAAAUUACUGUAAUAUUUUUUUGUUGUGAUGUAUGUGAGAUAAUUCACAACAUGAUUUUCACCCCGCUGAUAAAGAGAGCAUGUUGGUAUUUGCUCAUACUAAUUUUAGAACAGCUUGAGUAAGAGAAGUAGAAGAUCCUGAAUUUUUACUAAUUUUAAAAUAUGUAUACAUUUUAAUAAUGCAAUGUGAGGGGAGUAGUUGCUAGUUAGUAUAACAAGCAGCCAAAGAACAAACAGUAAUAAGCUUUCCCUAUUCUGGUACAGAAAAGAGAAAAUCUUUGGCCUAUGAUUCUGUGGGUCUUCCUUAAAUGGUAAUAUAUCUUCUUCCCAGCACCAGCAGAGCUGCCACACAAAUAAGUGUCAAAUCGCGGGCAGGAAAAACCCAACUUUCAUAGGCAAAGAGAAGGGUCAAUCUAUGCUGAUCCACAAUUUCAUCGGCCGUUCCUAUCACGGCUGUGUUAUAUUCUCCGUACCAAUUACCAAACCCCUCACAUAUACUGCCGCUUUUGAAAAAAAUUAAAUAAAUUACCAAACCCCUCCCUUUCUUUCUUCUAGUUUGGCAAUAAUAAUAUACUUCUUCUAGCUCUAGGUCGUGAGAAACAAACAAGUGUCAAUUCAUGUGUAUCUGUGCCAAUUAUGCAAAUUUAUGGUGCACGUCAAGAUUCAAAAUUAUGGCAUGUACAAGCUUUCUCAAUAUUGUAUCACGAGCCAUGAGCCACCGGUCCUUUUGCCUGGUAAUCAUUGUCAAGCACUUAAAUUUUGGCGGUGUUGGGUUGAACCAUUGACCUCUUAUCAAAUUGUCAUUAUAUGUGGUUGUUUUCAAUGACUUUCUCCCAUAGAGUUUUUACUCUCAUCGAUUUCCCUUCUCCUUAGAUUAAGAUAGAUUAGAUUAUAGAAAUAUUACCGUUGCGACAAAAAAAAAAGUAUCACAAGCCAUGUAAAACAACUAACUUUUGAUUUGGUUAAUUGAUACAUUGUCAUGUUACAUGAGAUCGUUUCAUAUUCCAAUACAUUUAGAAGGGUUUGGACCGAAGAUUAUUUGAAAUUCGCUGUAACAGUUUUUGUAAUUUGAUAUAUGCGAGACGAAAAAGUAAUUAAAAAGAUAAAAUAGUUGAUUGAAAAAAUGUGUUUACGAUACAAGUAUAUUUAUAAAUAAAAGCUAUGCACACACGUUCUAGUUUUCAAUUAGUGCCAAAAAGAAAGAGAGAGAGAGGGAGAAAAUAAAGAAAAAAGAGAAUUGCAAACCUACAUGUCUUGCAACCAAAUGGCAACUUUUAACUUGUGCACCUACCCGAUUGUCUACUUUUACAAAAGUUUAUAUAGAUUACUAGCACAAGAAAAAUGUGCAACUUGUAUACAUUGCAAAUAACUGGAUGGAUCAUUGCCUUCAUUGCAUCUUUAUUGUCUAUCUCAAAGAUCCCUCCUAAAGCCACUCCAUGACUGUUGAAUGUUAGCUUAGCGUUUCAAAAACAUCAUGAGUGGCCUUGUGUUAAUUUUGAGUUGACAGAAGAAUGCCAAACUCAAGUGAUAAUUAAAUUGCACAAUAUCGCAAAGAACAAAUCACCUUUAGUUUCAUAAUUACAAAAAAAAAUCAAGUUUCCCAAACAAUUUGGACAAACACCGAACUCAAGGUCAUCCCAACUCUAAUUUAUUAUCUAGACAAGAACGAAUCAAAAGAGCCAAAAAAAAGAAAAAAGAAAGAAAAUGGAAGAAGAAGAAGAACAGCUGUCUAUUAUUGAAUGAGUACAUCAGGGAUUUGUCGAUCCUAUCCGACGCUGCAAAAUUUACACAUAAUAAUAACAAUAAUGCUCUUCCUAUCCGACCCUGAUAACUGUUGUCAUUGAUAUUUGAUAUUCUCCUCUGCUCGGUCUUCUGGUCUUUUGACAAAUCCUUUUCCUACUCUCUGAGGCAUUACAAAAGUGUCAGCAUCCAAAGACACUGAUAAACUCAUCUCAUCCACUCUCCCGUCCGAAAGCCAACAAGCCAUUUGCUCCGAGAAAAGAAAAAAAAACCCUCAGUACUUUCCCAACGUCCUUUAAUCACCAACCCUACCCUUUUUCGUGAAAAGCACUAGGGUCCCGUUAAGUCCCUCAAGAAUUAUUUUGGCAAAUCGUAAACAAUUGAAUCUUAAUUACCUUUGUCUUUUUUUGAUAAUAAGAAUCUUAAUUACCUUGAGAUGUUGUAGCUCACAAACAUGAGUGCCCUAUUGGGAUUUAGGGAUCCCGAAAAUAUUUUACCGCUAAUAUUAACGCCUGUUUGAGUUGCAUUUUUUUAGGAGUUUUUUUCUCCCAAAAAAAAAAAAGACUAACAUUAUUGUAUGACUUUUUUAAGAUAUCAUGUAUCAUGUAAGUUAAAAUAGUAAUUCAAUUUGUUUUUCAAAAAAAUAGUGAUACAUACAAGGCCUAGAUUUUCUGGAUUCCUUUGCUUUUCAUGCACAAGAAGUUUUGUUUGUAAACAUACUACCUUUUUCUGUAUUGGUGCAGCAAUGUCGUCACAUAGAUCCAUAGUACCUUUUUCUUUAUUGGUGCAGCAACGUAGUCAUGGAAACUACUUCCCUUUUUUUUCUUUUUGGCUAUUCAUUCAUUUCUCGCAAAUCUUUUGUCACGAAUUCUUAAGUAAAUGGAUUGUACCAUUUCGAGUGCCUAUGCGAUAUCUUCAUUUAUCUAGUACGGCUAGCCAUAGGUCCCAAGCGGGGGUAGUUCGCUGGUUGGUUCUUUGAUCUUUAUCUGGAGAUCACCAUUUCGAUUCCCGCUUGUCUACCAUGUGAUGCAUCUUUGGGGGGAGUUCUGCACCGUCGCAGAGAAAUUAGUCUGAAACAAGUCAGGAUUCUAGAUAUAGGACUAUUUUUCACCAAUUUUGCGACCUAGAAUUAAGUGAAUUUUAAAUAUUCCAUGCAUUGAAAAUUUUCAUCUAACAGAAAACUUAUGUGGCAUUUAAGUUUUUGACUAAAUGAUUGGUUAAAAUUUACUCUUUUUUCUUUUAACCAGAUUGGACCUCAAGGAUUUUCUCUUAUGCAGUCUGCCCGCACGAUGAGAAAUUCAAUGUUGGUGAGUUGGUCAUCGAGGCAAGCAUGCUUCGACAAACCGCCACCCUUCCUGAUUCAACUACUAUAUGCACACAAUUAUUAGGACAUUUUUUUAAAUAUAUAUACAGGUACAUGAAUGAGUGAUGCAUGAUUUCAAAAGUACUUUUUUUUUUGAUAACGAUGUAUCAGAAAUUCGAGCUUUAGAACUUUUUUGUCGUGAAAAAUGCUCUUGCUUGGUCCCAAUUCAUUCAUCCCGUCCCAGCUAGUAGUGAAAUUUAUAGUAACAUCAUUCUCGUCAAAAGUGCUUCUCUCUCAUUAAGCUUGAAAGAGCUUUACUUUCACUUUUUACGUUUUUAUUGGAGAUGACAAAAGGGUGUUUUGUUGGGACCGUGAAUAGCUGGAUGCACAGGACCAAUGUUGUAAUCCCUUUUCUUUUUUGACUGGUAAACUUUUGCGAGCCCGACAAGACAUCAUCUUUUCUUAGAACUAGCUAGUUUCUUUAGUCUUCAUUAUCAAGCUACUUUAUGGAUUAAAGAGAUAGGAUGGUAGUAUCAAUUUAGCCCGCCUCCGGCUACGGAGUUAUUUCUAGAAUCUGGGGUUUAACAUGUAGUUUAACACAUCCACAUGAUUGCUCCCCCACGCAAUUAUGCAAAGAGCAAGUUAAUCAAAAUUCAAGCCUGCAUAACAACUCACCUAUAAGCACUUGCAGGAUUCCUUAGGUAAAAGCAGAUAGAGGAUUCUAAUCCCAUAAACUACUGGUUUUUUUUUUUUUUUUGAAGAAUUACUCUAGUUUGGUUUGUGAUCUAGAUUAGGCCACGAGACAUAUUAUUGGAAUAUGAGUUGUAGAAGUGGCAAAAUGGAUAUAUGGUUGAUAAAUGGUUUUAGUUAAAUGGAUGGUGGAUCAAAUUGAUCCAAUCCAAUUAAAACCAUUUAAUAAAUGGAUCUAAAUGGAUAGUGUAAACCAUGAUCCAUCCAUUUAUCCAUUUACUCUCCCAAAUCCUAAAUUUAAGAUCCAAAUGUUUUUUUCCAAAAAAUACAUAUCCCCAAAGUUCUAUUCUUAAAUCACUUAAAACCUUUUGGUAAUAACAAAUGCUUGUACUACUACUCUAUUUCAGUUCUUCAUAAAAUUAGUUUAGUUCCAAGAAAAUUUAAUUGCUGUGAUCAAUUUAACCUUUCAUCAUUACUUUAAGUAUCAUUUUGUAAAGUAAUGAACAAUUAAGAACUUAGCUACAUUUUUAUAACUUUUGGGUGAAUUGAAUACGGUUUUACAAUGAAAAGAAGUUUACGUUUCCAAUAUUUUGCACUCCUGUUCAAGAGGGAUGCCUUGAAUAAAAGUGGAGUUCUAAUAAGAAAUCUUAUGUUAUUUGACAAGUAAGAUAUUUUCAUCACAUGUGUACAUAGUACCUAAAAAUGUAUGAAACUCCUUAUUAUACCAUUGAUAUAUAAGUUACCUUAUAUUACUUAGUAAAUUAGAUGUCUUGUUUUUUUUUUUUGAUAGUUAGGUUGGGUGAUAAGGGGAGAGGGAUUGUAAGUAUGAGGGUUUGGAUUCAAAACCUUCCACUUAUUAAAAAAAAGAAGAAGAAGGUGCAUUUACGUAUCUUAACCAAUGUUGCGGGGACACUCGUUAGAAAAAUUCUUUUUAUAAAUAAAAGAAUUAAAAAAAUAAAAAAUUAUUUUGACACUGCAUGAUGCAUUCUCGCUUUUUCUUUACUUAAGAAUGUAAAUGUUUGCAAUCAUUACUACAUAAGAGUUUAAUUAAAAAAAAAAUAAGAGUAGAGACUAAAAUAUAAUUUUGAAAAGGAUGGAAGAAGUCUAAGAACUAGAAGCAAAUAAAAUGCAAUUAAUGUUAUUGGCAACUUGGCAUAUGAGGAAGUUAUGAAGGAAAGAAUAGGUGGUCCCACAAAAUUAAUUUGACAUAUAAGGAAGUUAUGAAGAAAAUAAUAAAUGGUCCCACAAGAUUCUAUCCCACUUUUUUAUAAAUAUUUGCAAUCACUAUGUGUGUUUUAUAUUUUUUAAGUUAAAUAGAUGUAUAUGGAUGACAUGGAUAAUCCAUUUAAAUCCACCAACAUAAUUGGAUUUAAAUGGUUAUCCAUUUAAAAUCAUUGAAUUUAUAUGGAUCAUCCAAAUCCAUUUAAGGUUGGUUUAUAUGGAUGGAUUAGUGGAUAUGAAUCCAUUUUGCCACUUCUAAUGAGUUGUUUAGCACAUUAAGAAUGUUGUAAGACUCUAAUGCUUCAACAAUUAUACUCUGUUUGGCUAGAAUUGAAUGAUCACGCGAUGUCACUAGAACAGUUCAUUUGUCACUGAAGAUUACUCAUAAUUCAAUUGUAUAAGUGAUUAACAUAUUCAUAUAAUGAACUAAUUAUGUUCAAUAUGUCAUUCAAGUAAUAUAAUUGAAGCUAAUGUAAAAUAAAAUAAUUAAGUUGAAGAUUAGCCUAAGAAUAUAUUUUUAAAAUUUUUCUUUCUAGUAAGGGGUACGUAAGGCGUAAGAAGUGGAGAUGGGAGAAGAAGAUUUGAAUCCGAGAUCCAUAAGUAUUGGAGUUUUAACUUUAGUCACUAUAUCAACUAGAGUUGCAAACGAGUCGAAUCGAAUUUUGACCUAAUCAAGCCAAAAUCGACUCAAUUUUACCAAAAUUGAACUUAACGAAUUUUCAAUGUAAAACUUGAUUUCGAACUCAACCUCAAAUUUGAGUCUAAUUGAUCUCGAGUUCAAGCCUACUUGAGUUUUAAAAAAAUAAUUAUUUUAUUUUUUAAAAAAAUGAAUAAAAUAUUCAUUUUUCUUUAAUAAAUAAUAAAAAUAUUAUGGAUAUAUAUAUAUAUGUGUGUGUGUAAUUUUACUAUUAAAAUUAUAUAUAUAUAUAUGUUAUUUGAACCGACUGGCAAGUUAACGAAUUGAGUUUCUCUAUACUGGACUUGAACUCGAUGUUGACUAAGUUCGCGUCGAACUUUGAUCGAGUAAGCUUGCAAGCGACUUCAUUUAUUUGCAACCCUAAUACCAAUGCCUCUAAACAUAUUGAAAAAUAUAUAUAUAUAUAUAUGUUUUUAUCUUCAUUAGUAUGUUUCGUAAUAAACUUCUUUGCUUAUGCUCAUGAAGAAUACUUGAUACUAAAAUACCUGUAAUACAACCAAAGAGUAGCGUAAAUAAAUUUUCUUCAGCACUUGCCUAUAUUUACAUGCUAUCAACAGAUCAUAAUGAUGUGAAUAGACAAUACCAUGAUGGAUAGGUUCUUCAUCAAAUAUCUAGUUUCACUAAUCAAAAAGCAUCACUAAGUGGGAUCGACACUCGAAAACCACAGAUGCAUAGAAGUAAUUUAUAGUUUAUACAUAUUUGAUGGUUAAACAUAUCUUUGGUGCCUUUAUCCUAAUAAUACUUCAUUUAUGUGGAUGCAAAGCAAAGAGAGGCAUUGCUCACUUUCCAGCGAGUGAAAGGUUCCCGUGCACCUGUUUAAAUACGUAUGGAUGAUACACAAUUCGACUUUCAAUACCACAUACGUUAAUCAUAAAAAAUACCAAUGUACACACCUGGCUAUCAAAGAACUACCAGUAAUUUGUAGCAUAUCUACAUGCAAAUUGUCUCUCACAAACUCGCACCUCAGUUGAAUCUAUAAUGGUAACUUACCAUUUUAGAUUCAAUUAAGAGCGUUGUUGAAAUGAAAAAGGAAAUGAAUGAAUAAGAAAAAUAAAUGUGAUGAAAUUUGUCAAUCAUUUUUAGGAAUAUCGUCAAUAAGUAGAAGUGUAGAACCCUGCAUGCAGGGGCUAGAAUGCCAGAUCUUGAUGUAUCAUUAUGAUUAUUUUGACGUGGGGAGAUGGAUGGGACUCGACGCUUUAAUUUGAUUCGAUCAACAAACAGUUGUGGCUAGGUUCCAAUUCGAAAAGCUAAGAGGCACAAAACUAUGGAAGUUGAUGGGAGUAUCAUUAGAACGAAGAAAGCUAAAAUCAUGAAGUCAUCAUGAUUUCCCUUGAUCAUUCUGCUUGUCACUGGCCAUGUUAAAGCUAUUCCAAAAGCUUUCGAUUAGACAAUCUCUACCGAAGUCGGAAAGUUGAUUAAACCUAAGCUUUAAUUGUGGAGCUUGACAACUUUUCAUUAUCAGACGAGGAAAUAACUCAUUAUCUUUCGAUUUCAAUCUUUGGAGGAGGUGGAGCCGACUGCGUACCAUGAACAUAUGGUUCUAGGCAAUCAUCAUUAUCACUCGGAAAAGGCAUAGCUUCCAGUCGUAAUCUUUUGCUCUCCAAGCUAAAAUGAUUAUGCUUUCUUUGUGUAUUGUGGCAAAAUAAUAAUUGUACUACGUACCAUUUCUCUUAAUUUCUUGUGUUACUACUAACAUCGUAGGAAAAGACAAAAAUUAGAGCGCAGCUUUAGCAACAAUAAGAGUAAAAUUCAGAGGAAUAGAAUUGCAUCUAAAAGUUGGUUCAACCUAUGAUCAUUCGAGAGGGAUGAGUUGGGUGAUUUAGGAGGAAGGAGUGACUCUCCCACUUAUACUUCAAAAAAAAAAUAAUUUGUGAUCGUAUGAUGCAAGUUUUAUUUAUUUUAUUAUUUUUUGGUUAAUUUCUUGCCACUGUAUUGGAGAAGAGAGAGAAUAUCUUUGGUGGACCGUAGGGCUUAGGUACGGGCAACGUACGGAAUUUCUUUAGCUUACAUAUUCUUUCCCUAAUUAAUUAACUUUUAUUGAACAUCAUUUCACCUUGCUAUAGCACUAUAAACCUCAUGAAAAAAAAAGCAGGACAAAAAUAAGUCAAAAAAAAAUAUAAGAAUGGUUUUUUUUUUUUGGUUCUAAGAGAAACUCCAAACCUUAUAAAGGAGAAAGAAGAGCGCACAAAUUUUAAGAGUUGAACCACUAACAUUGCAAUUUUAAGAAUUUUUUGGUUUACUCUUUUUUUUUUUAAAUAAACAGGAGGUUUUAAAUUCAGAAUCUCUCGUUUACAAUUUCUCCCCUUUUUAUCACUCAAUCCAACAUUCCUCCAUUUCUCUUUUGAUUUUGUUCUCUAACCCGGAAUUUUUUUUUUGGGUUUUUUUUGGGGGCUGGAGGGUAUGUUCCUAAAUAGUACAGAAAAUAGAUGCGGCCCAUGUGGCCUAAAAGAACAUCUUCCAUAGUUUAGCUAAUAGUUAUGGCCCAAAAGCCCAAACAGGUCUUCACCAUGGUUGAAAAACACGCCUAGCCCAAAUAUUGAGAAAAUGGGAUGAUCCAACCAGAACACGGGCCAACCUCUCCAUAUAAUGACUUUUAGGUUGCCCACUAAUGGUCCAUGGUCCAAAGUUUUAACCAACAAUUACGGUGCAAUUGCUGCAAUAUUUCCCAAAAUUUUUGUCAUAAAUCCAGGAAUUAGUAAAAAUCAAAUUAUAGAAAAAAUCACUUCUUGAUGAAGUGUAAUGCAGAAAUGCUAAAACGGAUGUACAUAAUUUAAAAAAUCUGCACUUUUCUUGUAAUUAUGGUCAACUUAAAGGAAUAUUAAAUGUAAUUACAAUAUAGAAGGUGCAUUUGGAUUUUAGAUAUCCAAAAAUAUUUUUUAUUUCUCAAAAAAUGUAAACCAAAGUCUUCAAUGUACUCAUUACUCAUUUCAUGCAGUUCUAAUCCUCUAUUAGAUAAUGUACUCAUUACUCAUUUCAUGCAGUUCUAAUCCUCUAUUAGAUAAUGUAAACCAAAGUCUUCAAUGUACUCAUUACUCAUUUCAUGCAGUUCUAAUCCUCUAUUAGAUAAUGUAAACCAAAGUCUUCAAUGCUAUUAGAUAACUAUUUUUUGUACAUUUUAUUUUGGUGAAUUUUCUACAUACGUAUUGUCAAAAUAUAAAACCAAUUUUAUGAAAAUGAUUUUAGUAAAUAUACUCAAAAAAAUUUAUAAAUAUUUUUUCUAUUAGUUGCACACACACUAGUGUGUGCCUUGAACACCGGUGGUUAUUAAGGACAUGGAAUUGGAUAUCGAAAAGUACUACAUUUCGUAUUUAGAGUGAAAAAAAAAAAUUCGCAAUCGUCGAGGCAAAGCCUAAAUAAAGUUGAUAUUGCACUAUCUAUUACUCCCUCCCUUUUUUUAUAACUGAUGUUUAAAGUUUUGUACACCAAUUAAGAAAAGUUUUUCAUUGUUUAAAUCUGUACACUACUUUCCUUUUGUAUCAUCAGUAAUUGUCCAAUUCACCCAUGUUUUCUCUUACUAGAGUACAAAGGGGGUUCAACAUACUGCGAGAAAAGAAGAAAGAAUACGAAGGGGCAGAUAAUUACUAGGGUUGUUACAAAGAGAGAAGCAAUAAUUACUAAGAGUAGUAAUUAAGAACCCUGUAUUAGAAAAGAGAGAUAAAAUGGUAAAAUUGUGAAAAAAUAAUUAAUACUGUACGGGAAUAAUAAAACGACAGAUAAAAGUACACUAGAGCAAAUUUCUUAAACGUCAGUUAUAAAAAAAGGGAGGGAGUAUUAUGUUAAAUCUUGGCAUGUUUGUCCGAUCCUCUUUGGUUAUUAGGUUAAAUUGUUAAUGUUAAUCACUUUAAAUAUGAAAAAAUGGCCAUGACCUUUGACUGCCCGAGUCGGCCAACUAAAUAAUUAAUCAAUUAAAGUUAUUUUGGUUUUCCUAACUCUUUGUCUUUUUGGGUGACUGAGCAAAGUUUGAGUUUAGAUAUGCUAUGUGUUACGAACACGAAAAGUUUGUCUUCCCUUCCACUUGUUGCCGCCACUGAACAGGGAUGGAAUUCGGGUUAGAUUCAUAAUGGAAGAUGUUAAGCAUCGAUGAGAGAGGUUAAUACGUCAUGGAUUAGUGCCAUUUUCCUGCAUGAAGAAGACUCGUGGAAAUGGGAAACAGCAACGGACCAAAAAAAGCUACGCUAUCAUAUCCAUCACUAAAUCGCCCAUUUGAAUAAAAAAAACAUUUAUUAUAGUACUGUUACUUUAAAAAGGACAAGACAUAAGAGGAAUUUUUAGGUUACAACAGACAGAUAGUUAGAGAAUUUGUUCCAAUUGAAAGUUCAAUCAAUGCUUCCUUUGAAUGGCCUUUGUCAAUUUCAUCCAAUCUUGUGUUCUCAUCAGAAUCCCAAUAGUGUUUGUGAUAUGAUUGCCAUGUUUGGUCUGCCAUGUGUGAAAAUCCUUUAGCUUGAAUCUAUUUUUCAUUGUUUUCCCAUAUUCGACAAAGUCUUAUAACAAAGAAAGAGGGGAUCGAGGUAAGUUUGCUUAUUCUACUUAUUUUAUUUUUUAUUGAAUACAUUUUUGAUUGGUGUGGAUUAAAUAAAUCAGGAAUUGUUUCACCACGUCCUUAUUUAUUUUCUCAUCUACACGUGUAGAAGAGAAUUAUUUAGAUAUGCAGUGUCAAUCCAACGAUUUGAUCAUCAAUUGAAUUUAUUGUAUUUUUUUCAUAUAUUCUUUUCACAACAUUUAUAUUGACAACAGUGUAUCGAACAAAUAUAAUUUAUUGUGAUAAGUCAAGUAGAUCUAUUUACUUUCGUGCCCUAGGUUUGUUUGUUUUUUUUUACUUUCAAACCGUAGGUUCUAUUAUAUGCAAGGUUUUUUUAUUGAUUGAAAAAGUAAAUUAAGGGGGGUCGGUCUAUAAAUUUUGAUUUUUAUCGAUUUUUUUCUGAGAAUUUCUUGUAUUUUCAUCUGCCUCUAUUCAUUUCAUUUUUAUGUUUUUGUUUUGAAUGCAUUAGAAAAUCCUUUAGCUUGUGACAUGUUUUCUACAUUUUUCGUGAACACAUUUCUUAAUUAUCUUUUUACCUCAUAUAUAUAUAUAUAUAUAUAUAUAUAUAUAUAUAUAUAUAUAUAUAUAUAUAUAUAUAUACUGCAGCAUAUUUUCUAUAGAAACUCCAAAAAAUUUCUACAUUUUUCGUGAACCCAUUUCUUAAUUAUCUUUUUACCUCAUAUAUAUAUAUAUAUAUCAAAUUGCUGCAGUAUAUUUUCUAUAGAAACUCCAAAAAAUUUCUACAUUUUUCGUGAAUACAUUUCUUAAUUACCUUUUUACCUCAUAUAUAUGUAUAUAUAUAUAUAUAUAUAUAUAUAUAUAUAUAUAUAUAUAUAUAUAUAUAUAUAUAUAUCAAAUUGCUGCAGUAUAUUUUCUAUAGAAACUCCAAAAAAUUUCUACAUUUUUCGUGAACACAUUUCUUAAUUACUUUUUUAUCUCAUAUAUAUAUAUAUAUAUCAAAUUGUUGUAGUAUAUUUUCUAUAGAAACUCCAAAAAAUUGCAAUUCAAACAAGGCAAAGAUCUUCCUUGUUGAGCUCCAUUUUUGGAGAAGUUGUAUGUAAAAUAUUUCUACAUACGAAAUCAAUAUCUAACAGAGAAACUUAGGAGAUUCGUAUUGGAUGCUUUUGCAUUUUAAAUGGAUUUCUCUAAUAGGAUUAAGAAAGAAGUACUACUACUAUUACUUUGAUGAUAUCUUUAGCACUAGUGCCUUUUUUUUUUUUUUUAAAAAAAAAAGAAAGAAAUCUUUUGUCGUUGUGCCUAAAGCACAUUAUUAUUUUUACAAAGAAAGAAUUGUUUAGUACUAGCAGGUACUUGCUUUGGUUUCUUCCACAAUUCUUGAAUCUUUGUAAUGUGCACGCCAUAACAAAACGCUCACACAAUACCAAGGUAAAAAAAAACACAAAGAAAUCAAAAUGAACACAACAAAAAGAAAUCAAAAUGAGAUCCUUUUGAAGUCUUUUUCUGCAAAAUUUAUAAGCAUGGUAAUUUUAUGGAUGAAAUCACACAUCUUCAAUUAAAGAACGUGAUUAAUUGACCAUUAACACGUUUAGGAGCCAUAAUUCAGGAGACCAUUCAAACAAACACAGCAGUGUCCAGGUUCAUCCUCUCAGAAUCUUCCCAUAACUUUAUCCCAAAACUUUCUUAUUAUAAGUCCAACGUAAAUCCCUCCAAAACUUCCAACUCAGUGCCUGUCUUCCUCUUCCAUAAAGAAACCAUUCUUCGGUUUGGCAAGAAUUAGAUUAGUAUUAAUUGGCAUAAAGCCUAAAGCCUCCACCAUUAUCACCCCCUCGCCAUCCCUCAAAUUUUAUUUCCCAAAACACCCCUGCUUCAUAAACACAAACCUAAACUUCAUUGCCCAGAGAACCCCUCUUCCCCUCUUAAACUACAAAUUUACCCCACCCCAACCAAGAUCUUUCUUUUCCCGAAGUACCCUCCAUUCCUUCCCUCUCCCUCCAAUAUUAUAACAAAACCCAGACUGCCAACCCAGAGACACCCAACUGAGGGAAAAGGAGAGAGCUUUUAAUCCCCAUUUCAAUGGCGACAAUGGCCUCUCUUUUCCUCAAAACCCCGACUCCAUCACCAUCUUUGCCGAAAACCCAGAAAACCCUUUUCAUCCCACCCCUCACUUUCACUCUUCCCAGCCGCCCCACCUCCAAAACCCGUUUAAAAGCUCGGGUUUCUUGCGGGUUGAUCGAGCCGGAUGGUGGAAAACUGGUUGAGCUCUUCGUUGAGGAGUCUCAUAAAGACGCCAGAAAAGGGCAAGCUUUGGGUUUGCCGUCGAUUAGGCUCUCGACUAUUGACCUCCAAUGGGUUCAUGUGCUCAGCGAAGGCUGGGCCAGCCCAUUGAAGGGCUUUAUGAGAGAGUCUGAGUUCCUCCAAACUCUUCAUUUUAACUCGCUCCGACUCCGUGACGGCUCAGUCGUUAACAUGUCGGUGCCAAUCGUGCUCGCCAUCGAUGAUUCUCAGAAGCAGAGGAUCGGUCAGGAGAGCUCCGUGGCGCUUUUGGAUGAUCAGAACAAUCCAAUUGCCAUUUUGAAAGA
rnacentral:lncRNA from 1 species